CCUCGUUGGGAGGCUGGUGGGGGUCAAUGCGGUGCACAAGUCCAUGUCCACUAAAGUGGAAAAGCAGGACAUCUCCUUCUUUAGCCGCGACCACCAUCUUCUUGAGUGCAGCCAUAAUGUUUGCACGUGUAGGCUUACACGUGGACUCUGGUUCAUCAGUUAGGAGCUCAACAUUUUCGGAAUCAAAGCCAAACCUGCUCACGAUCAUUUCUCUCAUGGCUUUCGCAUCGUUUACGCAUCCGCUCAACUUGUUGAUGGUGUUGGGGUAGUUGCAUCCGACCAGAACGGCUCUCUUCUUACAUUCGGUGGCCAUCUUGCUUCUGUUUUGGGUCGCUUGUCUUGUCUUGUGCUUCGGACGUUGCACUAAACACCUAUAUAUAUGCACACAUACACACUGUAGUUUACACUAUGCUCACUGACCAUACUCUAAUAAAUAAUACAUCAUGUUGGUAGGUACAACUGUUUUAUUUUAUUUUUUGUUUAGAAAAAAAAAGGGCUUUUUUUAUAAAAACAACCCAAAAAUAAUUAAUUACUUAAAUGACUUAUUUUUUUGAUAAAAUACGAAAAUAACCUGAAAUCUAUGGAAAAAGUUGGUGGAGCUAAAGUGUGCCACCAACAUGCCACGUCAGCAAUUUAUAUUAAAAAAUUAAUUUUUUAGUAGAGCCGCCACUUGUAUAAAUACUACGGAAAUAUUAUGAUUUUUUUCUUUUUAAGUUUUUUUUAUUUGUCCCUUAUAUAUUUUAUUUAUUUGUUUAUUAUUGAUUUUAUAAAAUCUCAAAUGUAUAUUUUAAAUGUUUUAUAAUAUUAUUUUUUAAAUAUUUUAAAUAUUUUUCUAAAUUUAAAUAUUAUUUUUUAAUUUUUAAAUAUUAUUUUUUAAUAUUAUAAAAUAUUUAAAAUAUAUUAUUUUUAGAAUUAUGAGCUUUCAAAUUUAUUAUUUGUUUUAUAAUAUUUUAAAUAUAUAUUUAAAAAUUUUUAAAUAUAUAUUUUUUAAAUUAUUUUUAAAGAUAUUCAAACAUUUUUUUUAAUUCUAUUUAAAAUUUAAAAAAUAAUAUGUGUUUUUAGAAUGGCUUCACCACUUUAUUACAAGUGUCAUUUUUUAAAAAUAUGUUUUUUAAAUAUAAAUAUUUAAUAUUUAAUAUUUUAUUUUGGUGGAGCCAUUCUUUAUGGCUCCACCUCUUGGUUCUCUAGCAUAUAUAGAAUGGUGAAAUUGUUGUGUUUAGUAGGAGAGUUCAAAAAUUCUGUUAAAGAUGAAUAAUGAGGUGUUUUGGUUUACGUUCUCUUUUAUGGCGAAAUUGUAGAAGGUGAUGUUGGUUGUAUAUUUCAAUGUCGGCAAAGAGUAGGGUUGCGAUUCAAAAAACUGUAAAGCUGGCAGAAAUGAAAAGGAAGAUUAGUGCAAAAAUAGCUAUUUGUUGUGGAAGGGCAAUGUCCAGAUUAUUUUACAAGUUUCCAAUCUCUACAGAUCUGUUCAAAUUUUGUGAGAUGCAACUGUUAGAUGAUGAUGACUUGGGCACUAUGAUGGAAAUAUGGUGGUCGACUGGAAGUGAGAAUCCCCAACCAGUUGAGUUAUUUACUGAGUUAGCAAACUCAGAGCCUGUUGAAAAUGUUAGUCCAAUAAGUCAACAUCGCGAAUUUGACUUUGGUCGUAAUGCCAGAUGGACAGACUAGUUAGAAUGCGGUGGGACAUUGCAGAUACCCGAAAAUCCAAAUUAUGGUGGGAGUUCGUAUAACAACCCUACCCCCGGUCCCCGUCUACAAAUACAUUCGGAGGUGAUAAUAAGCACAGAGGCAGAUAUCAAAGAAAUGACCAAUAAUGAUGAAGAUUCUGAUCAGGACGUUUACGAUUUUAGCGACCUCGAUGUUGAUAAGGUUCCGGACGAUAUCGUUGAUGAAGGCCCGGAGGAGGUGGAAGACGUUCACUGGCCUUCAUUCAAUAACCCGAGUCGUGGCAUUAUUUUACGAAAUGAACCUGGAGGUGACCUGUUGAAUCUAGAUCCAGAUGCAGUGCAUGCAUCCGAGUUCCCUGAGUACACUGAUAUAGUACAUGCUCAUAGAUUGACGUCAAUUUCGUAGUUGGAGGAGUUGUUCAUUGGGUAAUGGUUCGAGAACAAGGCGGGCUGUGUGUUUGCCAUCAAACAUUAAUUAUAGCAUGAAGUUAUCGAUUGAUUACAAGGUUGCCAAGUCUACACCGACAUUAUAUGUUAAGAAAUGCUGGAGAGCCGACGAUGGGUGUGCUUGACGGGUUCGGGUUGCAUUUAUACAGAAGACUCAAUAGUGGCAAAUACGAAAAUUAGAAUGGUGUCAUACAUGCACUGUCGUGCGUAUUCUCAAGAUCCCCAAAAAUUGGAUGCCAAAAUUAUUUGCAACUGCAUCAUGUCACUAAUGAAAGAUAGUCCAAUCAUUCUUGUGUCGACAUAUCAAAUGGAUCGGCACAUCAGGAGGAUCAGCAGCUGGAUCAAACAUGGAAUGAGGCGGAGUGUAUAAAUGUUAUUACCAAACAUAUCAAAUGAUAUCAGUGGUUGCUCUGGGUAAUAUGAACUCGAACCGCCCAUGUCCAGGUGAUAUGAACUGCUCUGUGACUCUUCACAAAAAGCAUCAACCUAUUGGUACGAUAUGUUUAAAGGUUGGUCCUCCGAGUCGGGCUCCGCCAUAUGUUGAUCCUCUAGCUCCCCCAUAGGUUGACUUACAUAUCUAUAGCUGUGUCCGGUACUAUUAUAUGUUGCCCACCAUAUAACUAAAUACGCCAUCGAGUCAUGUACCACUACAUGUAUUCAGUCAAAGGACUGAAGUCAAACAUGCAAAAGUGCAUCUCAGGCCGCUUGUUGUAUCGGGCAUUCCAUAGUACUACAUGUAUCUAUUCUGCUUAUCUGAUUAUGAUAAUUGCAUCUAAUAUGGACUUAGGUCUGAAUCUAUAUUUGACUGUAUAUGAGAUUUUGUGUAUGUACUGCAUGUCUAUUUAUGUUGGGUUAAACACUAAGUUUGCGAAAAUUCAGUUCUGCUUGUCUGUUAUGUUCAGGUAAUCCACAGUCUUAGGCAAAUCGGUGCGGCAGAGUUUCACGGUAACCACAAGUUUGUGAACUAAUUUUAAUUGGUGGUUUUUGUUUAGUUAUGGAUUAUUUCUGGGAGUUUUGUAAUUAAGGGACUCUCCGGACUGUUUGGUUUUAUUUUAGAUUUGGAUUUUCGAAUUAACUCUUCAUUUGCGACGGUUGGCUAAAACCGUGGUUUUUACUAAACAAAGGUUUUUUUGAAAAUGCAAACGGGAUUUUCAAAUAUAACGAUUUCUAAUAUUUCUGCUCAAAAUUAUGUUUUGGAAUAUGAAUUAAUUAAAUAAUGUUUUCAGUAUUAUUUAUAAAACUUGGUUGAUUUAUCGAAAUGGUUCUGAUUUCAAAACCCUUCAUCGCAGCAUUACCAAAUUUGGCGAUAAUGUCUAUGCUGGGUUUGAGGUGUUACACAAAUUGUCACAUAACUCGAUCGGUAUUAUACCACACAAUGGUUGAGAAGUUGAGCACUGGCAUGUUAAUACACCACACAUGGGCUUCUACGUGAACCCACUAAGGAAUAAGGGUUGCAAUGUUCGGUGCUGAAUACAACAUCCACAAGAACUGCACAAUAUAACAUAAUGAGUCAAGUCACAUCACAUACUGCAAGUGGAUAAGUUAAAUCAACGUUACUUAAACCAUGUUAAUAUGUAUUACUUUCUUUCCGACGGAUGCCUCUAUCAUUUGUUGGUAAAUGAUUAAUGUUUAGGUCGCACCAAUUCGCGGAGACGUGGCCCAUCUAAAACCGAAACAAACAUGUUAGCAAUUAAAUGUUAAGUAUAAUUUUGUUUUUACCUAUUUACAAGUGGCGACGAAUAUGGUUGGUGCCUAACAACCACUAGAAAUGGCAUCCUGUAUAGAGCCCAAGAUUGCAGCAGAUUUAGUCAACCAGCCAUGUUACUAACCCCAUGUUUUGUUGCUCGGCAAAGCUCAUGGUACAAUUUGGCCAACACUGCCGAUCCCCAGCUGUAAUUAUCGACACGAGAGAAGUCCUCACAUAGAGGCAAGUACUUUAAGUGGACCCUAUUAGACGUGUUGUUCGACAUAAGUACCCCCGAUUAGCUGCAUAAUAUAUGCUCAAGUGGCACACAUCACCUCGUGCUCAGUGGCAAUGCUUGAUAACUACUUAAAAUUUAGUUUCAACCAUGCCAAUGUCAAGCAUGUGAAAUUAUGUUCCCCACCACUAGGGGACCGUCCAAGCAAUCUGUGGCAUAGUAUUGAAGGUUCCAACACUUUUCUUUGGCCCGUGACCACAACAAUAUCAACUUAUAACCCAAGUUACAUAGCAACAUCUUCCAAUGUGAUAGUACACUCCCCGCACGGCAUAAUGAAGGUGUGGGUCUUCAUACACCACUGCUCAACCAAGACGGAUAUUAAGUUCACCCUCAGGCCAAACCUUCAGAUCAAUGCAACGUCCCCAAAUCCCGCCAAUUGUAAGUAUGGCAUGACUCGCUCGUCCGGAUUGUGCUUGGGAAAAUGAAACCGCAACCUCAGAACCCGAUACCCAUCCUGUAUGGUAAAUUUUUUAUAAAAAUAUGAUAACUCAAUUAUCUAAAGAGUUUUUCAUUUUAGAUUUUAGAGAGGCUUAAAUAAUAGUUUUUCAUUUUAGGAGGUCUAAAAAGUACUUUUCUUUUUAAAGGAGCCACGACCCCUGCCUAGUUUGGUCACCUUCUGUGGUGACGAGAUUCAUUCCAAUGAGAUUAAAAACAGCAGUGAUGAUGAGAUUAAUUACUAUAAUAAUGAGAUUAUUAAAAUCAGUGGUGAGAUGUGUUUUAGAAUUCGAACACAACAAUGGCAGUGAGAUAGAUUAUAGAUUUAUAGUAAAAAGGAAAAAUGACCAUUAUAGACACUAAACUAAAAUUAAACUAAGGAAGUUUACACCAUUCCGUAUAUUUUUGUACGAUUAAUAUUUUAGCGAUAAAAACACCAUAUUUCAUAUUUCAUGUUUUAUGUAAAAUACUUUUAAUCUUUGAAUGAAUGUUAAUACAUGCAAUAUUUUAGAUCGAUAGAUAAAAAUAUAGAAUCAAUUGAGAAUUUACAAUAAUAUCAACAAAUUCAAUGAUUGGAUUGUUAAGUUAAGAAUCAUGCAAAAAUAUAUGAAAUCGUGUAAAAUUACUUUAGUUUCGCACUAGUAUAAGCGAAUUCUUUUUUUUUUAAUAUAAAAAAUUAAUUAUAUAAUUUAAAUUUAUGUAUUUAACAUUAUUUAUAAAUAUAUUUCAUUAUUUAUAAAUAUAUUAUUUGAAAGUAAUGAAAUAAAAUAAAUAUUAUAAAUAAAAUUAUUGAAAUAUAGUAUCUAUUAUUGAAUUAAAUUAACCAUUCUUUAAAAAAAGAGUGAAAAUUAUUUUUUUAAAAUGCAUAGGGUUUUAUUUUUAAAAAAAUUUAAGAUUUAGGUGUAAAAGAUAAUCAAUCAUAAAGUGCAUAGGGCUUUAUUUUUUAUUUUUUAAAUAAUAUUGUUUUUGGCUCACAUGCAGUUUAUUGAGUUAGGUUAAGUAUACCUAACUCAAAAUUUAUAAAAAUGAUAAAAGGCAUGUGAUUUAGUAAUACAAAUAUUUUAUUCUUAAUUUUAAUUCAAUUUUUUUAUUUAAAACAGUAAAGGAUGUAGAUACCUUUAUAAAUUUGCACCUUUUAUUUUAUAGUUCAGUCAUUUCUUAAUUUCAUUUAGAGAUUUAUUGUAUACAGUGACGGAGCAUAGUGGAGAUCCAGGUAGCAUGGCAUCCCUUAAAAUGGUAAAUUUUUUAUUCAAGCCCUUUAUAAUUUAUAAAAUAUUAAAUUAGUAAUGGUAAAAUUGUAUUUUAACCCCCCUAAAGAUGAUAAAGUUUUGAUUUAACCCUUUAAAAAUUACAAAUUACAAUUUAAUUCCAACCCAAAAAAAUUUAGGCUCCGCCACUUAAAUAAUUAUAUCAAAUUCGAUAAAAAUUUUAAACUUCACAGGUAGAAUUGAAAAAAUAUGUGCUUUAUUUAAUAAUAAUACUUUUGAAUGGGUUGAAUUUGGUUGAAUUGGCAAGAGAUAAGGUGUGGAUAAAAUAAUAAAUUUAGUAGAUUAUAUGCAGAACUUGGUCAUAUCAGACUCAGUGCCAUGAACUUCACUAGCAAGCUUGCUAACACAGCUGCAGCAUAAGCUAUUAACUGCUUAAUCACUAUUUUUAUUACAACACUCAAAGAUGAAGAAGAAGAUUCUAUAUUUAAUUUCUUAAUGUUAACCUUGCAUUUGCAUUUCCUUGAUGGCGCUUCUAUACCAACUUUCAAGGAGAAUAAAACAAAAUAAUAAUAACUUUUUAGUUAAUUUGAUGGCAUAAUUGGUAAGGUUUUUUUUUAUUUUUUUAUUUGGGGUCGAUUUUGCAACGAUAUAGACAGGUAGGUAGGCACAUUUUAUUCUGUUGAAUAACUAGUUAUAUGGUAUAAGAGUGGUACCUAAUUGAUUAUUAAUGUCUUAAGGUCGAAUAUCGAAAAAAAAAACAAUUCCCCUUUAGAAAAAUAUUUAUUGGAAUUUAUUAUUUUGAAAACUAAAAAAUUUAAUCAUCUUGCUUCAAUGAAGAAAUCGAAACCCUGUAAGUUAGGGUAUGAUUCUUUGAAGUUCCGAUAACAACAUGAAUUUGCCUUUAUUAGAAAACUUCAUCUCGAGAUAAUAAAAUGUCAUAUCCAAUUAUUUAGGACCCAACGUUUUGAAUCCUCGAGAUAAGCUUUAAUUUUGGAAUUUUUACGUUCUUCGGAAAGAAGGAUACAGGGUUACCUAAAUUCAUCGAGGAAAAUUGAAACCCAGUAAGUUAGGGCACAAUCUUCUCGAGAAUCUUGGAUACCGAGUAUUGUGUUAUUUUGAAAACCUUUGAAUAAAACAAUUUAAUUACUUUAAUUAAGCAUAAUCCUUUAAGAAAAAAAACGAUGGAAUGAUAAUGUAUAACGGGAAAGGAUAGUUUGUAAACUAAAGUGCACACUAAUGAGCGACAAAUAAAUACAAAUAAGCAAUACAAUACACAUGAGAGCAAUCAUCUUUAUACAAAUACUAACUUUAAAAGCUAAUGAAUCAAAAGUCUAUUUUGAAAGAAAUACGAAGCAAAUUAACACAAAUAAAAUGUAACAAAUUUUAAAACAACUAAAAAAACAAAUGACAUGAAAGAAGGGGAAUUAUGUAAAUUUAAAAUAAUAUAUACAUAUAUCAAAGUUUGAAAUAAAUCAAAAACAUAGUUCGAAAUAAAUACUACAUAAAAUAAUAGUAUCCAAAUAAAUUUUAAAAUAAAUAUUAUAUAAGAAGAAAAUCAAAACACACAAAAUAAUAUACAUAUAUUAAUUUAAAAAAGUAAUACAUAUGGAAUGAAAAACUUCAUAAUAAUAUAUAAUAAAUUUAAAAAUAAUAAUAAUGCAUGAAAAGCUUAGAAAAAUAAUACAUAUAAAAUUAAAAUAAUAAUAUACAAUAAAUUUAAACAAUGUUAAUAAUAAAUUUAAAAUAAUAUUAAUUUUAAAAUUAAAUACAUUAAAAAUAAGGGAAUAAUAGAUGCUUAAAUAAAAUUUUAAAAAAAAAUCAAGCACAGUAAAUUAGUAGGGAUUAAAUUGAACUCAAAAUAGAAUUAAAAGGGAAAAAAGUAAAACAAAAUGAAGGGCCAGAGCAUAACGCGCGAAUAACAUGAGGGCCAAACAGGAAAUAUUGCCUUCUCUCAAAACGCUGCAUUUUGAUGUGGACCAAAAUGAUACAAAAAGAAAAUGUCAAGCAAAAUUUAAAAGCCAUUAAAGAAUUGAUUUGAAUACGUUAUAAACGUGGGGGACCAUUUGCACAAAUUCCCCAUGCGCUACAAAAUGCGCGGAUCUUUCCCCGGGUCGGGUCACUACGCGGGUAUACAUGGCGGUAUGGCGUCGUUUUGGAGUCAUUAAAACAGACCCCAAAUGGCGCCGUUUCUUUUAUCAUAUACAAACCAAUUUUAACCCUAAAAUUAGCAGCCAUUUAUGAUUUAAAAAUCAAUCCCUAAAAAAAACUUGUCUCACCCUCUCCGAGCGCCGUUCAACAAUUAGGCCGUUCAAAGGUCCUCCGCCCUUCGCCCGCCUCCGAUUGCGAUGUAGCGAACCAAGGUUCGACUACCAGGUAACCGACUCUUAACUGUUUCUUUUUUCUUCAUUCACGAUAAAUAAAUAAAAAGAUUCAAGAACAGAAAAAAAUUAUUGAGAGAGGAAAAAAAAUGAAAAUCACCUCUGGAUUUCUGUCUUUUAGCAAUUUUUAUUUCUUUUCGUAUCCCCCAUUUACAAAUUUUCAAUGGCUUUUUAUAGCCGAAAUGAAACAAGAAAAUAAAAUAAAAAGAAAUCUAUUCUGUCAUCUGAUGGUCUUGAUUUGCGAUUUUUUAUUUUCUUACUAUUUUUUCCUACCUCUGCUGUUUGUUCCCAUUUUUGUUGUGCAGGUACAACCUCGGAGGGGCGCACGUGCGCGGAGGAGCAACAUGCGCGGGGGGCCUAGGUUCGGCUGCAGCGCAAAGGCAGAAAGCUACUAUUGCUGCUAAGGUUUCUGUUUCGUGGUCUAGGGCUAGGCAUUGGGCCUCUGUAAUUGGGCCACUAUUUAUUUGGUUAAGGAUUUAGAUUGGGUCUUAGUGUAUUUUGUAAUCGAGUUUGGGUUUGGGUUGGCAAUUGGACUGUAUUUGGACUUUGAAUUUUUAUUUGGUAUUUGGUUUUAUUUAUUUACAUACGGGCCAGGCAAAUUGGGCCAAUUAUAGCUGCCCCUCUUUGCUCGUUCUCGUGUAACAGGAACGGAGCAAAGAAUUUAGCAAUGGCCAAUUUUUAUUUCUUUUCGUAUCCCCCAUUUACAAAUUUUCAAUGGCUUUUUAUAGCAAAAAUGAAACAAGAAAAUAACAUAAAAAGAAAUCUAUUAUGUUAUCUGACGGCCUUGAUUUGUGAUUUUUGAUUUUCUUACUAUUUUUUCCUACAUGUGCUGUUUGUUGCCAUUUUUGUUGUGCAAGUACAAGCUCGGAGGGGCGCACGCGUGGGGGGCCUGGGUUCGGCUGUAGCGCAAAGGCAAAAAGCAUCUAUUGCUACUAAGGUUUUUGUCUCGUGGUCUAGGGCUAGGCAUUGGGCCUCUGUAAUUGAGCCACUGUUUAUUGGGUUAGGGAUUUAGAUUGGGUCUUAGUGUAUUUUGAAAUCGGGUUUGGGUUUGGGCUAGCAAUUGGACUGUAUUUGGACUUUGAAUUUUUAUUUGGUAUUUGGUUUUAUUUAUUUACAUGCGGGCUGGGUAAAUUAGUCCAAUUAGAACGUGUUAAGAACUUUCUUAAUGAACAAAGUAAUGCUAUAUUGAUCAAGAAAAUAGGUGAUUUCCCUUCCUCUACCAUUUCACAAUAAUAGAGUACAUGAGUUAGCUAUUAUUUAUAAUUGCUGCUAACAAAUUAAUAGAUUGAUGAGAAUAAAAAAACUAAAUGUUGCCUAUCAAUACUAACAGCUAUUAUUUUAUAUUUUAACAUUAACUUAUCUUUCCGACGGGUAACACCUGAAGAAGACUUUGAAACCGAGCGAAAGAUGAAACAGAUAAAGGCUUAGUAAGAAUGUCAGAAAUUUGAUCGCACGCAAGUAUUUCACCCACAACUAAAGACCUAGCAGCAAAUCUUUCACAAAUAAAGAACAAAUCAAGCUCCACGUGUUUAAACUUAGAAUGUAAAACCGGAUUCACAGCAACUGCAACUGCACUUGAGUUGUCAUACCAUAUAGUAAGGAAAUCAUUAGACUGAAGUUCUAAUUCUUUUAAUAAUGAAGUCAGCAAAAGGACAUCACUCGUUACUGCAGUAAGACUCUGAUAUUUAGCUUCGACUGUGGAAUGAGACACAACUUGUUGUUUCUUUGAACACUAUGACACUAAGUUGUGACCAAAAUAUACACAAUAGCCAGUUGUGGAUCAACUAUCAUCAAGAUCCAGCCCCCAAUUUGCAUCGGCAUAACCAACUAAAGAGAGUUGAGUAGACGAACGAAACACAAUCCCAUAGUCUAGAGUACCACACAAAUACCGCAAUAUGCAUUUUAAAGCAACCAGAUGUAUAGUAGUGGGUGUAUCCAUAAAUUGGCAGAUGCGAUUUACUGCGUAGGCAAUAUCAGGUCGAGUUAGAACCACAUACUAUAGCGCCCCUGCAACACUUCUGUAUUCAGUGGGAUCAAAAAGUCAUUCCCCGCCAUCCUUAGACAAAGAUGAUGAGCUAAUCAUAGGAGUAUGAACACUCUUUGCAUGAGUCAUACAACACCUGUUAAGCAAAUCACGAACGUACUUUUGCUGGCAUUGAUGGAUACAUCCAUCAGAGGAACGAGUCACCUCAACUCCAAAAAAGUAAUAAAGAUCACCCAUAUCUUUAAGAGAAAACUCCUUAUGCAAUUUCUGAACAAAACUUUCAAUACAUGUAGGUACACUUCCAGUAACAAUAAUAUCAUCCAUACACAAGAACAUAUAGAGUGACAGAAGGUAUGACUUGAAUAAAUAAGGACGAACUCGACUUGGAUAUAUGAAAUCCAAUUGAAAGUAGGAAACACUUUAACUUUUUAAACCAAACACGUGGAGCCUGUCACAGUCCAUACAAUGCCUUCUUAAGACGACACACCAAAGGUUCACCAUUAGGACUAAACUGAACAUACCCUGGAGGUUACUGCAUAAACACUUAAUCAGUAAGAUUGCCAUUUAAAAAAAACAUUAUUAACGUCUUGAGACAGAGACUGAUAGUAUAACUCGAAUAGUAGCAUGCUUGACCCCCGGACUAAACGUUUCCUUAAAAUCACAUCCAAGUACCUGAGAACAUCCUUUAGCCACUAACCGAGCUAUCCGACUUGCAAUCGUUCCAUCCAAAUUUUUUUUACUUUGAAGAGCCAUUUACACCUGAUUACCUUUCGACCGCUUGGUGACAGAAUAAGUUUCUAGGUGGAAUUAUGUGUAUUUUGGAAAUACGCCCAUCUCGUGUUGUUCAAAAAGGCAACAAGUUAUUUCUCGAUCAACAGCAGAAGUAGAAUAUUGAACUCUUACUGCCGCCACCAGUGAUAUAAUAUGGUUAGUCUCUCUGCUAACGGAGUUACAACUUCAUUCUGCUGACUCUCCUACUAUUUGGUGUGACAAUUCUAGUGCAGUAGCGAUUGCUGGCAAUCUGGUUUUACACUUCAAGUUUAAACAUGUUGAACUUGACCUUUUCUUUGUCCGUGAAAAGGUUGCUAACAGUUCACUCGUUGUUGGUGAGGUACCAGCCUGUACCAAGUUGCUAACAUUUUAAGGAAACCAUUGUCUGUCUCUUUGUUUACUCAGUUUUGUAAUUUCCUUCGGAUCUUACCUAUUGAGAAGCUGGGUAAAUGUUAGAGUAUGUGAAUGUAUUAGGCUAUUAGUCUGUUAUCAAGACUGGUAUAUUGUUAGUAGGUUAGUUAGUAGUAGUUAGAUCAAGUCUCAUGCAUAUAAGUAUUAUCUCUAUACUGAUAGAAAAAGGUUAACAAUACAAACAAUUUAAUUAGUCUUUUCUUUCAAUAUUUUUCAGUAUUAUAGAGUUAGUAACAUGUUCAUAUUAUUUGUUCCAGUGUUGAUGGUAUUGGCAACUACUGUUUUGUCCAAAAAGCUUGACGUCAUGCUCAUGACGUUGGCUACUGUUUGUAGGCUCCGAUAUAAGGUUUCAAUGGAAAUUCCCCUAGUCCUGUAAUCAAUAGAUGGUGGUAUAGCCCUUAGAGUACUAUGGGGUCCAAUUUGUUCUUUAGUUUUAUCAAUCAGACCACCACUGUGGCAGGAAUCAGAAAUAAUUAUGAAGCUUAAUCCACUUGGUAGUCGUUGAAUCAAGUGCCCCAAGUCGACGUCUGCACAACCAUCGCAACCACCAUAUGACAUGAAUAAUAGUUCGCUUAGAUUGAGGGUGUUUCAAUAAUGUGAUAUAUUUGGCCUCUAAUAAGAAAUCAACAUAUAGAGUGGGUGAUUAAUCCGAAUUGGGAGGAGGACAGGUGUUGUGAUGGACAAAGCGUAAGACAAGGUGGUUUCCGACUGAAGCAAGAAAGCUCUAGCAAAAGGCAGCUAGGUAUUCCUUUUUCACACAAAGACGAAGAUAAAUGAUUAUAACAGCAUGAUAUGAUCUGCUUCGCCUUCGUCCACUACCUCAUCUUUAUGUUUUUGUUUUGGUCGUUACUCACGUCGGCUUUUGUCUGCAAGUGCUGCAUGUCGGUCCUACUAUCGUGAUUGUGUUGCCUAGCUUCUGAUUUCUAUGUAUUAAUAGGGUCUAUUUGAAUGUGCGGUUUGCAGAGGUAAAAUUAGAAAUUUGUUUUUAAGUGUUAAACUUUGUAUCUAUAUAGAUUUAAGAAGUGUUAAAUCAAAAUUUUAUAUUUUUUUACGAUAAAUUGUAUUUAUACAAUGUUUAACUUAUAAAUUUAUUGAUAUUACAGAGGUUUAAAUAAUAGUUUUCCAUUUUAGGGGUAUAAAGAGUAAUUUUCAUUUUAAGGGCGCUACGAUUAGACUUGAUUAUGAGUUGGGUCACCCGUCCAAGUCUAAUGGUUCUCUUGACAAGUGAGAGAGAUUGGGCUAAAAUAUAGCCCAAAAAAACAGACUUGGACAAAAAAUAAUAUCCAUAUUCCAAAGGGGCCGAGCCUCGGGUAAGAUUUUUUUGCUUGGGCCCAACCCGACCCAAAUUUGCUUAAAAAAUUUUCCUUGCUACUGUUAACUAUUGUUUGCUAUUAUAUUGUUACUAUAUUGUUGCUAUUAUUUGUAUAUUGUAUAAUUAUUGUUUUAUUGUUAAUUUUGCUACUAUUUUCAAUUAGUUGGGAAACAUUUAUUUCAACAUUUUUAGUGUAUUUGAUGUAUUAUAUUUUUUAAAAUAAAAAAGUAUAAAAUAUUUUAAUAUAGGCGGGCCGGGCAAGGCUCAGGUUUGGCAUUGUUUAUCUGGGUCAGGCUUGAUAAAAAAUUUAGGCCCAUUUUUUGGUCGGGUAGGGCUUGAGCCUAGAAAACGAGCCUAGAAUCCCAACCCGAUUGAGCCCAUGAUCAAGUCUAGCCACGACCCCUAUCCGCUAUGGUCACCGCCUUUGGAGACAAGAUUAAUUCUUGUGAGAUUGAGAAUAGGGAUGGCGAUGAGAUUAAUUACUAUAGCAGUGAGAUUAGUUACUACAGUGAUGAUGUUAAAAUUAGUGGUGAGAUGCGGAUUCAAACACAAGAAUGGCGGGAAGAUAGAUAAUAGAUUUAUAGUAAGAAAGGAAAAUGACCAUUAUAGACAUUAAAAUAAAUUAGUUUUCACCUUUCCGUAUAUUUUUCUAUGAUUAUUAUUUUAAUGAUAAAAAUGACAUAUUUAAUAUUUCAUUUAAACACAUCGUGCAUAUUUUUAACAUAAAUUAAAAAUUUCUAACUAUUUGUUUUAUUUAAGAAUAUUUUUAAUCGUUUAAUAAAUGUUAAUAUAUAUAAUAUUUUAGAUAGCUAUGACAGAAAUAUCGAAUCAAUUUAAAAUUUUACAUACAUGAAAAGUACAACAAUAUUGAUAAAUUCAAUGGUGGGUGUCACAUCACAAAAUCAGGGUUAAAAAAAUUAGAUUAGCGAAACCAAGUGUGGUCGUGUUCAGUUUUGAUUUGAAGUUGUGAAAAUUAAAAACCAAGAGUACGUUAACCACCGCAUCCCCAAAUAGUCAUAUGAUGUCUCAUAGGCUUCACACCCUCUUAAUAAAAUCCCAUCAUCCUCCUUCAGUGGAUCCAACACCAUUAACCCAUCUACGUAGCGAGUAUUGGGAAUUAUCCAUAUUUAUGGAAAAUCAAAGAUAUGGGUAUCAAAUAAUAGAAAGUCAAAGAUAUGGGUAUCAAAUAUUGGAAAGUCAAAGAUAUGGGUAUCAAAUAUUGGAAAGUCAAAGAUAUGGGUAUCGAGAUAUUGGCAUAAUAAAAUCUGAGAUAUUUGCAAUAUAUGGUCCCUAAUUGUAAAGUGACUUUGCAAGUUGAUCCCUGAACCUCAACUAUAAAUAGGUGCCAUCUCUCAUUCUGUAUCUCAAACUUGCCAUUCUCUACUUAAGGCAUUGUUUUUUCUCUCUCUCUCUUUGUAAAUUCUCACUUGUAUUUUGGAGUGAAAUAUAUUUGGUAGUGCCCGAGGACGUAGGCAAAAUUUGCUGAACCUCGUUAAAUUCUUGUGUUCUUUAUUGUAUUAUUCUGCAUGAAUUGUGUGUGUGAUUGUAGUAAUUUAUUGUGCUAUUAAAUUACGACUGAAGGAUAUUCUGGCUAGGAAAGACCUGGUACUUAAGCGAUCCUUGUGAUCCACCUCUCUUUCCUGGGAAUUGAACUUAGUGUGAUUUUUUAGUACAAUAAUUUUACUCUUUUACACGCUUCCGCACAACAAUUGGUAUCAGAGCUAGAUUCGUACUUGGGGAAUACGAUCGUUCACGGUACUGUUCACGUACUGUAGUUGGGAUUGAGGAGAAAAAAAUGGAAAAGUCAUCGUCAAAGACUACUGUGACCAAUGCGAAAUUUGAAGUAGAGAAAUUUGAUGGUACCAAUAAUUUUGGUAUGUGGCAAUGUGAGAUCCUGGAUGUCUUAUGUCAGCAAGAGUUGGAUAUAGCCCUUGAAGAAAAACCUGACAAGAUGGAUGACAAGGAGUGGGCCAAGAUCAAUAGACAGGCAUGUGGAACAAUUCGCCUAUGUUUGGCCAAAGAGCAGGAGUACUCUGUCAUGAGGGAGUCAUCAGCGAAGAAGUUGUGGGAUACACGGGAAGAAAAGUUUCUAACAAAAAGUCUUGAAAAUAGGCUUUAUAUGAAAAAGAAACUUUAUCGAUUCACGUAUGCACCCGGUAUGUCGAUGAAUGACCAUGUGAACUCAUUCAAUAAAAUUUUAGCAGACUUGCUAAAUUUGGAUGAGAAAUUUGAAGAUGAAGACAAGGCAUUACUGUUGUUGAAUUCUCUUCCUGAUGAAUAUGAUCAUCUUACCACCACAUUGCUUCAUGGGAAGGAUACAAUCACAUUUGAUGCAGUCUGUAGUGCGUUGUAUAGAUCUGAGACUCGAAAGAAAGAUAAAAAAGAUCACAGAGACUACAGAAGUCUUAACAGUAAGAAGUCGUUCGCACAGCAACAAAUCUGGUAGAAGGAGUAAGUCCAAAAAGAGACCUGCCAAAGAUGAAUGUGCUUUUUGUCGUGAGAAAGGGCAUUGGAAAAAGAAUUGUCCUAAGUUACAAAAGGGUAAAGCUAUUUCUGAUGCAUGUGUAGCGGAGCAUGAUGAGGAGUCAGACUUUAGCUUGGUUGGCAUGGCAAUGGCAUGUCAUACAGAUGAGUGGAUUUUUGAUUCGGGAUGUACUUACCAUAUGUGUCCUAAUAAGGACUGGUUUUCUAGUCUUAAAGAACUAGAAGGUGGAGUUGUUUUUAUGGGCAAUGAUAGCGCUUGUAAGACAAUGGGAGUAGGUACAAUCCAAUUGAAGAAUCACGACGGCUCAAUUCAAGUCUUGACAGAUGUUCGCUACAUACCUAUCUUGAAGAAAAAUCUUAUCUCAUUAGGGGUCCUAGAAUCUAAAGGGCUCACAAUCACUUUGAGAGAUGGAUUACUAAAGGUAGUAGCUGGGGUAUUGACGGUGAUGAAAGGCACAAGAAGGAAUAAUCUGUACUAUUUAAAUGGAAGUACAGUUAUUGGAUCAACAUCAACAGCUUUUACGAAAGAUGCAGAUUCAGAGGCUACCAGGUUAUGGCAUAUGCGAUUGGGACAUGCUGGUGAAAAAGCUUUGCAGAGUUUGGCGAAGCUAGGCUUGUUGAAAGGUGCAAAUUCUUGCAAAUUGGAAUUCUGUGAACAUUGUGUUCUGGGCAAGCAGACAAGGAUAAAAUUUGGUUCAGCAAUUCACAAUACAAAAGAAAUUCUGGACUACGUUCAGAGUGACGUGUGGGGACCUACUAAAGUGGCUUCUUUGGGAGGUAUGCACUAUUUUGUUACUUUUGUUGAUGAUUAUUCAAGAAAAGUAUGGGUGUAUCUAAUGAAAAGGAAAAAUAAAGUUUUGGAUGUAUUUCUUAAAUGAAAGAAGAUGGUGGAGACCCAGGCUGGUCGAAAAGUCAAACGACUUCGAUCAGACAAUGGUACUGAGUACAAGAAUGAUCCAUUUCUACAAGUAUGUCACGAUGAAGGUAUUGUACGACACUUCACUGUUCGAGAUACACCACAACAGAAUAGGGUGGCAGAACGUAUGAAUCGGACUAUACUGGAGAAAGUUCGAUGUAUGUUGUCCAAUGCUGGAUUGGGCAAAGAAUUUUGGGCUGAGGCAGUUACAUAUGCGUGCCAUCUAAUUAAUCGGUUGCCAUCAACUGCAAUAAAUGAAAAAACUCCUAUGGAGAGGUGGGCUGGUAAACCUGCUACUGAUUAUGAUUCUUUACAUAUUUUUGGUUCCACUGCAUAUUAUCAUGUAAAAGAAUCUAAGUUAGACCCAAGAGCAAAGAAAGCAUUAUUCAUGGGUAUAACUGGUGGAGUAAAAGGAUACCGUUUCUGGUGUCCUGAUACAAGGAAAAUAAUUUUCAGUAGAGAUGUGACUUUUGAUGAAUCAACCAUGAUGAAGAACAAUGAUUCACAAAAGGAUAACACAACCAGUGGCACUUUGCAGCAGGUGGAGCUUGAAAAGGUUAAUGAUGAUCCAGCUAAUAUUGAAGGAACAAAUGAUGAAGAAGUUUCGACCCAAGAACUUCUACAGCAACAUGAUUCAAUUGCAUAUAGAAGGCCAAGAAGAGAGAUUCGUAUGCCUGCUCGCUUUGAUGAUAUGGUGGCCUAUGCACUUCCAAUUGCAGAUGAUGAUGUUCCUUCUACUUACACAGAAGCAAGAAGUAACUCUGAUAGUGUAAAGUGGAAGCAAGCUAUGAAUGAAGAAAUGCAGUCUCUUCAUAAAAAUAGGACUUGGGAGUUGGUGACACUACCUAAAGGAAAGAAGGCAAUUGGAUGCAAAUGGGUAUAUGCAAAGAAGGAAGGAUUUCCUGAUAAAAAUGAAGUUCGAUACAAGGCUAGAUUGGUAGCAAAGGGUUACGCUCAGAAAGAAGGAAUAGACUACAAUGAAGUAUUUUCUCCAGUUGUGAAGCAUUCGUCUAUUCGGAUUUUGCUAGCCUUGGUUGCGCAAUAUGAUCUUAAACUAGUUCAGCUCGAUGUGAAGACCGCAUUUUUACAGGGUGAUUUGGAAGAGGAAAUCUAUAUGACUCAGCCAGAUGGAUUCAAGGUUGCUGAUAAAGAAAAUUGGGUUUGCAAACUGACAAAGUCGCUUUAUGGAUUGAAACAAUCUCCAAGGCAGUGGUACAAGCGAUUUGAUCAGUUCAUGAAAGGGCAAAGGUAUACAAGAAGUAAAUUUGAUCAUUGCGUGUAUUUUCAGAAGCUACAAGAAGGAUUUUUCGUAUACUUGCUAUUAUAUGUUGAUGAUAUGUUGAUAGCAUCUAAGAGUAAAGUUGAAAUUGAGAGAUUGAAGACUCAACUCAACCUUGAGUUUGAGAUGAAAGAUCUAGGUGAAGCUAAGAAGAUCCUUGGCAUGGAAAUAUGUAGGGAUAGAGCUCAUGGCAGAGUUAGUUUAUCUCAGAAGCAAUAUUUAAAGAAGAUACUACAGAAGUUUGGCAUGAACGAGUAGACUAAAGCUGUAAGUACCCCGUUGGCUUCUCAUUUCAAGCUUUCUGCACAACUAUCUCCUUCGACAAAUACGGAACAAGAAUACAUGUUACAAGUUCCGUAUUCUAAUGCAGUAGGUAGCUUGAUGUAUGCAAUGGUGUGUACAAGACCCGACAUUUCACAGGCAGUUAGUAUAGUGAGCAGGUAUAUGCAUAAUCCUGGAAAAGGACAUUGGCAAGCUGUGAAAUGGAUUCUACGGUAUAUUCAUAAGACCAUGGAUAUUGGAUUCCUGUUCAAGCAGGAUACUACACUUGGUAAAGGUGUUGUUGGGUACGUUGAUUCUGAUUAUGCCGGUGAUUUGGACAAACGAAGAUCAACCACUGGUUAUGUGUUUACUCUUGCUGGAGGACCAAUAAGUUGGAAGUCUACACUGCAGUCUACAGUUGCGUUGUCAACCACAGAAGCUGAAUACAUGGCUGUAACAGAGGCUGUAAAGGAAGCUAUUUGGUUACAAGGUAUGGUUAAAACCUUGGGAUUGAUCCAAGAGCAUAUUAAUGUGUAUUGUGAUAGUCAAAGUGCUAUUCAUUUAGCAAAGAAUCAAGUCUAUCAUGCACGUACAAAGCAUAUCGACGUACGUUUCCGCUUUGUGCGGGAAAUUAUUGAUGAGGGGAAAAUUCACCUUCAGAAGAUUAAGACUGCAGAUAAUCCCGCAGAUAUGAUGACCAAGGUGGUAACAACAAUCAAGUUCGAACAUUGUUUGAACUUGAUCAAUAUUCUGCAUGUUUAACAGUUGAAGAAGGCACUAUCAAGUGUUGUUGACAAAGGCAGAGAGAAUUGUGUGAAGAUAAGAUUACUCGAAUUAAAUCUUCAAGGUGGAGAUUAUUGAGAAUUAUCCAUAUUUAUGGAAAAUCAAAGAUAUGGGUAUCAAAUAAUAGAAAGUCAAAGAUAUGGGUAUCAAAUAUUGAAAAGUCAAAGAUAUGGGUAUCAAAUAUUGGAAAGUCAAAGAUAUGGGUAUCGAGAUAUUGGCAUAAUAAAAUCUGAGAUAUUUGCAAUAUAUGGUCCCUAAUUGUAAAGUGACUUUGCAAGUUGAUCCCUGAACCUCAACUAUAAAUAGGCAUAACCAUUUCUCAUUCUGUAUCUCAAACUUGCCAUUCUCUACUUAAGGCAUUGUUUUCUCUCUCUCUCUUUGUAAAUUCUCACUUGUAUUUUGGAGUGAAAUAUAUUUGGUAGUGCCCGAGGACGUAGGCAAAAUUUGCUGAACCUCGUUAAAUUCUUGUGUUCUUUAUUGUAUUAUUCUGCAUGAAUUGUGUGUGUGAUUGUAGUGAUUUAUUGUGCUAUUAAAUUACGAUUGAGGGAUAUUCUGACUAGGAAAGACCUGGUACUUAAGCGAUCCUUGUGAUCCACCUCUCUUUCCUGGGAAUUGAACUUAGUGUGAUUUUUUAGUACAAUAAUUUUACUCUUUUACACGCUUCCGCACAACAGUGAGGAUGGAAUUUGAGGCUCACAUCUUUCCCGAAGAUUCCGAAAAUCUUUUGGCCAAUAUUUACUGCGUCGUGUAGGAGGCCUGCUGCUGUAUCUAUCGCACCAUGUAUGAUAUCAAAAGGAAGACUCUUAACCUUGACCUUAGACGGUUUAGGCAUGUUGGGAUUUACUGGUGUCGUCAUAUGCUCAACACCAAAUUGUUCUUUCUCUUUUUCAAUGAGACCACCACUGUGGCACGAAUCUGAUAGGAUUGUGAAGCUUGCUCCUUCUGGUAGCCGGUUAACUAAACGGCUGAAGUCCAUAUCUGCAGAAACCAUGUAUAUAUAGGGUAUGAAUAUAUAUUGCUAAAAUAAAUAUUUAAAUUCAAACAAAAACCUACCCGUGACAAGAUUUAAAUCACAAGCCACGAUUGCUUCAUCUUGUUUGAAAGGCUGGCCAGGUUGAAAGAUUGGAAUGCGUGUUCCAUGUCCACUGAAGUAGAAAAAUAGGACAUCUCCUGCUUUAGCAUUGCACGCCAUUCUAUUAAGUGCAUCCCUAAUGUUUGCGCCGGUAGGCAGAACCGACGACCCUGGCGCACCGGUGAGGACAUUAAUAUCACUUUCCUUGAACCCAAAGUUCAGGAUCCCAUCUCCUAUGGUUUUCACAUCAUUGAUGCGUCCAUGCAAGCCGAAUUGGGUCUCGGGGUAGUUGCAUCCCACCAGAACUGCUCUCUCGUACCCUUACCCAUCUUGCUUUGCUAAUUUGACUAUUUUGUGUUGCUUGUACCCUUGUAUUAAUGUGCUUCCACCGUCUCACUAAGACCCUAUAUAUAUACACACUAAUUUACGGCCUGUGUACUGUCGAUUAAGAUGAUCAUAAAGUGGAUAGGGUUUUACUUGUUUUUUCUUUUUAACAAACUAAUAUUAUUUUUGGCUAACAUCCAAUUUAUUUAAAUACGUUAAGUAUACCUAACAUAAAUUUUUUAAAAAUGAUAAAGGCAGAUUAUGUUUUCAUAGAUGUAAUUUAGUCAUACAAAUAUUAAUAAUUAAUAAUAAUUAAUAAACACGUUCAUUUCAAUUAAUUGUAUACUCUACUAAAUGGUAAGAUGUGGCUUAUUAAAUUAAAAAAUUAAGUCUGACUUCCUCUCAACACUAUUCACACACCCUUGUUAUUUAUAUUUUUGCUCUAUAAAAAAUAAGGAUUUUGUGAUAUUUUUUCCUCUUAAAUGAUUUUAUUUAUAUUUUUAAUUAUAUUAAUUAUAUUUUAUAUUAGUUAUUAUUGAUUUAGAGAAUAAUUGGAGAAAAAAAAGAGCUUAAAGUUUAUUUUUGACACGUUUUGCGGGUUGGACUUUCAAUAUUUACAAUACAGUUUAAGUAUUUUGGUAAUAACUUAAGCUACAGGUUUUAGUUUUGGGCUCAUAAUAUACAGAUUUGAAGAAAAUUGACAUAACUAACUAAAUUUGUUUCGCGGAUGAAGCCCAAAAACAUCAAGAAGACAUCAAAAAAUGUCCUGGAAGUUUGUCCGAAAAAUUGCCAAAAUAUCUUGAAAACUUUUGCUUUAUAUAAUUAAUGGUACUUUUGUACUUUCUCUAUUAUAUUAUUUUUCUCUAUAAAUGGACAUUAUUAGGUUAAGACGAGGGGAGACCUAGACCUAGGCGUUCUUAGUUUUAUUUUGUUUUUUUAGUUUGUGGCUUUUUAAACUCUCCAUCUAGUCGAAGGUUUUAUCAGAUUUUGAUUUAAUAAAUUUGUGAGACUUAAUUUUUGCUUUAAUUUUUCUUUGUUCUUUGGUAUUCAUGCAUUUUUUGUUUUAAUUACAACUUUUCAAGUUUAUUGAAUGUUCAGUCGGUAUUUGAUAGCUUAGAAUGAUUGUUUUGUCAAUUAGAAUUCUUAAAUCCAUAAUUGUAUAAUUCAUUCUAAUACUAGUGACAAACUACAUAAUUCGUUUAUGUCGCAGUUUAUAUUUAUGUGGUGUGAAUGUGUGAUAUAGCUAAAAUGAAUCUCGCUAGGAUGAGUUUGUUAGUUAGAAUUUGGACUCUCUCGUUCUUAAUACUGCCGAUAAGUUAAAUCUAGGGCGUUGAGUUACAGGGUUAUUUAUCGAUUAGGAAAUAAUUUCAAACGAGUUUUCUCUUGGCUAUCGAACAAUGAGAGAUGGGUUGCCUUACACUGAGUCAACAACUAGAACUAAUUUAUUAAAGGUAUUGAAGUUAUUUUUGCAUUGAUGAUCGAAUCUUUGAAUCAAACAAAGAUUUUACUUCUAGCUAGAGUUUCUUCUCAUUAAUUUUCUUUUAUAAUUUAUUUUUACUUUGUUUUAAUUUUAAUUUUUAAUUUUAAAAUCUUUUUAUAUUUUUCAUGUAAGUUUUUGUUUUUAUAAAUCUCUACAUCCUUGCAUUACUUCAAUACAACACCAAAAGAACCAAAUGGCAAACACUAUAACUAAAAAUCUUGCAAAAGAGGCCGUUUUAUUUUAUCAUAAAAUUAUACAUGAAAUAGCCAUACAUGGCGAUUACAUAAGCUUGAAGGCCUUAAAACACAGACAUACGAUAGUAAUUAAUAAGCAAACACACACACAGACGCAGUAAUGAAGGCUAACUUCAACUUCGUAGUAGUGCACACCGAUGGAGCACAUUAUUAUUUAGUUUACAGUUUCGACCUCUAGUGAUCGAAAACCCUGGUUCAAAGCCGGCAGCUUAUGCACCCGUAGUGGUGUUGGGUUGGUGGCCAAGAAAAGCUGCAUCAGCAUUCUCAUCACUGCAAUAAAGGCAAGGGUGCUGCUGCCCAAUUCCUAGCUUUAUUAUUUCAUUCCUAGCCUUCACCACAAGCUGUCUAUUGGUUAAUGCACCUAAUUCGCUCUCCUUGAUGACCUUCAGAACUGAAUAGGUAAAGGCCCCAAACGCCUUUCCUCCGGUUUUCUCACUCGCUGGCAUAUCAAUUGAAAGCUCAUUGGCUUGGCACCCACUUAACAGAAUUCCCUCAUCCUCCGUCAGUGACCUCAAAUUCAAAAUAUCACGCUCAUAAUGGGGUAGGAAUUUGAGACUCACAUUGUUCCCAAAGAUUGUGGUCAAAAGAGAGCCAAUACCCGUCAUAUUAUCUGUUCCAGUGUUGAUGGCAUUCCCAAGUGCUCUUGUGGGAAAUAAGUCUUGUGUCGCGAUUAUGACGUUGGCCGCUGUUUGUAGGCACUGGAAUAAGGUUGCUAAGGAAAUGCCCCUAGUCUUGUAAUCAACAGGUGGUGCUAUACCCCUUAGAGUACUAUGGGGUCCAAUUUGUUCUUUACUUUUAUCAAUCAGACCACCACUGUGGCAGGAAUCCGAAACGAUUGUGAAGCUUGAUCCACUUGGUAGUAGCUGAAUCAAUUGCCCCAAGUCCACGUCUGCACACCCAUCGCAACCACAAUAUGAUAUAAAUAACAGUUUGCUUAGAUUGAGAGUAUUUUAAUAAUUUAGUUUACCGAGUUGAUUACGUACCAAAAAUGGGAUUGAGAUCACAAGGCACAAUUGCUUCACCCUCGUUGGGAGGCUGGUGGGGGUCAAUGCGGUGCACAAGUCCAUGUCCACUAAAGUGGAAAAGCAGGACAUCUCCUUCUUUAGCCGCGACCACCAUCUUCUUGAGUGCAGCCAUAAUGUUUGCACGUGUAGGCUUACACGUGGACUCUGGUUCAUCAGUUAGGAGCUCAACAUUUUCGGAAUCAAAGCCAAACCUGCUCACGAUCAUUUCUCUCAUGGCUUUCGCAUCGUUUACGCAUCCGCUCAACUUGUUGAUGGUGUUGGGGUAGUUGCAUCCGACCAGAACGGCUCUCUUCUUACAUUCGGUGGCCAUCUUGCUUCUGUUUUGGGUCGCUUGUCUUGUCUUGUGCUUCGGACGUUGCACUAAACACCUAUAUAUGCACACAUACACACUGUAGUUUACACUAUGCUCACUGACCAUACUCUAAUAAAUAAUACAUCAUGUUGGUAGGUACAACUGUUUUAUUUUAUUUUUUGUUUAGAAAAAAAAGGGCUUUUUUUUAUAAAAACAACCCAAAAAUAAUUAAUUACUUAAAUGACUUAUUUUUUUUGAUAAAAUACGAAAAUAACCUGAAAUCUAUGGAAAAAGUUGGUAGAGCCAAAGUGUGCCACCAACAUGCCAUGUCAGCAAUUUAUAUUAAAAAAUUAAUUUUUGAGUAGAGCUGCCACUUGUAUAAAUACUACGGAAAUAUUAUGAUUUUUUUUCUUUUUAAGUUUUUUUGAUUUGUCCCUUAUAUAUUUUAUUUAUUUGUUUAUUAUUGGUUUUAUAAAAUCUCAAAUGUAUAUUUUAAAUGUUUUAUAAUAUUAUUUUUUAAAAAUUUUAAAUAUAUUUUUCUAAAUUUAAAUAUUAUUUUUUAAUUUUUAAAUAUUAUUUUUUAAUAUUAUAAAAUAUUUAAAAUAUAUUAUUUUUAAAAAUAUGACCUUUCAAAUUUAUUAUUUGUUUUAUAAUAUUUUAAAUAUAUAUUUAAAAAUUUUUAAAUAUAUUUUUUAAAAUUUUAAAUAUAUAUUUUUUAAAUUAUUUUUAAAGAUAUUCAAACAUUUUUUUUAAUUCUAUUUAAAAUCUAAAAAAUAAUAUGUGUUUUUAGAAUGGCUUCACCACUUUAUUACAAGUGUCAUUUUUAAAAAAAUAUGUUUUUUAAAUAUAAAUAUUUAAUAUUUAAUAUUUUAUUUUGGUGGAGCCAUUCUUUAUGGCUCCACCUCUUGGUUCUCUAGCAUAUAUAGAAUGGUGAAAUUGUUGUGUUUAGUAGGAGAGUUCAAAAAUUCUGUUAAAGAUGAAUAAUGAGGUGUUUUGGUUUACGUUCUCUUUUAUGGCGAAAUUGUAGAAGGUGAUGUUGGUUGUGUAUUUCAAUGUCGGCAAAGAGUAGGGUUGCGAUUCAAAAAACUGUAAAGCUGGCAGAAAUGAAAAGGAAGAUUAGUACAAAAAUAGCUAUUUGUUGUGGAAGGGCAAUGUCCAGAUUAUUUUACAAGUUUCCAAUCUCUACAGAUCCGUUCAAAUCUGUUCCACUGCAACGUCAGUGAAAUAACAUCCGUUGGCUUCAGUCUUAACGCAAGGGUGAUAAGACUGGUGUCUUCAAUCCACUCCACUGUAACUUCAGGGAGAUAGGAUUUGUGGUUUCACCGAUCUGUUUUCUAGGGAACAUGACCUGUAGAAUCCUUUUUAUGGGCCUAUUUAUGCCUAGUGAUUAGGAUGUUAUGAUCGGAAUGAAUUAAAAUCUCCUAAUCAAAUAUGCAUGCAUGAAUACAAAAUGUCAUGAAAAUAAUCCCCUAAUGUUUGAGUUGUUAUUGUUCAUUGUUCAUUAAGGAUUUAUUACCAACACAUCAGAACGCCAUCUUGUUCGGCUAGUAAAACUCAUAUCUUACUUAACCAGAUUGCGUCCACUAUAAUCUUCAAGGUUCAAUCCAUUGUAAUCUUCAAGGUUCAAUCCACUGUGCUUUUAGGACAUAAAAUUUAAACUAUCUUCCUCCCACUAUAAUUUAGGAAUAUAAGAUCUGGCUCUUUCUCAAUCCUCUCAUCCUGCAAUUCAAGGAUACAAGACCUGAAUCUCUUUGGUCUAUUACACUUUCCUAGAGUGUCAUACCAAAUGUUUAUGCACAAUUGUAGAACUUUCUUCUCCAAGAAAACAUAUUCUUAUCACUGGGUGAUCAUUGCUUGUUUGUUCAUUGAAGCUUUGUCACCAACACGGCAUCUUGUCAUUUUGUUCAAUCAACAUUUUGACAACAAAAUUUGAAGGGAUAGUCUUAAUUUAGACUUUUCCUUCUUAGAUAUUUCAACCUUUAAACUUGGUGCGUUCUAAACAAUAGUCCUGUUUUAGGUUCUUGUAUUAUUUAGAAACUUCUAGAGUAAUAUGCAAAACUUCCUUUGAGAAAGUAUUAUUAGUCCAUUAAUCAUCAUUCCAAUGCCACAUGCUUGCAAAAGAUCAUACCAAUGGAUAAAAAUAGAAUUGAUUUGGGAGCACGGUUCGAAAUGAAUAAAUUAUCAAAGAUAGUAAAAUAAAAGAGGAAUUAAGUAGGAACAUGUAUCUUGAAAAAUAAUGAAGUAUUCUAAGAACAACAAAUUCAAUAUAAAUAGUAUGAAGACUAGAUGCCCCAAAUAUCGUAGCUUGAGUUUCUCUGUACAAACUUUCUAAAGACCAUUCCGAGUUUGACAUGUGUUUAGGAGAUCUAUAGUACUUUGUCGCUGCCCCAAUAUGUCGCCUACCCUUUCUUGUUGAUUCAGGUAUAAGAAGAUCACCACAUGCCCCAAUUUGAUCAAAAUUUCAGCUGUUCUGAUCACCUCAUGUCCCAUUCUAAUAAAAGAUUUGAGCUGCCCUUUUUGAGUUUUCAACUCAAAUCCCCUUGGGUCUCAAUGCGCCCUUUGCAGGUUUUUACCUUGGCCUCUCCUUUUUCUUUUUUCUUUAUUAUUAUUAUUAUUUUUUAUGACUCAAAGCACCCUUUGUGGGUUUUCACCUUGAUCUCUCUUUUUUUUUAGAACUUAAGGCGCCCUUUGUGGGUUUUCACCUUAGUCCUUUUUAGGACUCAAAGCGCCCUUUGCGAGUUUUUGCCUUUGUCCCUUCUCUUUUUUUCAAGUGAAGUGUGUCUUGAUUGAGUCUAAGUUUACAAGAUUUGACAAGUUUUUACCAUCCAUCUUACUCAAAAUCAAAGCUCCUCCGGAAAAGGCUUUCUUUACAACAUAAGGUCUUUCCCAAUUUGGCAUCCAUUUCCCUCUAAAAUCUUUUUGUAGAGGGAGAAUCCUCUUCAACAUUAGGUCGCCCUCAUUGUAACACCCCUAACCCGUGACCGUCGCUGGAUUGGGUUUAUGAGGCAUUACCGAACCAAAAGCUUAAUUCUAAUUUUAAUUAAUAAAUGGUAAAUCCAAAACAAAAUGAAUCAUGCACUAUGUUAUAUAUAUAUAUAUAGCAUAGCAUAGCAAAAUCAAAUAUAAAAUUCAAGUAAACCAAAUUUGCAUGCUUAACAAUCAAGUGGAAUACAUAGACUAUCCAUUCAAAUAUAGUAAAGGUGUACAUUUAUCAGAUUUGAAUAAAAUUGAUAUUUCACUAUAUUUAUUCAAAUAUAUAAUCUUACCAUUUCCAAGAAACAUUAUAUAUAUUCAUUAAGAUAAUAUAACACUCACUCAAAUUUCAUAGUCAACCACACUUUUUUGGAAUUAAACAUGAACCAAAUAAUCUAUCUGUAUAUACAAUAUUUCCUAUUACCUAUUUAAUAAAUCUCAAAAUCUUAUUCAAAUAUUACAUAAAUUAAUCAAAUACAAUUACAACUUGAAUAACAAAUUAGGUUCUUAUACUAAUAAAUAUAAUAAAUAACAUGAAUUUAACCUUUAACCGAAUAUACAUGGCUUAUAAUAAAAUCAUAUGAUCAAACUAAUUUGUCCUAUUUAAAACCGAAUGCAAACCCAUGCAUAGCAAAUUUUCUUUACUAAAUAAUUAAAUUGAAGUGGCCAAAGUAAUACCAAUUCGUCUAGCGCAUAAUAUGCCUAAAUUAAAUCUAACAUCAAUCUAACCAAAUUGAUCAUCCAAUACCAAAGCAUAUAAAUCAUAUCAUUUACCUGUUUAAAUACAUAUAAUUGAACUAUCUAUAUAAAUGCAUGCGCAUAAAUGCUCAUGCUUAAACCAUUUCCAAAAUAUAUAUUUCAUUACAUUACCUUACAAAACUAAGCAUUUCAUUACCAGUUAUAUAUAUAUAUAUAUAUAUAUAUAUUAUAUGCUAUAAAAUAAAUAUCAAAUUAUAACUAUCGGCAAUUACAUUAAUUAAUCAAACAUAUACACCUAUAAUAUCAUUUAACAUCAAUUCCCAUGAAUUAAACAUACCAUUUGCAAUUUCAUAUCCAAACAAAUCACACAUAACAUUCACAUAUAUAAUACCAUCCAUAAAAUGCUUAAUCAUAAUCAAAAUAUGCCUAAACCAUAAUUCACCCAAACCGAUCACAACAAUCUAAUUAAGCCAUUUUCGCAUGGCUUUAAUUUAUACAUUUAGCAUAUGUAAGUCGAAUAUUUUACUACUAGAAUACAAGUAUAUUCAUCAUCAUCAUCAUAUAUAUAUCACAAUUAUGAUAAUAAGCCAAAAUCACUCAUAAUUUCAAACAUAUUUACACAUUAUAGACUUACUAAAUAAUCUUGAAUCAUCAAUUCAAUAUAAAACUUACCUUAAUUUCUUAACAUGGUAAUAAUACAUACCUGAACUUUUAAAUUUGUUUUCACAUUUGUUCUUAAAUUAACGAUGCCCGUUGAGCCGUUCUGCAUUGAAAAGGAUAUGCAAAUAGUCGGAAAGCUCGUACAAUGCCAACGUCCUAGAUGUGGUCUUACAUGUAUUUACAAAUUGAUGCCACUGUGCAAGACAGGGUCAUACACAUAAACACAAGUCGAUGCCAACAUCCCAGACGUGGCCUUACACGUAAUCACAAGUCGAUGUCAACGUCCCAGACGUGGUCUUACACAAAAUCACAUAUUGGAAAUCCUAUCUAUUCCUAAGGCUCGUACGGGGCUUCUGAUUAUUGAACCUAAUCAAAUCAAACUCAAAAAUACAUAUUUCUAGCUUAAUCAUAUUCGGCCAUCAUCAAAUAAAAUUCAUAAAAUUGAAUUUAUUAUGUGACCUAUGUAUAUAAUUAAAUUUAACAACAUUUAUAUGCUUACAGACUUACCUCGGAUGUCGUCGAAUAAUAAAUCGGCUACUCGACCACUUUUGUCUUUCCCCGAUCCAAAUCCGAUUUCUUUAAUUCUUGAUCUAAACAUAUUUAAAUUAAGCUUAUUUAAACACGAUUCUAUUCAAUUUAGCCUAAAAACACAUGAAUGGACAAAUUACAAUUUUACCCCUAACAUUUCCCACUUUUUACAAUUUAACCCUUUUUGCUCAAAACACAAAAUACACAAAAUUUGACUACACUCUUUAAGGGUCGAAUAUUCCUAGUGUCCACACAACUCCAUAUUUUUCAUUUAUUUAGCAUUUGACCCCUCAAUUUACGCUUUUCUUAAUUUAGUCCUUAAUACACAUUUUUAUCAAAAAAAUUACUAAUUAAAACAUGAAAAUCUAACUACAUAUAUUUAUUUUCCAUCAUCUAAAAACAAAAACAACAAGUUCUCUUCAAUGGCAUCUUACAAAAUACACAACAAAUACAAAAUUUCAAGCAUGGGCUUUAUAGUACUCGAAACAACGAUAUUAAAAACAUAAAAAUUAUCAAAAAUCGAAACAAAAUCUAACCUUAAUUAAGACUUGUAAUUGCCGAAUGUUCAAAGCUUUUUCUUUCUUUAUUUCUUUUGUAGUUUCGGUGAAAACAAAGAUGAACAAUAGCAUGGUUUUCUUAUUUUAUGUUUUAUUUUAUUAACAUAUAAUAAUAACAAACUAUUAUGUUACCAAAAUAACCUUUAAUAAAGAAUAUACAAAACAUAUAAUAUAAGGUCAUUCUUGACCAUUGCCAUCCACUAACUUAUAUAAUGUGCUAAUUGCAUCAUAGUAUAAAGACAACAACAAUUAGACACUUUCAUAUUUAACCACUAAAUUUUCAUUUUACGCGAUUAAAUCCUUUUUCUCAAAUUAAGCACUCAAACAAUAAAAUUAAUUCACGAAACUUUCACACAUGUAAAUUCACACAUAAUAAACACAGAAUAAAAAUAUUAAAAUAUUUUUUAGACUCGGAUGUCUGGUCCCGAAACCACUGUUCCGAUUAGGGUCAAAAUCGGGUUGUUACAACUCUCUCCCUUUAGGGAUUUUCGUCCUCGAAAAUCUUACCGGUGAAUAGCUGUGGGUAACAUUCUUUCAUUGCAUCCUCUGGCUCCCAGGUUGCUUCCUCAACUCUGUGCUUAUGUCACAGUACUUUGACUAACGGAAUUUUCUUAUUUCGUAAUUCUUUAACCUCACGAGCCAGAAUAUUAAUCGAUUCUUUUUCAUAUGACAUAUCAGACUUAAUUUCAAUCUCGGUAGGACUAAUCACAUGCAAAGAACCGGAUCUAUACCUAUGAAGCAUCGAAACAUGGAAUACAUUGUGAAUCUUUUCUAACUCAGGUGGCAGCAGCAAUCAAUAAGCAACUGGCCCGACACGCUUUAUAAUCUCAUACGGUCCAAUGAAUCUCGGACUCAAUUUGACUUUACGACCGAAUCUGAGUAUUUUCUUCCACGAUGAUACUUUUAAAAAAACUUUAUCUCCAAUCUGAAACUCUAUAUAUUUUCUUUUCAAGUCUGCAUAUGAUUUCUGACGAUCCGAUGAUGUUUUCAGAUUAUCGCGAGUCACUUUCACUUUCUAUUCAGUUUCUUUAAUCAAAUCGACCCUGUGUAUCUUAUUUUCACUGAGUUCAGUCCAAUACAAUGGUGUACGACAUUUACGACCGUAUAAAGCCUCGUAAGGUUGCAUUUUGAUACUAGAUUGAAAGCUAUUAUUAUAUGACAAUUCAAUCAAAGGUAAGUAUUGUUCCCACGUACCUUCAAACUCAAGAAUGCAACUUCUCAACAUAUCCUCAAGUAUCUGAAUGAUUCGUUCGACUGUUUCUGGAUGGAAAGCUGUGCUAAAAUGUAGUUUCGUACCUAAAGCAUCUUGUAGUUUCUUUCAAAACCGCGAUGUGAACCUCGGGUCUCUGUCCGAAACAAUAGAAAUAGGCACACCAUGCAACCUCACAAUUUGAGAAAUGUAUAAUUCAGCAAGUUUAUCAAGUGAAUAAUCAGUAUGGACUGGAACAAAGUGAGCUAAUUUUGUCAAUCUAUCAAUAAUAACCCAGAUUGCAUCUUUCUUGCUCGGUGUCAACGAUAAACCAGAUACAAAAUCCAUCGUGACUCGGUCUCAUUUCCAUUCAGGUAUCAUGAUCAGCUGAAGCAACCCAAAAGGUAACUGAUGCUCGGCUUUUACUUGUUGACAUAUUAAACAUUGUGAAACAAAGUCAGAAAUAUCUCGCUUCAUACCGCGCAACCAAUAGUGCUAUUUUAGAUCAUUAUACAUUUUCGUGCUACCCGGAUGAAUAGAUAAUCGACUAUUAUGAGCUUCAUUCAAGAUCAUAUGAAUUAAGUCUGAAUUUUUCAGAACACAUAGUCGGUUUCUGAAUCUCAAACAAUCCUCAGCAUCAACUAGAAACUCUGAAUCAACAUUCAAAUCACACUGAGCCCGUUUUGCAAUUAAAUCAUUAUCAUCUUUCUGAGCUUCACAAAUAUAUUGAACAAAUAGCGGUUUUACUUUCAACUCAGCUACCAUUGCACCAUCAUCAGACAUAGCUAUAUGCGCGUUCAUUGCACGCAAAGCAAAUAAUGAUUUUUGACUUAAGGCAUUCACAACAACAUUAGCCUUUCCCGAAUGAUAAUCAAUCACAAGCUUAAAAUCUUUUAGCAACUCUAACCACCGUCGCUGUCUCAAAUUUAGGUCCUUCUGAGUCAUCAAAUAUUUCAAGAUUUUGUGAUCAAAAUAAGCAUGACAUUUUUCACCGAAUAAAUAGUGGCGCCACAUUUUCAAACCAAACACAAUAACGGCCAAUUUGAGAUCAUGCGUCGGAUAGUUCUUUUCAUGUGGCUUCAACUGUCUCGAGGCAUAAGCUACAACUUUGCCUUCCUGCAUCAAAAUAUAGCCCAAACCGUUCAAAGAUGCAUCACUAAAAAUAACAAAUUCUUUACCUGUCUCUAGCUGAACUAGUACUGGAGCUUCGGUCAAAAGGACUUUCAACUGAUCAAAUCUUUUCUGACACUUUUCUGACCACUCGAACUUAACAUCUUUUUGUAGCAACUUCGUCAUCAGGGUCGCAAUCAUAGAAAAACCUUUCACGAACUGUCUAUAAUAACCAACGAGUCCCAAAAGACUUCAAACUUCAGAGACAUUUCUCGGAGGUUUCCAAUCAAGUAUAGCUAAAAUUUUACUUACAUCAACCCGAAUACCCGAUGCUAAUACAAAAUGGCCCAAAAAACUGACUUCGCAUAACUAGAACUUACAUUUACUAAACUUUGCAUACAAUUGUUUAUCUCGCAAAGUUUGUAACACAAGUCUUAGAUGUUCAGCAUGUUUGAUUUCAUCACGAGAGUAGAUCAAAAUGUCAUCUAUGAAUACUACCACAAACUGAUCCAGAUACUAUCUAAAGAUUCGAUUCAUCAAAUCCAUGAAAACAGCAGGUGCAUUAGUAAGCCUGAAAGGCAUAACCAGGAAUUCGUAAUGUCCGUACCUCGUUCAGAAAGCUGUCUUUGGCACAUUAGAGUCUUUAACUCACAACUGAUAGUAACCCAAUCUCAAAUCUAUCUUCGAAAACAUUGAAGCCCUUUUUAGCUGAUCGAACAAAUCGUUAAUACGUUGCAAUGGAUAUUUAUUAUUUAUAGUCACCUUAUUGAGCUGCCGGUAAUCAAUACACAUUCUCAUCGUUCCAUCUUUCUUUCUCACAAAUAGUACUGGUGCACCUCAAGGAGAGAAACUCGGUCGUGCGAAACCUUUAUCUGUCAACUCUUACAACUAUUCUUUCAUCUCUUUUAAUUCAGUCGGUGCCAUACGGUACGGAGCUGUCAAAAUUGAAGUCGUCCCUGGUACUAAAUCAAUACCAAACUCUACCUCUCGAAUAGGUGGCAAACCCGACAAUUCUUUGGGAAACACAUAUGAAUAGUCACACACAAUCGGCAAGGAUUCAAUCUUUUUUCAGUCACUUUACUAUCAAGAAUAUAUGCAAGGUAAGCUUUACAACCUUUUCUCACAUACUUUUGAGCCAACAUCGAGGAUAUUACUGCUGGUAAACCAUUUAGAUCUUUAGAUUCAAUCUAAAUAAUCUCGUCGUUCUGGCAUCUUAAAUCGAUAGUCUUUCUUUUACAGUUAACCACAGCAUCGUGUAAAGUCAACCAGUCCAUACCCAAAAUAGUAUCGAACUCGUCAAAUGGCAACAACAUCAAAACAGCCGUAAAACGUAAAUCUCGAAUCAUCAACGGACAAUUCUUACACACUUUAUCAACCAAAACACACCGGCCCAAGGGAUUUGAUACUCUAAUCACAAACUCAGUAGACUCAACAAGCAAAGUCUUACUAGAUACUAAAGUCUCACACACAUAUGAAUGAGUCAAACCAAGAUCAAUCAGUCCAAUAACAUUAGUAUCAUAGAGAGUGAAAGCACAGUAAUAACGUUUGGGAAUGAAGCCUCUUUACGAGCGCGUAUAGCAUAUGCUCUGGCAGGUGCGUUAGCCUCAGAUCUAACAGUUGUAUCUUUGGUCCCCCUCUGACUGCCACUCAUAUUACCUGUGUUUCUGGGUGGUCUACCUCUAGCUGCAGUGUUACCCGAUCUCGUAUUUUGUACCGAAUUUUGAUCCACUAACUCUGGGCAUUCACGAAUGAAAUGAUCCCUCGAUCUACAUUUAAAAUAGGCUCGAUCAUGUAAUCUCUAACUACCAGAAUGUCGUUUACCACAAUGUUCACACUCGGAUUGAUUUGACCUGACAUUACCCACACUCGCUACUGAAGUAGCUCUCGAGCUCACAGGUGGUCUAUCCAAAUCCCAUCGUGAAUACCCCACAACAGUCUUUGAACGGCUAGUAUCAUCUCGAAACUUCUUUGAGGUCGACUGAAAUGGCUUACAAAAUAACCUUUUACAAAAAUCUCUGGCUUCAAAGUCAGCUUUUCUCUUCUCUUUCCCGAGUUAUUCGGCUUUGUAAGCUCGUUUAACAAGUACCACAAACUAUUUUAUCUCAAGUAUGCCAACUAACAGUUUAACAUCUUCAUUCAGCCCAUCUUCAAAUCUUUUACACAUAAUAGCUUCAGUCGAAACACACUCUCGGGCAUACCUACUGAGUCUCACAAAUUUCCGCUCAUAUUCUGUCACUGUCAUCCGACCCUGUUUCAAUUCAAGAAAUUCCUUGCGUUUCUGAUCAAUGAAUCUCUGGCUGAUGUAUUUCUUACGGAACUCAGACUGAAAGAAUUCGCAGGUCACUUGCUCUUUCGGACCCACUGAUACUAGUGUAUUCCACCAGUGAUAUGCAGUGUCCCGUAGCAAAGAUAUGACACAUUUUAAGCACUUGUCAGGGAUGCAAGAUAACUCGUCAAACACUCGAAUAGUAUUAUUUAGCCAGAAUUUAGCUCGCUGAGCAUCAUCAUCAUCAGUGGCUCUGAACUCUUUGGCCCCGUGUUUUCGGAUUUUAUCAACAGGAGGCUUUAGUAAUCUCAACGAAUCACUCACUUGAGGUAUAACAGGAAUCAAAGAUGGAUUAAUCGAGGGUGGAGGGCAAUCAUAUAACUACAAAAAAUACAUAAAACAAAAAAAAUAAUGUCCUAAAAAAACAUAGGUGGUAUAGGUAAUAUAAAUAAAAAAAAGACUUAUUUUUAUUGAAUCAAUAUCUAUAAUAAUAUAUAGAGUUUUACAUAUAAUAUAAACUAGGCAUAUUCAAACUCAAAAUUUUAUCUACAUAUGAGAACUUUUAUAAAAAAAAAUAUAUUCACUCAUUAAAGACAAAUGUAAAUUUUUUGUACCCCACAAAUGGAACUAAGCACAAUAACAAUGCAAAAUUAAGCAGAAAGGUCGUCAUAUUAACAAAAUUAAUAUAUAAAUUUAUGAAUGUGUCAUAAAUUUAAAAUAUAUAUAGCUAACAGGAAAAGAUCAAUUUCAUGCAAAAAAACAGUUAAAAAGGGAUAAUAACAACCAAAUAGAGAUCAGUUUCAUGCAAUCAAAAUGAUUUCUUAUUUAAUUUAUAAUUAAUUUAAAUGUUUCAUUGAUACUCGAUGAAGUGUAAUCCGUAUUUGCUCCAGAAAGCAUUUUGAUAUCUGCAUAAUUUAAAAAAAUUACAUAAAAUAAAUAUAAUUAAUUACUAUAUUACAAUAACUAUAAAAUAUAAAAUUACAAAAUAAAAACUAUAAAUAACUUACUUUUUUUUUCUCUUUUCUUCCUUCCUUUUACAAAAUAUUUGAAGGGGCGACCAAACCCCACCUUCUUAAAUAGAAUGUUCUUCUUCUUAAAUAAUGUUCUUCUUCUCUUUUUUUCUUUUUUAACUAACAAUUAAGCUAAUGACUAGUCACAUCGCUAAUGUCACUUAGAGGUGUGCAAAAUUUGGGUAAAAUCGAAAAAAUUCGAUUAAUCUAUCGAAUUCGGUUAAUCGGUCGGUUAACCGAAUUUUUUCGGUCGAGGCUCGAUUAAUUAUUUUUUAAUUUUUCAGUUAACGGUUAAUUCGGUUCAAAACCGGUCGGUUAACCAAAUUUUUUCAGUUUAACCGAAAAAAUUAAUAAAUAAAAUUAUAAUAUAUAAAUAAGCCCACUAUUCACCUAAAUCCAAUCCAAACCCAAGUAUCCAACCUAACCCAAUUACCCAAUCAUAAAAAUUACAAAUAAAUUAAUAAAUAAAAAUAAAAAAAUAUAAUUUUCGGGUAAUUCGGGUAAUUCGGUUAAUUCGGUUAAUUUUUAACCAAAAAUAAAAAUAUAUAUAAUUUCGGUUAACCGACCGAAUUAACCGAAAAAUUUUGGUUUGAUUUAUAUUUUUGAAUAAAUUUCGAUUCGGUUAAUGUUAUUUUAGGUCAGUUAACCGACUGAACACCCCUAAUGCCACUGACACGAUGUGACCAGUUAAAAUAUAUAUUUUUUUAUUUUCUAAUAUAUAAAAAAUUUCUAAUAUAUAUUUUUAAUCCUUUUUUAACCAAUAAAUUAUUUUUUUAUUUUUUCCAAUCAAUUCAAUUUUCACUUUUUUAAAUAAAAUAUUUUUUAAAAAAAUUUAAAUAGAAUUUUAGAAAAACGUUUGAAUAUCUUUAAAAAUAAUUUUAAAAAUCAUAAUUUUAAAAAAUAAUUUUAAAAAAUAUAUAUUUAAAAUUAAAAAUUAUAUUUAAAAUUUUUAAAAUAUGCAUUUAAAAUAUUAUAAAAUAAAUAAUAAAUUUGAAAGAUCAUAUCUUUAAAAAUAAUAUAUUUUAAAUAUUUUAUAAUAUUAAAAAAUAAUAUUUAAAAUUAAAAAUAAUAUAUAGUUUUAAAAAAAUAAUAUUAUAAAACAUUUCAAAUAUACAUUUCAAAUUUUAUAAAACCAAUAAUAAAUAAAACAAAUAAAAUAAAUAAAUAAAGGACAAAUAAAAAACUUAAAAAGUAAAUAAAUAAAAAGUUUAAAAAGAAAAAUGAAAAAGGACAAAGAAUCAGAGAAAAAGAAGUAACGAAUGAAAAAAAAAUAUUUAGGUUGUUUCAAUAGGACAAGGAACCCGCUAGUAUCUUAGAAUUUGGUAGCAUAAAUUUAUUUGGAUCACCAGAAAAGGAUAAAAUUGCUUAAAUAUUUUACUUUUAAAAAUUAUAAUAUUUCUCUAAUAUUUAUACAAGUUGUGUUAUUUUACAUGGCUCCACUAAAAAAAAUGAUUUAUUAAUGUAGAUUGCUGACGUGCAAAACACUUUGGCUCCUCUAACUUGUACCGUAAAUUUUUUAUUAUUUUCAAUUUUUAUGAAAAAAGGGUUAUUUAAGUAAUUAAUUAAAUUUUUGAGUUAUUUUUAUAAAAAAAGAGCAUAGUAAUUAAUUAAGCUAGGUAUUCCUUUUUCACACAAAGAAGAAAAAUGAUAGAAAAUAUAGGGUUGUGGUCGUAGAUAAAUGAUUAUAACGUGAUAUGAUCUGCUUCGCAUUAGUCCAUCACCUUAUCUUUAUGUUUUUGUCUUGGUCAUGAAUCACUUUGGCCUUUGUCUGCAAGUACUGUCUGUCCUACUAUCCUGCAUCUGAUUUUCUCUGUCUUUUGGGUCUAUUUGAAUCAUGCUGAAGUAAGAAAACUGUUUUUAAAGUAUAAAAGUUGAUAAUUAUAUUAGUUUAUUUCUUUAUAAUUUUUUAAAUUUUUAGAGAUAAUAAAUUAAAAUUUUAUAUUUUUGAGGAUAAACUAGAAUUUUAUAAUGGCUUAAAUAAUAGGUUUUCAUUUUAGGAGGUCUAAAGAGUAUUUUUCUUUUUAAAGGAGCCACAACCCUUGCUUACUUUGGUCACCUUCUAUGGUGACCAGAUUCAUUCCAGUGAGAUUAAAAACAAUAGUGGUGGUGAGAUUAAUUACUAUAAUAAUGAGAUUAUUAAAAUGAGAUAGAUUAUAGAUUUAUAGUAAAAAGGAAAAAUGACCAUUAUAGACAUUAAACUAAAAUUAAACUAAAGAAGUUUACACCAUUCCGUAUAUUUUUGUACGAUUAAUAUUUUAAAGAUAAAAACACCAUAUUUCAUAUUUCAUUUAUAUAAAUCAUGCAUGUGAAAUUUCACGUAAAUUAAAAAAAUUUAACUAGUUGUUUUAUGUAAAAUACUUUUAAUCUUUGAAUGAAUGUUAAUACAUACAAUAUUUUAGAUGGAUAGAUAAAAAUAUCGAAUCAAUUGAGAAUUUACAAUAAUAUCAACAAAUUCAAUGAUUGGAUUGUUAAGUUAAGAAUCAUGUAAAAAUAUAUGAAAGCGUGUAAAAUUACUUUAAUUUCGCAGUAGUAUAAGCAAAUUCUUUUUUUAAUAUAUAAAAUUAAUUAUAUAAUUUAAAUUUAUGUAUUUAACAUUAUUUAUAAAUAUAUUAUUUGAAAGUAAUGAAAUAAAAUAAAUAUUAUAAAUAAAAUUAUUAAAAAAUAGUAUCUAUUAUUGAAUUAAAUUAACCAUUCUUUAAAAAAGAGUGAAAAUUAUUUUUUUAAAUGCAUAGGGUUUUAUUUUUAAAAAAAUUUAAGAUUUAGGUAUAAAAGAUAAACAUAAAGUGCAUAGGGCUUUAUUUUUUAUUUUUUAAAUAAUAUUGUUUUCGGCUCACAUGCAGUUUAUUUAGUUAGGUGAAGUAUACCUAACUCAAAUUUUAUAAAAAUGAUAAAAGGCAUGUGAUUUAGUAACACAAAUAUUUUAUUCUCAAUUUUAAUUCGGUUUUUUUAUUUAAAAUAGUAAAGGAUGUAGAUACCUUUAUAAAUUUGCACCUUUUAUUUUAUACUUUAGUCCUUUCUUAAUUUCAUUUAGUGAUUUAUUGUAUACAGUGACGGAGCAUAGUGAAGAUUAGGUAGCAUGACAUCCUUUAAAAUGGUAAAUUUUUUUUAUUUAAGCUCUUUAUAAUUUAUAAAAUUUUAAAUUAGUAAUGGUAAAAUUGUACUUUAACCCUCCAAAGAUGAUAAAAAUUUGAUUUAACCCUUUAAAAAUUACAAAUAUAUAGACUAUUAAAAAUUACAAAUUACAAUUUAAUCCCAACCUCCAAAAACAGUUAGGCUCCGCCAGUUAAUUAAUUAUAUUAAAUUCGAUAAAAAUUUUAAGUAGAAUUGAAAAAAUAUGUGUUUUAUUUAAUAAUAAUACUUUUGAAUGGGUUGAAUUGGCAAGAGUUAAGGUGUGGACACUACACCAAAACAGGUCUUUAGCGGCAUAUUUUGUGGCGCUUGGACGAAAAACGCCGCUAAAAACCGAUCAUUAGCGGCGCAAAGACCUAAACGCCAUAAAAGAACAUCAUUAGCGGCGUUUACCACAAUGCGCCGCGAAAUCUCUUAACCAAAACGCUGUGUUUUCGUCUUGAUGUAUCUUAAAAUUAGUGGCGUUUACGCGAAACGCCAUUAAAGGACAGUAAUAGCGGCGCUUUCUGGAAACGCCGCAAAAUAGCUUAACCAAAACGCAGAGUUUGGUCUUGAGGUAUCUUAGAAUUAGUGGCGUUUAUAGGAAAACGCCGUUAAAGUACAGUAAUAGCGACGCUUUAUGGAAGCGCCGCAAACUAUCUUAAGCGAAACACAUCGUUUUGGUCUUGAUUUAUACUAGAACUAGUGGCGCAUAUGGUCAAACGCCGCUAAAGAAUAGUAUUAGCGGCGAUUUGUAGCUAGCGCCACAAAAUAUCUUAACAAAAACGCAGCGUUUUGAUCUUAAUGUAUAUAAAAUUAGUGGCGCUUACGGUAAACCGCCGCUAAAGAAUAUUAAUAGCGGCGCUUUGUGAGAAGCGCCGCAAAAUAUCUUAACCAAAACGCAUAAUUUUGGCCUCGAUGUAUAGUAGAAUUAGUGGCGCUUAGUGAAACGCCGUUAAAGCAUAGUAUUAGCGGCGAUUUGUAGCUAGCGCCGCAAAAUAUCUUAACAAAAACGCAGUGUUUUGAUCUUAAUGUAUAUAAAAUUAGUGGCGCUUACGGUAAACCGCCGCUAAAGAAUAUUAAUAGCAGCAAAAUAUCUUAACCAAAACGCAUAAUUUUGGCCUCGAUGUAUAGUAGAAUUAGUGGCGCUUAGUGAAACGCCGUUAAAGCAUAGUAUUAGCGGCGCUUGGAUAAAAGCGCCACCAAGUAUCUGAACCAAAACGCAUCGUUUUGGUCUUGAUGUAUACUUGAUUUAGUGGCGAUUUCGGUAAAACGCCGCUAAAGCAUAGUAUUAGCGGCGAUUUGUUGAUAGCGCCGCGACUUACCAUAAACAAAACGCAACGUUUUGGUCUUAAUUUAUACUAAAAUUAGUGUCGCUUUGUUGAAAGUGCCGCAAAAUAUCUUAACAGAUUUUUGGGUUUUAACCAUGCAUUAUGUAAUGUAGGUUACUAUAUAUUUAGUUUAUCAUAUUUGGUUUAGGUAUAGGGUAUUAGGGUUCAUUAUAUAAUGUUUAGUAUUUUUGGAUUACAGUGUAAAGUUUAAAGUUUAGGGUUUACGAUGUAGGUUUAAGGUUAGGGUAUUAGGGUGUUUAGGGUUUAAGGUUUAGGAGUCUGGGGUAUAAGGUUUAAAGUUUGGGGUUUAGGCUACUUUAGUCAUGUUAAUAGGUUAAUAUUGUUUCGGAUUUUGGGGUCUGGUUGUUGGUUUUAGAGUUUAGGGUUUAACGAUUUAGUAGCUUAAGAUUUUAGGGUUUAAAAGUUUAGAGGUUUAGGGUUAAAUCCUAAAAGCGUGCAUGAACAACAGUUUAAUGUUCAAUUGUAUACAUGAACUUUAAUUUGAUCUAAAUAUUGUAAAAUAUUAACACAAUUAUUGAUAUAAUUAACAUCAUUUUAAUUUACGUAUAUUGCAUACAUAAAUAUUUAUAUUUAUUCAAUAUAAAAAUAUAUUUUGAUGUAAAAUUUUUUAUAGAUCAUGAAAUAAAUUUUUAAAAAUGCAUUAUUCUCCCAUUUUUUAUUAAUUGAUAAUUUCAUUUUAUAAAUUUUGUUUUAAUUUUGGAUCAAUUUGGCUUGAAUCUUGGAUGAAGGCAUUAGCGGCGCUUGAGCAAAAGACGCCGCUAAAGGUGAUGUAUUACCGGCGUUUUAUGAAGAAACGCCGCCCAUUUCCUUAAGUGUAACAAAGACACGGUGCCGUUUUUUGUUUUCAUUUAGUGGCGCAUUUGGAAAACGCCACAAAAAUUUAUAACGAGUUGAGGAAACGGCGUCGUUUCCUAUUUUUAUUAGUGGCGCUUUUGCUAAUGCGCCGCAAAAAUGUUACGGUAUAUAAGUGAAAACGGCACUGUUUUAUUCUGAACUUGGAAUUUUAGUGUCGUUUUUAUUUAAAACGCCGCAAGUGUGGACUCAAUAACGGCGUUUGUUCUCAACGCGCCGCAAAUCUGACUUAAAAAUUUCUUAAACGGCGUCGUUUCUUAAGGGGACAUUUAACUUAAUACCCUUCUCUCGUCCUCCAAAAACAGAAAGAGUGAAUUUGCAGACCUCAAGUGUCGAAAGGGAACAAAUUUCAGACUUCUUACAAAGGAAAAAAGAAGGUUGGGGUCGGUCUUGAAAGAAGUUUGGCACAGCUGCGAGAUUUUUCGAUUAAAUAGGUAAGGCGUUUCUGUUAUUUUUGGAUUAAAUUUUUAGGGUUUUAGGUCAGUCAUAGUUAUUUGGGGUUUUAGGGUUUCGAUUAAACAACUUCAACAAUGUACUAUUCCGAUUAAAUAUGUAAGGCGUUUCUGUUAAAUAGGUAAGGCGUUUCUGUUAUUACAGCCACUUAUGGAUUUGAGUUUCAUAUUCUGAUUUCUGGUAUUGAUUUGUGGUAUUGAAAAAAUUUAUAUUACAGCCACAAUAUUGAUUUGUGGUAUCAAUUUACUAUUCUGAUUUAGAUUAUAGCACAUGAGAGGGUGGCAAAAUUUAUAUUCCGAUUUAGAUUAUAGCACAUGAAUUGGAAGGGAUGGAUAAAAAUAAAUAAAUGAAUUGCUAUGGAUUCUCUUGAGGAUGUAAAAUCCGAAUUGGUUGGUCAAUUAGAAUUAGAUUAUGUUGUUAUGUGCAGAAAUAAUUGAGUGGAUUUGAAAUAAUUUGUUUUUGAUUAUGUUGUUAUGUUCUGAAAUAUGCUUUGGAUUUGAAAUAAUUUCUGAGUCUGAAAUAAUUUGUUUUUGAUUAUGUUGUUAUGUUCUGAAAUAUGCUUUGGAUUUGAAAUAAUUUUUGAGUCUGAAAUAAUUUGUUUUUGAUUAUGUUGUUAUGUUCUGAAUUAUGCUUUGGUUCUGAAAUCUGGAUCUGGUUUUUGUCUGCGUUGCUUUCUUAGCUUGCUGGGUUGGAGCUCGUUUCAUUGCUGCCAAAUUUGGAUAUUCUUUGGCGUGGAGGUAAAUUUUGUAAAGGCAAAUUUUAUGUUGCAAAUAAAAGGUUUUUAGUUAAUCAUCUUUAGUUAAUCAUCUUGCUGUUCGUGGUAGUUAUAUACCCGUUGCAUUUUGGUCAGCCUGUCAUGUAUUAUGCAAAUCCCGAAAUGGUUUUAAGCAAGUGGACUUUGUUUAUUUAGUUAUGCACAUAAUACUUUCAUAUUUUAUUUGUUGUAGAAGUUGGUAUCUCACAGUUUCUCAUCAAAUGUAUGCGAGUAGUAUCGAAUGCAAAUUGUUUUAACAGCCAUUUGAUCAAUUGUUCUGUUUUUUUCUAAUAUUCCUUUAUAACAUAUUGGAAGAUAUGUUAUGUUUUAACUUAAUAUAUUUGAAACAUAAUAUCUUAUGCCUCACAAAAUCCAAUUUUUGAUGAUUGUCUUAUUUUAAAUAAUGCUUCCAAUCAAUGGUAUGUGUAUUAUUUAAACAAAAUCCACGAAAUAAAAAUUACUUACUAAAACUUGUAAUUCAAAAUUUAAUUUCAAGUCCAAAUUAAUAUUUUACUUAAAUAUAUUACUUACAAUUUAAUUUAACUUAUUAAAUAUAUAUAUUGUUAAGUAAUAAUUUUUUGAAAUUUAUAUCUUAGAUUACUUAAAUAUAUAUUUUUAAGUAUAUUUUACAUGACUUACAUUACUUACUAAAACAUAUUUUUUACUAAAAUUUACUUGAAUAUAUUAAUUAAAUAAAUUACUAAUAAAGAUUGCUUAUGUAAGCUAUAUUUAAAUUUUAAAUUUAAUAAAUUAUUUAUAACAAUUAUUUAAAUUUAAUAAAUAAUUUAAAAAUUAUUUAAAUUUUAUUAAUAAUAAAUUUAUAACUUAAAUAAGUAUUACUAUUUUUUUAAUAUUAUACAUAUAUUCAUUUAGGUAUGUAAGCUAUAUUUAAAUUUUAUUAAUAAUAUUUAAACAUAUUUUGUUGUCAAAUUAGUGACACAUAUACCUCUCCACGAAUUAUUCAGUGGAAGAUUAGUUUAAAAGCAAAGAUUGCUUAUAUAAGCUAUAUUUAAAUUUUAUUAAUAAUAAAUUUAUAACUUAAAUAAGUAUUACUAUAUUUUUAAUAUUAUACAUAUAUUCAUUUACAUAACACAUAACUUACAUAACUUUCAUAAUACACAACUUACGCAUCUUACAUAAGACAUAACUUACAUGUGUAAAUAAUACAAAAAUUACAUAACUAACAUAAGACAUAACUUACAUAAGUUUCAUAAUACACAUCUUACGCAACUUACACAACUUACAUAACUUACAUAAGUUUCAUAAUACACAUCUUACGCAACUUACACAACUUACAUAACUUACAUAAUGUAUAUCUUGUUGUCAAAUCCUAAACCCGUGCAAUUUAUUGUCAACGUCAGACUUCAAGAAUUAAAAAAUGGACCGGUCUUGGAUGAAUUUGUCAAGGGUAAGCGACGGUUAUCGAAAUGGGGUGCAGAGUUUUCUAAAUUUUGCAUUUCAAUAUGCAAGCCAAGAGAACAUGAUUCUUUGCCCGUGCAAGAAGUGUGUCAACAUAAAUUGGCAUUAUCGUGAGGUUGUAUACGAGCAUCUAAUUGUUGAUGGGUUUGUUCGGGGUUAUAAACAAUGGUUAUUUCAUGGUGAAUGCCCGCGUAGUACUUCCUCUUCAAGUAUGGAUGUAACUUAUCCUGAUACUGCUUACCAUCAGUCUGGUAGAGGGGAUGACAUGGAAGGUAUGUUGCGGGAUGCAUUUAAUAUGCACAAUCAUGGUGUUGAAUCAUUCCCAGCGGACUUUAUGGCCUCUGAUGAUUGUAAUAUUGGUGGAAAUACUUUUACCGAACCGGGAAGUAGUGUACGUCAUGAAGAGCCGAAUGGAGAAGCGGCGAAGUUCUACGCGCUACUUAAUGACAUGAACGAAGAACUGUAUGAGGGAUCAAAAUUUUCAAAGAUGUCCUUCUGUGUUCGUCUUUUUCAAUUAAAGUGUUUGGGAGGGUGGACGGGAAACUCGUUGACGAUGCUGUUAGAGUUUUUGAGAGAAAUGUUCCCGCUUGCAAAAAUCCCUCGGUCCUGCAAAGAUAUGAAGAAGAUGAUAAAAGAUUUAGGCCUUGGGUAUAACAAAAUCCAUAGUUGCCCAAAUGACUGCAUGUUGUAUUGGGGCGAUCGGAGAAACCAACAGUGCUGUCAUGUAUGCGGCCACUCUCGUUGGACAAGUAGAAACACAGAAGAUGGGAACGACGAUGAAAAUGAUGCACAGUCACGGAAGAAGCCAGCCAAGAUUUUACGGUAUUUUCCGUUGAUACCAAGGCUUCAAAGGCUUUUUUUAUUGUCGAAGACAGCGGAGUCAAUGACAUGGCACCAUGAUGGACGAACCGUUGAUGGAUUACUAAGUCAUCCGGCAGAUUCUUUAGCUUGGAAAUCAUUUGACAAUAAAUUUACAAGCUUCGCAAGCGAUCCUAGGAGUGUGAGGCUUGGGCUAGCAUCUGAUGGAUUUAAUCCUUUCAAGAUCAUGAGUACAAACAAAUAUUGAGAUCUCGUUUGCGCUCCCGAAGAACACAACAUCGAGAUAUCAAUAAGUUGUUUACAGAAUCAUUUUAUGAAUGGUUAAGCCAAAUGGUAUGCAGUUCGAGCUUCCGCUUACAAAUAAUAAUAUUUUCUCAUAACAAAUGAAUUACUCAGUUUACUUUCCAUUCAAUAGGUUUGGAGCGGGAAGAACAUAAACGACGAUGUUAAAUGGCUCUCCCAAGGUCCAAAUCGAGUGGUUAAAAGAUAUAGUGCGUUCCUCAUCAACGGAUUCAGAUUUCAUACAAAAUAUCGCGAGAGGUUGAGGAGAACGCAAAAUUGUGGAAUUGUUGUCAAUUCUGCAAUUACGAGUUAUGCUAGUGCUAGGGACAAUAAUCCUGUCGAGGGAAAUGUGGAAUAUUUCGGACAACUUACUGACAUAAUUGAGUUGGAUUACUACGGCAAAUGGAAAGUUGUCUUAUUUCGUGGUGAUUGGGCCGAUGUUAAUACAGCUCGUGGAAUUAAGCAAGAUCAAUUUGGUUUUACAAUGGUGAACUUUGACCGAUUGAUUCACACAGGACAACAACUGAUAGAUGAGCCGUAUGUAUUCUCAUCUCAAGUCAAACAAGUUUUUUACUCAAAAGAUCCAACUGAUGAGGGUUGGUACGUUGUACUCCGUAACAUCCCUAGAGACUUGUUUGAUAUGGGCAGUGGAAGUAGAGAUAACAUCGAAGAUAGAUCAGUAACUUUACCCUUUCCAGAACUAAACUUAAACGAUAAUAUCCCUAGUACUAGUGCACAAUUUGGAUGGGUUCGUCAGGAUACCGAUGAAGAUAUUUACGAAUAAUGAUGUAGACACAUUUUACGAUUGUUUAAUUAUAUAUAAUAUCAUAAUUUAAAUCUUCGUCUUAUUAUAUGUUUCAACUGUUUUAUAUGUGCUGUUAUUGUUGUAAUUAGCUAUUAAGUUAUUAACUAUUUUAUGUGUAUUGUAGAUAAAAUGCCUAGAAGAAAAAUUCUAAGGGGAAGCAUUGUUCAAAAUAAUCCAAACUCGACAGAAACUAAUAGUACUGAACAACAGACAGCAGUUGGAUCUUCAAAUGUUCCGAUUACAGCUGAGGAUCCUACAGAAGUUCAAAGUAAUUUUUCAUUUAAUUUACAUGCGUGUUUCUGUUAUAGUUGAUUUAUUUUUCAAAUUCUUAUAUUAUAAUAUACCAUUUGUAGCUGAAAAUGGUGGGACGCGCAGAGGUCGAGGACGUACGCUACUUAGAGAGUUGUACGAGUUAGAUUCAGUCGAGCGUGUCAAAGUUGGACGAAACAGUUUUGGUCAGCCUGUUGGAUCAGAAGCUCGACUUUUAGCUGGAUACAUGGGCAUUUUAGCACGAAAUCCGAAUAUGUUACCUAUAAACUACGAGUCAUGGCAUCAAAUGCCCGAUAGCAACAAAAACCAAGCCCUCGAUAAUAUUAAGGUAACAAAAUGUUAAUGUCAUCUAUAAUGCUUGGGAAAUAGUUUCAUUUAUAUUUAUUUUAUUAACUUGUGUUUUUUGUUUUUUGCAGGCGAGGUUUGCUUUAGAGGUCUCGGAUGCUUAUGUAAAGAAGGCAUUGGGAAAAAGAUGGAGAGACAACAAAAGUACUUUGAAGAAAAAUUAUUAUAAGACAAAAACAACCCUCGAUGAGAAAUUGCAAAAUGUCCCGCUGGGUAUGUUGAGGUACCAAUGGGAAGAUGCGGUUAGAUUUUGGCAUUCGAAUAAAGGCGAGGUCUUCUAAACUAUUGUAAUUAUUUUGGUUUAUAGUAUUUUCUAUUUACGUACUAAAAAAUUUCAUAAUGUAGGAUCGUGAUCAAGUUGGAAUAAGCAGCAGGCAGAAACAAAAAUUCACCCACACAGCCGGGUCGAGAAGUUUCGCAUGUGUAGCUGAGGCGGAGGUAUUUUUAAAUUUUUUAAUAUUGUCGAAUAUGUAUAACUUUCUAUUAAAUAAUAUUUAUACUACUAUAUUGUAGGAACGGUCGUCCGGUCAAAAAGUUGGACGCCUUCAACUUUUUGAAAUUACACAUAGGAAGAAAGAUGGAUCUCCCAUGACUCCUGAAGCUGCUGAAAUAAUGGUACGUUUACUUAAUACGAUUUGACUUAUUUUAGUUAUUUAUAGUGUUUAUUUUCUAAUGGUUUAAUUCAUUGCAGUUAAUGCGACUAUUGUUAUGUUGCAUAUGUUUUUCAAUAUAUAAUAUUGUGUUCCUAACUAUGUGAUAUAUUUAUUAGGAAAAACUAAAUGAUAAAAAGGCGGAGUACGAAGCAAUUGCUUCUAGUGAUAGUUCGGUUCAUCUUGAAGAUAUUGAUAAUCGGAUUAUUACUGAAGUUUUGGGUCCUGAAAGGUAUGGUCGGGUUCGAUUUCAAGGAUCUUUUGUUAGCCCAACCCAAUAUUUUGGAUCCAGCUCCCACAAAUACAUGGCUUCGGGGAGUCAGGCUCAAGCUGAAGUUCAGAGGUUAAAAGACCAAAUGGCUCAGAUGCAAGCGACUACAAUUGAGGUUCAAAGGAAAUAUGAAGAACUCCAGCUACAACUUAAAGCAGAGGCGGAAGCGAGGGAAGCAGCGACUGCAGCGAGGGAAGCAGAGGCUGCAGCAAGAGAAGCAGAGCAGAGCAAAAAGUACGACGAACUUCAGCAGCAGCUUCAGAUUAUGAUGAAGAUGUUUAAGUCGCAACUUCCACCUUCAUAGUGUAUGACAUAAAUAUUUUUAUCAUUUUAACAUUUAACAUUUAACAUUUUUUGCAAAAACAAUAUGAAUUCACUUUUAUUUAUUGAUAUUAAUAUUAUUUUAUUCCCUUAUGUUGAAAUAUUAUAUAAAUUUAUUGCUAUUGGUUGCUUUUGAAAUGUUGCUUUUGAAUUUUUGCUACAGGAGGGCAGAAAAAAUGAAAAAUUUAAUAAAAAAAAAUCCCCAAAAUAGUGGCGUUUUUGUAUAAAAGCGCCACUAAAGAACAUGUUCUUUUGCGGCGUUUUUAAAAAAUGCCACUAAAGAACAUGUUCUUUAGCGGCGAUUAGAAAAAAAACGCCGCUAAAGAACAUGAUCUUUAGCGGCGUUUUCCCUUAAGCGCCGCUAAAGAACAUGUUCUUUAGCGACGUUUUUUCCUAAGCGCCGCUAAAGAACAUGGUCUUUAGCGGCGUUUUUUCCUAAGCGCCGCUAAAGAACAUGGUCUUUAGCGGCGUUUUUUCUAAGCGCCGCUAAAGAACAUGAUCUUUAGCGGCAUUUUUUUCUAAGCGCCGCUAAAGAACAUGGUAUUUAACGGCGUUUUUGUUUGUAAACGCUGCAAACAUUUGCGACGUUUUCGUUAGCGGCAUUUUUUUCCGGCGCUUGAAGAAGCGCCGCAAAUAUCUUUAGUGGCGUUAAAAAGCACCGCUAAAGGCCUAAAAAAACGCCGCUAAAAACCUGUUUUGGUGUAGUGUCCUAAAAUAAUAAAUUUAGUAGAUUAUAUGCAGAACUCGGUUAUAUCAGACUCAGUGCCAUGAACUUCACUAGCAAGCUUGCUAUCACAGCUGCAGCAUAAGCUAUUAACUGCUUAAUCACCAUUUUUCUUACAACACUCAAAGAUGAAGAAGAAGAUUCUAUAUUCAAUUUCUUAAUGUUAACCUUGCAUUUGCAUUUCCUCGAUAGGGUUUUUAUACCAAAUUUCAAGGAGAAUAAAACAAAAUAAUAAUAACUUUUUAGUUAAUUUGAUGGCAUAAUUGGAUAAGGUUUUUUUUGGGGGGGGCGAUUUUGCAACGAUAUAUACAGGUAGGUAGGCACAUUUUGUUUUGUUGAAUAACUAGUUAUAUGGUAUAAAAUAUUUGGCUCGUGGUCGAUUUUUAAUUUAUUUAAAACUCAACAUGCAUGAUUUAUAAGAAUGGAAUAUUAAAUAUGAUGAUAGGAUUAUUAAAAUAUUAAUUAUAUAAAGAAUUACAGAAGUACAUAAAAACCACUUUAAUUUUGUAAGUAUUUUGGCAAGGCAACAAUGGAAAGGGCUCUUGCGAUGAAAGAAGUGAUUAAGGGCUACGAAAGCAUGUCUGGACAGAUGGUGAAUUUUAACGAAUCCCUGAUUUAUUUUAGCAUAAAUACAAGUGAGGAAGACAAUGUGCAAAUUGGGAGUUAGAAUGUCUAAUAAUCCAGAGAAGUAUCUUGGGUUACUAACGAUGGUCAGAAGAACAAAGAAGAACGCAUUCGUCAAUUUAAAGGAAAGGUUCAUUAAUAUAAUAAAAGCAUGGAGUGUACGCAAUCUAUCAAUAGGGGGAAGGAGGUAUUUAUCAAAUCCACUUUACAAGUCAUUCCAAUUUAUGCAAUGCAGUGUUUUUUUAUGCCAAUUUCUUUAUGUUGAGAAUUAAGAGAUUAUGAUGUGCAAAUUCUAGAUACGCAAUUCGAAAACAAAUAAAGGAAUUCAUUGGUGCAAUUGGCGUUCUAUAUAUAUGUACCCCAAAGGCACAAGGGGGAAUUGGUUUUAGAGAUCUUUCAAUUUUUAAUAAAACCCUUUUAGCGAAGUAGGGUUGGAAACUAAUUACCAAUUCUACCAGUUUACUUGCACGAGUAAUGAAAGGUAAGUAUUAUCCAAGGAGUGAGUUUAUGAAUGCAGGUUUAGGAUAUCACCCUUCUUUUACCUAGCGAAGCAUUUGGGGUGCUCGUAGCAUUUUGGAAGAUGGUACUGGCUGGAGAAUUGGGAAUGGCAUGACAAUGAAUAUAUAGAAGAUGCUUGGAUUCCAGGACCUGGAGACAGAAAGGUAAAAAUUAAGAAUAUUGACAUUAGAUGCUCGAAGGUUGCAGACGUCAUUAAUAGUGAAACUAAUACCUGGAAAAUGGAUCCAGUAGAAAGAUUGUUCAUGAAGAAGCAAGCCGAGUUGAUUUUAACCAUCCCACUGGUGAACAACUCUUAUCAAAUGCUUUAAUCUUAAAGGGUGAUAAUACGGGAGAAUACUCGGUCAAAAGCAAGUACAAGUGGUGCAUUUCUGGUGGCCAAGACGGGACAGAGGACGAUAAUAAUUUACAAGACAUUGCUACAAAAAAAACUAUUACACAAAGCUCUGGAACCUCAAAAUUCCAAACAAAAUCAUAAUACGCCUAUGGAAGGUUUCUAAAUAAUUUUCUUCCUUUGCUAAGUAAUCUAAAGUAUCGAAGACUAAGGGAGGAGGCCCUCUACUCGAUCUGUAAGAAGGAAGACGAAAUGGUGGACCAUCUCUUUCGAGACUAUGCUUUUAUGAAACAAGUGCUUCAGGAGAUAGGAAUGGUACCCUUGCACACAAACACAAAUCAAGGAUGGAAAAUUUGGUUUGUGUAUGUUUUCGGAAACUGUAACAUUUUGCAAAACAUAAACAUAACCAUUGCAUAUUAGGCCAUUUGGCAUAAUAGAAACAAGUUAUAUCAUGAAGGUAAAAGAGAAAGAGUAUGUGAAGUUGUCAGUUUCAUUAAGGCAUACAUUGUCGAGUUAAAACAGUUAAGAGGAAAUCUCACUGAUCCGAAAUAAUAUUGAAGAAAUACAGUGGAAACCUCCAAAGGGAGAUCAAAUGAAAGUUAAUUUUGAUGCCUCUUUCCAACAGCAGUGUUGGUGCAAGAGGCAGCAGCAAGCUUGUUUCUACUUUGCUUGGACAGCAAGUGUCGAGCCUUGCUGAAGAAACUAUCGAAGAAGAAAGGAAGAAAAAAAAGAAAUUUGCAAUGGAAAACAGAAAAGAAAGAGAUAAAUUUGAAUGAAAAUGAGUUGAAUUUUCAUUAACCACUUCACAAGGCAUAAUGCCAAUACAUAUAUGAGAUAACAACAGCAAAACAAACAAGUUACCACCUAAUAACAUACCUAACACCACUAAAUUGCCUAGUAACUUGGUAAACUUGUUUGAACAUAUAAGCAACUACCUAAACUUGUCAUUCAGGACCUAAUUACAUCAAAAUGCAGCUACCAACUAAGUUCAAAACAAACUAAAAUACAAAAUGUUCAUUUGAGUAACCAAAUGAAACAAUGCAGUUUCGGUUUGAUGUUGAAGCACGUUCCCUGCAUGCCCACCUUGCAUGGCCACCUUGGCUGCUGCAUGGGGGCUGACUUCAACACUCCUCCUCAGCUUCUAUGCAGUAGACUCCUAGUUGCUUCCUUAGGUUUAGAAAUCUCGAUGUACCAAGUGAUUUUGUGAAGAUAUCGGUAAUCUGAUUUUCUGAGCUGCAAUGAAUCAGCUCGAUCUCUCAAGCUUGUUCCAUUUCUCUUAUCACAUGCAGUUUAAUGUUGAAAUGUUUUGUCCUGCCAUGGAAGAUAGAAUUUUUAGCAAUAGCAACUGCUGACUUGUUGUCAUAAUGUAUCACAGCUGCUUCAUUCUGCUGUAGGUUCAAAUCGCUCAAAAUUUUUCUCAGCCACAUAGCUUGAUUAAGAGCAUUGGCAGCUGCUACAUACUCAGCUUCAGCUGUCGACUGAGCCACCAUUGUUUGUUUUCUUGAACUCCAACAAAUCAUAGCUGAGCCAAGUGUAAAAGAAUAACCAGAGGUGCUCUUCAUGUCAUCUUUUGAACCAGCCCAAUCGCUGUCAGUGUAGCCAAUCAGUUUCAAUUCUUUAGCCCUACUGAAAUGUAUUCCAUGGCUCAAAGUGCCUUUGAUAUAUCUCAGCACCCGUUUUCUAGCUUUGUAAUGCUGCUGGUUGCAGCAAUGCAUGAAUCUUGAUAGCAUGCUCAUAGCAAACAGAAUAUCAGGUCUUGUUGCUGUCAGAUACAGCAAACAACCAACAAGGCUUCUGUAAUCAGUUUCACAGACAGAUUCAUGGUCUUCUUGGCUCGAUAGCUUCAUGCCAACAGCCAUAGGUGUGCUGGUUGGUUUACAAUUCUCUAUUGAGAAUUUGGCUAGAACUUUCAAGGCAAAUGAUUUUUGUCUCAAGAAGAUUCCUCCUUCUACUUGAUUUACUUCCAUUCCUAGGAAAUAUGUCAUCAAUCCCAGGUCUGACAUCUCAAACAUUUCCUUCAUUUUUGUUUUGAAAUCAGCUAACAUGAACUUGUCUCCUCCAGUCACUAGAAGAUCAUCAACAUAGAGUGAGACAAUGAGCUAUGUUUCAGCUCGAUUUCUUUUAACAUAAAGUGUUGGCUCACUAGCACUCCUUUAAAAUCCCAAACUGACCAGGUAUGAGUCAAUCCGAGCAUACCAGGCUCGAGGGGCUUGUUUUAGGCCAUACAAGGCCUUUCUUAGCCUAUACACCAAAUGUUCCUUACCAGGCAUUAUGAAUCCUAGAGGUUGCUCGAUGUAUAUCUCUUCUUCCAAGAAUCCAUUGAGGAAUGCAGACUUGACAUCCAUUUGAUGGAUUGUCCACUGGUUCUGAGCAGCUACAGCAACCAGCAAUCUGAUUGUAUCGAGUCUGGCUACUGGAGCAAAUGUUUCCAUGUAGUCCAGACCAUAUCUCUGACUAAAGCCCUUCACAACUAGCAUGGCUUUCUACUUGUUUAAACCUCCAUCUACAUUAUGCUUCAUUCGAUAGACCCAUUUUACACCAAUGGUCUUUAUGUUAGUUGGCUUUUCAACCAACUCUCAUGUUUGGUUCUUCUCAAUCAUGUUGAUUUCAUCAACCAUAGCCUGUUUCCAACCCUCAUUUGCCUUAGCCUCUUCAAAAUAGGUAGGUUCAGCUAUAGCAACCUGUGCCCUUUCAUAAAUCUCACCUAGGGGCCUUGUGCCUCUCACAGGCACAUCAUCAACAUCCAUCUCAGGACCAAGCUGCUCGAGUUCAGCUUGAUCAGGCACCAGGUCUUUUGAAGCAGCUUCUGGUUCACUCUUUUCCCAAUUCUAGCAAGCUUUUUCAUAAAAAAUGACAUCUGUGCUCACCUGGACUGUGCUUGUCAAGGGAUCCAAAACCCUGUAGCCCUUCUUGACUGAGCUAUAACCCACUAGGACACCUGGUUGAGCCCUUUCAGAUAGCUUAUCCCUCUUUGCUGCUGGUAUUUGUGCAUAGCACAGGCAACCAAACACCUUCAGAUAUGCCAAGGAAGGCUUGAAUCUAAACCAAGCCUCGAAAGGUGUCUUGGAUGCAAGAGCUUUGGUAGGAAGCCUAUUCUGAAGGUAGACAGCAGUGUUUACUGCCUCAGCCCACAUGGUCUUGGGAAAUUUCUUCUCAAACAGGAGACAUCUGGCCAUAUCCAUCAGACUUCUGUUCUUUCUUUUAGCUACCCUAUUCUGCUGAGGUGUGUAGACAUUUGUAAGCUGGUGUUUGAUGCUAGCAUCAUUGCAAAUAGCUUGAAACUGAGCUGAAGUGUACUCAGUGCCAUUGUCUGACCUUAUCGAUUUCAGCUUGCAACCUGUUUCUGUCUCAACAGCCAUUUUAAACUUCACAAACACUUGAGCUACCUCAAACUUGUGUUUCAGAAAGAAAAUCUAGCAAAACCUUGUAAAAUCAUCAAUAAAGAGAAUGAAAUACCUAUUUUUGCUGAGUGAUUCAGUUCUCAUAGGUCCACAUACAUCAGAGUGCACCAGCUGCAGUCUUUCAGUGGCUCUCCAUACUGAGUUUGUAGGAAAUGGCAGCCUUGCCUGUUUUCCCAUUUGGCACACUUCACACACAUCAUCAUGCUCCAUUGAGCUGGUGAAGUUCUCUACCAAGCCUUCUUUGGCCAUUCGAGCCAUUGAUCUGAAGUUGGCAUGCCCGAACCUUUGAUGCCAAAGGUUAGAAUCAUCAACAGAGGCUGUGUAUGCUAACUUUAAGUCAUUUGGCCAAUGAACCUCAAAGCAUUUGUCAGUCAUUAUGACUGUCAUAAGGCUUGAUCCACUUGGAUCAGUAAUGUGGCACUGUUUUUCAUUGAACACAAUAGAGUAGCCUUUCUCGAGCAAUUGAGCUAUGCUGAGAAGGUUUCUAUCAAUCUCAGGCACCAAUAGCACAUUUGGAAUGAUCUUGUUGCCUGUAGGAGUACAUAUCAGCACCUCUCCUCUUCCUUCAGCCCUUAUGAAUUGACCAUUUCCAACCUUGGCCUUGGUUUUGCAACUUCUAUCCAAGGUUUUAAACAAGGAGGCAUCUGGUGACAUGUGGUUAGUGCAGCCACUGUCCAAUAACCAGUCUUUUGAACAUUUCUUCUCAGCAGCUAAGCAAGAAACAGCAAAGACCUGCUCUUCUUGGUCACUACUGUCCUCAGCUACUCGAGCUUCAACCUUUGGUUGUUGAAAUUGACUCUGCCUCGGCUUGGUUUUGUUUUUGCAAACCCUUUCAACAUGGCCUUUCUUCUUGCAGUGUUGACAUACUGCAUCUAGCCUGAACCAGCAUCUGUCUUCUUGAUGACCUGGCCUCUUGCAAGGUCUGCAGGGCUGGUCAUUGCUCCUUGCAGCAUCAGGCUUAGGCCUGCUUUUCUAAGGCUUUUUGCCUCUUUGAGCAUUGAUGCUCGACACUUCUCUGGCCUUGGCAUGAAAUGCACCUUCCUGGUGAUCUUCAGCUCUGCUAGCUCUUCUUUGUUCCUGAGCAUAAAAAGUGUUAAUAAGCUCGGUCAAAGAGAUGCUAGCUAGGUCUCUUGAAUCCUCUAGGGAGGAUAUCUUGGCCUCAUAUCUCUCAGGCAAACUGGAGAGGACUUUCUCCACUAUUCUUGCCUCAUCAAAGUGCUUACCAAAGAGCCUUAUAUUGUUAACCACUACCAUGAUUCUAUCUGCAUACUGCUUCACUGUUUCUUCUUCCUUCAUCUUCAGAUUCUCAAAAUCCCUUCUCAAAUUCAACAGCUGUUGUUGCCUUGUCCUCUCAGUGCCUUGAAACUCCUCCUUAAGCUUGUCUUAGGCCUGUUUUGGAGUCUCACAGGCCAUAAUUCUGGUAAAGAUGACAUCUGACACAUAGUUCUGAAUGUAGGACAUGGCUUUGUGCCUUUUGGUCCUCUCAUCAGCAUGUUGCCUGAUCUGAGCUACUGUGGGAUUGGCCCUCAGUGGUGCUGGCUCAACAUCUGUGUUGACAACUUCCCACAGAUCAAAGGCCUGUUGGUAAGUCUUCAUCUUUACCAGCCAUAUGUGAAAGCCUUCUCCAUUGAAGACUGGUGGGGUUGCUGGUGAAAAUCCUAAAGAAGCCAUCAGGUUCCUUGGUUUGAAGCAACAGGUCCACUAAGACAAGGGCUCUAGAUACCAAUUGUUGGUGCAAGAGGCAGCAACAAGCUUGUUUCUGCUUUUCUUGGACAGCAAGUGUCGAGCAUUGCUGAAGAAACUAUCGAAGAAGAAAGGAAGAAAAAAAAAGAAAUUUGUAUUGGAAAACAGAAAAGAAAGAGAUAAAUUUGAAUGAAAAUGAGUUGAAUUUUCAUUAACCACUUCACAAGGCGUAAUGCCAAUACAUAUAUGAGAUAACAACAGCAAAACAAACAAGUUACCACCUAAUAACAUACCUAACACCACUAAAUUGCCUAGUAACUUGGUAAACUUGUUUGAACACAUAAGCAACUACCUAAACUUGUCAUUCAGCACCUAAUUACAUCAAAAUGCAGCUACCAACUAAGUUUAAAACAAACUAAAAUACAAAAUGUUCAUUUGAGUAACCAAAUGAAACAAUGCAGUUUCGGUUUGAUGUUGAAGCACGUUCCCUGCAUGGCCACCUUGCAUAGCCACCUUGGCUGCUGCAUGAGGGCUGACUUCAACAAGCAGACUCACAAAUCUAUUUUAGGAUUGGUUAUGGGCUCAUGCAUUUACCCGAUUAAAAAUUUCUAAGACCCAACAACAGAAGAAGCACAUUCAUGUUUAGAAGCAGUUAUCUUUGCGGAAGAAAUGGGCUUUGGAGAUGUUUGUAUAGAAGGCAAUGCACUCACAGUCCUAAAAAGAAUCAAAAAAUCAGAGAUUGAUAGAUCAGUUAUAGGCAACAUUAUUAUUGAGAUUACGGAUAGAGUAACCAGGUUUUGAAUUUUUACCUCUCGAUACGUCCUGCGAGCGGCAAAUAGAGCAACACGCGGAAUGGCAGCUUGGGGAACACGGCAUGAAAGGCCGAUCUACUAGGUAGAAGACGUUCCACUGGACGUUGAAGCCAUAGUCACAAAGGAGCAACGAUAGUAAGAGAAGAUUUUUUUUCAUUCUGAGUCUGGAGUGUUUGUUUUCAGUUUUGAAAACUCCAAGGAGCUCAGAAAUCUGCGGAGUUGGGAUGAAAUAAGAGACAUUUGUGAAACGGGUGAGGGUUUCAACUCCCACAGAGGAAUUCCUCCAGUGUGUCGGGAGUGGAUGAUUUUGCAGGGAAGAUUUAGAGGUGCUCAUAGGCCGGGCCGAGCCGGGCCCAUAAAAAAUUUUGGCCCAGGCCCGGCCCGACCCGAAAUAUGGGCCUAAAAUUUUACCUAGGCUCGGCCCGGGAAAAAAUUAUAAGCCCGGGACCGGCCUGGUGUUGACACCAUUUUUUGGAUGAAAACGGGGUCGACUUGGAUUUUGGAAAAAAAAGAAUGAAAAUGGGAGUCGCCACCAAUCCUUUUUUGAAGAGGUGUGAUUGGGUCACCUCAAAAGGUGGUUGUUUUUAAUAAAUGAUUUAAUUUUAUUAAAACAACGAUUUUGGUCUACGAAAUUCAGAAAAAUGAGUUCGGGAGUCGGUUACGCACGAGGAAGGAUUAGCACCCUCGAUACGCCCAAAAUUGGUACCUAGUUGAUUAAUUAGUGUCUUAGUGUCGAAAAUUUGAAAACUUGAAAGAAUUUAAAAUACGAUCCCUCUUUGUAAAGAAAAUGCUCAAAUGUUAAGGACCUUCUCGUCUCACAAUAUAAAAUGUCACAUCCAGUAAGUUAGGACACGACAUCUUGAAUUUUCGAGAACGAGCUUGCCUUUUAUAUAAAAAUUCGUGUAUUUCAAAAGGUUAUUCAGUUAGUUAAGGUGAACGAGGAAAAUCGAAACCCAGUAAGUUAGGGCACGUUUCCUCGAAUUCCCAAACACCGAAUAUUGCCUUUACUUGCAAAAAUCUUAUUUCGAGGUAACGAAAUGCCAUACCCAGUAAGUUAGGGAACAACACCUCGUAUCUCCGAGAAUAAGCAUUUUUCAAAACUCAUGUCACGAUUUAAAAGAGUAUUCCGUUAUUUAGGUUAAAGGAGAAAAAUUGAAACCCAAUAAGUUAGGGCACGAUUGUCUCGAAUUACCAAAUACGGAAUAUUACUUUUAUGAAAGAAUUAUUAUUGGGUUGGAUAUAAUGAUAAUAAGAAUAAUAUUAAAGUAAAGUAAACAAUAAUACUAUAUAUAAAUGUAUAUAUAUGUAUAUAAUAGAAAUACACACUACUAUAUAAUAAUAAUAAAUAUAGAAAUACUAAAAGCAAAUAUAAUAAAAAUAUUAAAUUAAAGUAAUAAAAAAUAAUACUAUAUAUAAAAUAUAUAUACAUAAAAAUAUACACUAAUAUAUAAUAGUAAUAGUGAUAGCAAAAAUAAUAAAAAUAUAAGUAAUAUUAAUAAUAUAUUAGAAUACAAAAGUAAAGUAAUAACAAUAGGAGUGAUAAUAAUAAUAAUACAAACAAUAAUACAUAUAUAUAAUAAUAGUAGUUAGAAAUAAAAAAUAAUAAAAGUAACAAUAAUGAUAGUAAUAAUAUAAAUAAAUAUGGAGAGGGCAUAUAUAAUAUAAUAAUAUAAAAAAAAUAAUAUAUACAUGAGAAAUAAUAAUAAUAAUAUAAAUAAUAGUAAAAAUAAUAAAAUAAUAAAACAAAGCUCUCAACUCUCUUUCUCCCUCUUUUCUAAAUCCGGCCGUUGGUCCGGCUUUGCUUCGGUCAUGGACCCCCACGGGCCGCCAUCGGCGCCACCGUACACGGCGGCCGGACCUCAAAAAAACCUUUUUCGAUAAUGAAAAUAUAGGUAAGCUUCUUACUUUUAUUUUUACUUUCGUAUAAAAAAACAAAAUAAAAUUGAAAGGAAAACAAUAAACAAACAAAGAACUAAAGAUAAGAAUAGACAAAAGAAACCUCUUUUGCUUUGAUCUUUGAUUAAUCUCCAAAAACUAGCCUUUCCAAGAAACAAAAAUAACCUUUUUUACAAAAAAACACCUCCAAAAAACAAAAAAAACCUCCUCCAAAACAAAGAACAAUCCUUCUCCAAAAAACCAAAAACCCACCCCUAAAAACAAAGUCUUGAAUGGCUUUUAUAGCCAAAUUUUACAAGUGGAGUGGUUGGGGUGGUUUAGGUGGCCAAGGGUGGUGGAGUUGGUGGCUAAGGUGGGUGGCCAACAAAGGUGGUGGAGUAGGUGGCCAAGGUUUUUAUUUAUUUAUUUAUUUAUUUUUUGUGUUUGGGUUGGGAUUAGGUUGGGCCAAAUUGGGUUUGGUUAGGGUUGGUUUAAGUUGGGCCAAAAUUGAGCCUUUACAGCUGCCCCUCUUUGCUCAUUUUCGUGUAACGAGAAUAGAGCAAAGACAUCAAAAGGGCCAAUUUUGCCCGGUCUUGCCGAGUCUUGACUUUUUGGUGCUCAUCUUCUUCCAGUAGCCUUAUUCCAGUCUGCUACGUCUUGUUGCUUCGAUCCACUCUACUGCAACUUCAGAUACGCCUUGUAGCUUCAAUCUACUCUGCUACGACUCCAUGGGGAUGAGAUUUGUGUUUUUAGUCUGCUCCACUACUACUUAGGGAGAUAAGACUUGAUGCGAUCUGCUUCACUAUUUCUUAGGGAAAUAAGAUCUGUGGUUUUAUCUGCUCCACUACUGCUUAGGGAGAUAAGACUUAAUGCGAUCUACUCCACUACUGCUUAGGGAGAUAAGAUUGUAAUCUUCGAUCUAUUCCACUGUUGCCCAAGGAGAUAGAACUACUGGCUUUAAUGUACUCCACUGUAAUCGGAGAGGUAAAAUCCGCCAUCUUCGACCUGCAAUCUAUUCCACUGCUAAAUACAGGGAAAUAGAGUCUGUUUUCAAUCCACUUCCUACCAAUAUAGGAAGGCAGGAUCUACAAUCUUCAAUCUAUUCCACUGCCAGAUACAGGGAGAUAGAGUUAUCGGCUUCAAUGUACUCCACUGUAGUCACAGGGAGGUAAAAUCUGCCAUCUUCGAUCUGCUUCACUGCCUAAUACAGGAAGGCAAGAUCUGCAAUCUUCAAUCUAUUCCACUGCCAGAUACAGUGAGAUAGAGUUAUCGGCUUCAAUGUACUCCACUGUGGUCAGGGAGGUAAAAUCUGCCAUCUUUGAUCUGCUUCGCUGCCAAAUACAGGAAGGCAAGAUCUGCAAUCUUCAAUCUACUUCACCACCAGUAUGGGAAGACAAGAUCUGCAUCUUGGAUCCACUUCCUAUCAAUAUAGGAAGAUAGGACCUGCUAUCUUCGAUCUACUUCACGCCAAUACAUGAAGGCAAGAUCUGCUUUCUGCGAUCUACUUCGCCACCAAUAUGGGAAGACAAGAUCUGCAUAUUGGAUCCACUUCCUAUCAAUAUAGGAAGAUAGGACCUGCUAUCUUCGAUCUACUUCACACCAAUACAUGAAGACAAGAUCUGCUUUCUGCGAUCUACUUCGCCACCAAUAUGGGAAGACAAGAUCUGCAUCUUCGAUCCACUUCCUACCAAUAUAGAAAGAUAGGAUCUGCUACCUUCGAUCUACUUCACGCCAAUACAUGAAGACAAGAUCUGCUUUCUGCGAUCUACUUCGCCACCAAUAUGGGAAGACAAGCUCUGCAUCCUGGAUCCACUUCCUAUCAAUAUAGGAAGAUAGGACCUGCUAUCUUCGAUCUGCUUCACGCCAAUACAUGAAGACAAGAUCUACUUUAAUGACUUCAAUCCCUCCCAUUGCAACUUCAAGGGUAUAGGAUCUGUUUCUUUGAUCUGUUCUCUGGGGAAUAUGACCUGUAAAAUCCAUUUUAUGGACCUAUUUAUGCCUAGUGUUUAGGAUGGCAUGAUCAGAAUGAAUCAAAUGCUUCUAACUAGAUGUGUAUGAAUGAAUGCAGAAUGUCAUGAGAAUGAUCCAUUUUUAAUGUUUGAGUUGUCAUUGCUCAUGUUUUAUCACUGACGUGUUACAACGCCUUCUUGCUCGGCUGGCAUAUCCAAAGAAACACUUAGUCAGAUUGCCCCCACUGCGAACGUCAAAGUUUAAUCCACUGGGACAUAAAAUUUGUACCAUCAAUCUCCCACCGUAAACUAAGGGUAGAAGGAUAUGGCUUUUUCUCGAUCCUCUACUAUCACAAUUCAAGGAUACAGAAUGUGAAACUCUUUGAUCUCCUACACCAUUCCCAAGGUGUCAUACCAAAUGUUUAUGUACAAAUGCAAAAUUUCCUUCUCCGAGAAAACCUUUUCUUAUUACUUGGUGAACAUCGCUUGUUUGUUCAUUGAAGCUUUGCCACCAACACGACAUCUUGUCAAUGUUUGGACAACAAAAUUUGAAAGGAUAGUCCCGACUUGGACUCUUCCUUUUUGGACACUUUGAAUUUGGUGUGCUCUAAACAACAGUCCUGUUUCAGGCUCCUUCAUUAUUUAGAAAUUUCUAGAGUAAUAUGCAAAACUCCAAUUGCUUGAACAUUCAGUUUAUUAAUAGUUAUUCUAAAUGUUUUUCGAGAAGGUUACCACAACGAACAAACAAAUGUUAUUAAGAACAAAUCUCGAGAUGAAUGAGUUAAUCGAGAUAGCAAAUUUUGCUAAGGUAAAAAAUGAAAUAAGACAAUAGACAAGAAUGAAAUUUUAUUGGGGAGCAAAGCUUGAACUGAAUACAAUAAUCAAGACAACAAGUUUUGCCAAGAUUCAAAGUAUAAGAUGACAACAGGUGCCCCAGAUAUCACAGCACGAGCUUCCCUGCACAAGUUUUCUAAAGACCAUUUAAUAUGUGUUUGGAAUCUACAGUAUUUUGUCGAUACCCCAAGAUGUCACCUACUCCUUCUUGCGAUUCAGGUGUAGUAAGACCACCACAUGCCUCAGAUCCUGCUCAAAAAUUCGAGCCGUACCUCACGCUUCAAAAUUCGAGCCGCCUUUUUCAGGUUUUCAACUCAAAUCCCCUUUGGUCUCAAGGUGCCUUUUGCGGGUUUUCACCUUGGCCUCUCCCAUUUUUUUUUUUUUUAAGAAUGCCCCCUUUUUAAGUGAAAUACUUCUUGACUGAGUCUGAAUUUACAGGAUUUGACAGGCUUUUACCAUCCAUUUCGCUCAGGAUUAAAGCUCCUCUUGAAAAGGCCUUUUUUACCACAUAAGGACCUUCCCAAUUUGGCAUCCACUUUCCUCUAAAAUCCUUUUGUAGAGGAAGAAUCUUUUUCAGCACCAGGUCCCCCUCGUAAAAUUCUCUGGGACAAACUUUUUUGUUGUAAGCUCGCAUCAUUCGUUUCUGAUACAUCUGACCAUGACGAAUAUCUUUUAACCUCUUUUCUUCUACCAAGUUUAACUGGUCAUAUCUGGAUUGAAUCCAUUCAGCCUCAUCCAACUUUAGUUCAGUUAAUACUCGGAGAGAAGGAAUUUCAACUUCUAUGGGUAAAACUGCUUCCAUCCCAUAGACUAAAGAAAAUGGUGUUGCCCCGGUAGAGGUUCUAACAGAAGUACGAUAUGCCAGGAGAGCAAAAGGUAAUUUCUCGUGCCAAUCUUUGUAGGUUUCAGUCAUUUUUCCUAUAAUUUUCUUGAUGUUUUUGUUAGCUGCUUCCACGGCACCAUUCAUUUUUGGACGGUACGGUGACGAAUUGUGGUGUCUGAUCUUGAACUGACUACAAACUUCCGCUAUUGAGUUGUUGUUUAAGUUCAGCGCAUUAUCGGAUAUGAUCCUUUCAGGCAUCCCGUAUCGACAUAUGAUCUCUUUUUUCAGAAACUUGCUAACUGCCGACUUCGUGACAUUUGCAUAUGAAGCCGCCUCCACCCAUUUAGUGAAGUAAUCAAUAACCACAAAGAUAAAACGAUGCCCAUUGGAAGCUUUUGGAGAUAUUGGCCCGAUAACGUCCAUUCCCCACAUGGAGAAAGGCCAUGGAGAAACCAUAACAUGAAGGGGUGAAGGUGGUGCGUGCAUUUUGUCACCAUAAAUUUGACAUUUAUGGCACCUCUUGGCAUAAUUAAUGUAAUCCCCUUCCAUGGUGGACCAAUAGUACCCAAAUCUCAUAAUUUGUCUGGUCAUCGUGAAGCCAUUGGCAUGCGUUCCGCAGAUACCUUCAUGCACUUCUUCCAAAAUUUCCUUUGCCUCAACAGCAUCCACACACCUUAACAGUACUUGAUCUUUUCCUUUUUUAUACAAAAUUUCCCCAUCAAGGACAUAGUCAAUGGCUAAUCUCCUUAAUGUCUUCUUAUCAUUUUCUAUCGCAUGGUCAGGGUACUCGCGACUCUUCACAUAUCGCAAUAUGUCAUGGUACCAAGGGUGAUCAUCCUUUCCCUCUUCAUUGUCAAUGUGCAACAAUGGGCUGGAACCUCAUAGAUGCUGAUCUGGAUAGGCUUCAUAUAUUCUAAUUUGUUCACUUUAAACAUGGAGGCUAAAGUGGCCAAAGCAUCUGCCAUCUGAUUUUCAUCUCGUGGGAGGUAACUAAAGGUGACACUAUCAAAUUCCUCGAUCAAUUCCAUAACCAAUUUUCGAUAGCGAACCAACUUCGGGUCUCUUGUUUCCCAUUCCCCCUUGAGCUGGUAAAUUACUAAUGCAGAGUCCCCGUAUACCUCUAGCACCUUAAUUUUCCGCUUUAUGGCUGCCCGAAUGCCCAUAAUGCAAGCUUCAUACUCAGCCAUAUUAUUUGUGCAGUCAAAGUCCAAUUUGCUAGUGAAAGGAUAAUAAUCUCCACUAGGGGACACGAGUACUGCCCCAAUUCCGUUGCCUAUAGCAUUUGAAGCUCCGUCAAAACUCAACUUCCAAGGACCACCUUCUUGGAAAUCUUUCUUUACGGUUGCGGCAUACAUCAAAUCCUCAUUUGGGAAAUCGAAGUUCAAUGGCUCAUAAUCAUCGAGAGCCCUACUUGCUAGGAAUUCCGCUAUUGCACUCCCUUUGACCGCCUUCUGGUUCACAUAGACUACGUCAAAUUUAGAUAGAAGAAUUUUCCAUCGAGCCAUUCUUCCAUUCAGAGCGGCUGACUCCAUCAAGUAUUUCAGAGGGUCUAAUUUGGAGAUUAACCAGGUCGUAUAGUACAACAUGUACUGUCUCAGUCUCCGAGUUGUCCAAAUUAAAGCACAACAUAAUUUCUCGAUUGGCGAAUAUCUUAUUUCGCAUUCGGUGAACUUCUUACUGAGAUAGUAGAUCGCUCUUUCCUUUCGUCCUGAUUCGUCAUGUUGACCAAGCACGCAUCCCAUGGAAUUUUCAAAUACUGCCAAAUACAGUAUGAGCGGUUUGUCUGGGCAGGGUGGCAUCAGUACUGGGGCGUUGGAUAAGUAAUGUUUGACUUUUUCAAAAGUUUUUUGACAUUCCUCAUCCCAUACACCUGGAUUAUGUUUCUUGAGGAGGCGAAAUAUGGGGUCGCAUUUCUCAGUUAGCUGUGAGAUGAACCGAGCAAUAUAGUUCAGCCUUCCUAGAAAACCUCGAACCUCCUUUUGAGUACGCGGCGGGGGUAAUUCUUGUAUUGCUCUUACUUUGUCAGGAUCAAUCUCAAUUCCUCUUUCACUGACCACGAAUCCAAGUAAUUUUCCUGAUCUGACCCCGAAUGUGCAUUUUGCUGGAUUUAGCUUUAGCUGAAAUUUCCUCAAUCUCGUAAAUAAUUUCUUAAGGACCUGCACAUGUUCCUUUUCUGUUUUAGAUUUUGCAAUCAUGUCAUCAACAUAGACUUCUAACUCCUUAUGCAUCAUGUCAUGGAACAGUGUUCCAUGGCCCUCUGAUACGUUGCCCCUGCAUUUUUCAACCAAAAUGGCAUCACCUUAUAACAAAAAGUUCCCCAUAGGGUUAUGAACAUAGUUUUCCUCAUAUCCUCGGGAUGCAUCUUAAUUUGGUUAUAUCCCGAGAAGCCAUCCAUGAAAGAAAACAGUGAAUGUCCUGCUGUAUUGUCUACCAAGGCGUCGAUAUGCGGCAAGGGAAAGUUAUCUUUUGGGAUAGCCUUAUUUAGAUCUCUAUAAUCCACACACAUUCGUACCUUCCCAUCUUUCUUAGGGACAGGAACAAUGUUAGCUACCCACUCGGAGUAUUUGACCACCUUCAGGAACCCAGCGUCAAAUUGCUUUUGCACCUCUUCUUUUAUUUUUAACACGAUAUCAGGCCUUAUUCUUCGGAGUUUUUGCUGAACUGGUUUGCAAUCCUCCUUUAUAGGAAGUCGGUGAACCACGAUGUCAAUACUUAACCCCGGCAUAUCUUGGUAUGACCAUGCGAAGACAUCUUUGAACUCUCGCAGCAAUUCAAUGAGGUAUUGUUUUACUUCUUCAGCUAUGCGGAUACCAAUCUUUAACACCUUUCCCUCUUCCAAGAUCACUGUCUCUAUCGUCUCUUCGUGGGGUAGAAUCUGUUUCUCUUCCUGCUCUACCAUUCUCAACAAGUCCGGAGAUAGGUUGCAAUCUGUGUUAUCUUCAAAAUCUUGAGAUUCCUCUGGACACAUAUCUCGUUCAAAAAGAUUUUCUAAGUCCAUAGUAGAGUCACUCAUAUCAUUGAUAUCUUGGGACCUGUUAUAGGUAUCAAAGAAUGUACAGGGAAUGUAUGAAUUUAAGGAUUCUUAUUUAGUAUGACCAUGAAUGUAUGAAAAAAAGAAUUUGAAAAGAAUAUAUACUCAAAAUGCGAAGAUAUAUUUCAUUGAAAUCACAAUGUCCACAUAUAAGCCUAUUUCAGUUCACAAAAGUUUUCAUUUUCUCUAGGCUUAGAAUAAUUAAUGUUUUGAAUAUUACUCUGGAAAAGCUCUAAAAACUUCAGGCAUUUCUUCCGCAGUCCAAUUGUUUAAAACACUCCCAGGUUCAACGGGAUAGAUGCCUGACGUACUUCCUCCUUCAAAUUCUUCUUCACAUAUGGCAUUGAUGCUUAAGUUUCUUAACAUUUCCUCUGCGGUCUUCUUUCUUGGAGCCCUCAGUUCAGAAUACAUAGUUCCUCCCGACAUGAAUGUCCUGGAUAUGUGGGGGAAAGCCAUAGGUUCCCAGUCGACUUCUUUUCCGUUCAAACGCGCCUUCCUUCUAUCUUGUCUCUUUUCUAACUCUUUCCUUCUCUGUUUGGUAUUUGGUUUAAAUCCUAAACCAAAACGAUCUUGUUUGUAUUUCACUACUGGUGCCCCCAUCCUUCCCUGAAGGCAUCUUCCAAGUCCUCUUCCAGGCACAGCUCCUUUCCCAACUGUCGCUUGUAAUCCCAUCCUUGUGGCUUUAGACAUGCUGGGCGUCGGAAUCUUCUUUCCCCCUAUGACAAAGGUUGCAUUUACGAACUCCAAAGAUCGAAAAGAACAUUCAACUGCCUCGUCGUCUAUUCCCAAAUAUGGUGUAUCAUUGGUUACCAAUGCAAUGAUAUCUUCCUCGGCGUCAAUUGUAAUUAACCGGCCUUCUAUUACCAAUUUUAACUUCUGGUGCAAUGAUGAAGGCACCGCCCCUGCCGAAUGAAUCCAGGGUCUUCCUAAUAAGCAAUUAUAUGACGGCUUGAUAUCCAUCACUAGGAAGUCCACAUCGUAUGUAUUUGGGCCAAUUAAAAGAGGUACUUCUAUUCUUCCUAUCACCUUUCUUUCGGUACCAUCAAAUGCUCUCACUAUAUUUUGGCAUGAUCUCAUGUGAGAGUUAUCCACCGGUAACCUACUUAAGGUAGAUAGGGGUAAAACAUUCAAGGCUGAUCCAUUGUCAAUUAGCACUCCAGCUAACAUAUACUCCCCGCAACGAGCAGUGAUGUGUAAUGCUUUGGUAGAUCCUCUUCCCCCUGGCGGUAUUUCAUCAUCAUUAAAAAAGAUGAAAUUAUUGGCAUUGAUAUUAUUAACCAAGCGGUCUAACUUAUUCACCGAGAUAUCUUUAGUGACAUAAGUUUCAUUUAGCACCUUAAUCAACGCAUUACGAUGUAUCUCUGAACUUAUAAGCAACUCAAGUACGGAGAUACGAGCCGGUUGCUUAUGUAAUUGUUCUACCACGCUGUACUCGCUAUGUUUCAAGAAUUUUAGAAAUUCAUUGGCUUGAUUUUCAGUUACCGGCUGAUUGACACUCGAUUCAAUUUCGUCUGUUUUUGUUUUUCCUAGCUCAACUGCUAAAGCUUUUUCUUUUCCAGAUUCCACUAUCGCGUCUGCCGGAUCAUAGCGCUUUCCACUUCGUGUAUAGAAUCCUUCCUUCUUUUUUGAAGCAUUUACCGAGCUCUCUUUUCCUGGAAUCGUCACAUUGCAAUCGUAACUCCAAGGAACCUUUUUGUUACCCUUGUAAGGAAAGGAUACAGGUUUUUGGAUUAUAACUUUUGGCCCUAUUUGUAUUCCAGAUUCUUUGUUCAUUGGCUUUGAAAUGAUAACCACUGGAUGACAAAGCUCUUGGGUUCUCCUUGCAGAUCCUUCUCCUGUAGCACAAACUUCUUCCUCUUUUAACCCUUUGAUUUCUUCAUAAAACUCCAUUUCUUUGCUAUCCAUAAAGUUUUGCACCACGAUUCUGAACUCGGUGCAUUCCUGGAUGUCAUGAUCUUCUUCUGCGUGGAACUUACAAAAUCUCUUUGCUUGUUCAGGCCUUUCUAUCGAAUCUUGCUUGAUAAGACCUCUUUUUACCAUUUGUUUCCAAACCCAUCCAAGAGGGGUUUUUAUCUCUGCCACGUUGGCUUUGACUCUUCUUCCUUCAUUCUCACUUAUCGCGUUUACCCUAUUAUCGUCAUGAUUGGGCAACGGAUUUUCUGCUACAUUUGGCCCUGAUGAGUCGCCAAUCUUUACGAUCCCCAUAUUGAUAAGUUUCUCCACUAACUUCUUGAAUGCAGUGCAGUUCUCAAUCGAGUGCCCCUUAAUCCCCGCGUGGUACUCGCAUUGGGAGUUUAUGUCAUACCAUUUGGGGUACGGAGGUUGCAUGGGUUUUAGGUAAAAUGGAGAUACCACAUGUGCAUCAAAUAAAUUCUGAUACAAUUCUUUAUACGUCACCGGGAUGGGUGUGAAUUGAGGUCUUUCUAUAUUUGGCCUUGAAUUGGACUCCCGUCUCGAAGAACCUUGCUGAUUAGUGGUUGUUGCUCUGGCUUGUCCCACCGUGAUUGAUCUAGAAUGGUCCUUGUUAAACAUGUUUGUGUUGUUUAUCUCAUGCUCCUUCUUUCUCAGUGCUGACCUUUUAGCACUUUCUCCUGCUUCUAUCUUGCCACUCCUUAUGGCAUUUUCUAUCAUUUCUCCAGACAUCACUAUGUCUGAAAAGCUUUUGGUGGCACUACCCAGCAUGUGAUUGAGAAAUGGAGCUUUCAAAGUAUUGAUAAAAAGCAUGGUUAUCUCUUUUUCUAAAAGUGGUGGUUGAACUUGUGCUGCUACCUCCCUCCAUCUUCGAGCAUACUGGCGAAAGCUCUCAUUAGUUUUCUUUUCCAUAUUUUGCAAUACAAUUCGAUCGGGUGCUAUGUCCAUCACAUGUCUGUAGUGUUUUAUAAAGGCCUGCGCCAAAUCUUUCCAAGAGUGGAUUUCAGCUCGACUCAAUUGAUUGUACCAUCUAACAGCUGACCCGAUCAAACUAUCCUGAAAACAGUGAACCAACAGCUGCUCAUUGUUGAUGUACCCGGUCAUUCUUCGGCAAAACAUAGUGAUAUGAGCAUCGGGACAACUUGUCCCGUCAUAUUUUUCAAACUCCGGCAUUUUAAACUUAGGAGGGAGGAUUAAAUCAGGCACCAAGCUCAGAUCUUUAGCAUCCAUUCCUCGGUGGUAAUCAGCACUUUCCAUGGCCUUAAACUUUUCCUCCAGCCAUUUACAUCGGUCUUCCAAUUGCUUUGAUAGAUCCACUUUCGUAUUUUCCACUUCUGCCACGUCAUCGAGGUCAGGGACUAUGAGAUUGGUGGGAUUCUCUCCGGAAUUGUUACUUAUUCCGAUUGGAGGACUCGUUUGGAAUUGUUGGGGUCUAAUUGUAACAGAGGGUCUUUGUUGAUACAUUUCAGCUUGAGUAUGCGCGUGCAGAGGGGUAAAGCCUGGAGGGUAAAGGGGUUCAUCACUAUUUCCAUCUUCAACAUUAACAAUAGGGUCCUUUCCCUUGUCUUUUCCUCCUUUCAACAGUUGCGUUAACUUUGCCAUCAUGUCGUCUUGGGAUUCUCGCAUCUCUCGCUGAAUCUUUUCCAACCGCUCUUCUAUCUGAUCUUGCAUAUCUCUUUGGAGCUGCUCAAGUUUUUCUAGUCUUUGAUCCAUGUUUCUUGACUUCGCUCGAGUUCCGUAAGAGUGACGGUUUUCCAGGUUAACUGAAAUAAUUUUAUUUAGUUAGGGUCUUUUAAUGGUCAUUAAUGCAUAUAAUGCAAUGCAUGAAAUGAAUGCAAAAGGCGUUAAUUCUAGUUCAAUUUCAUUAUGAAAACUUUACUAGAAAAUAAACUUUUUUACAUAAGGUGGAUUACAUAUACGACUUAGCCCUAAAACUCAAAAUUCUAAUCCUCCUAAGCAACGAGUCUAGCUCCUGUCCUCGACUCGACUCUAAUUCGUACUUCACGCUUAACACAUCAGCUUGUACUGCUAACGUCUGCAAGUGAUCAGCCACCUCUCGGAUUUGAAGCACGGCUUCUCCCAUGAUUUGAUCUCUAUCUCUUACUUGGUUCUGAAAGUAGUGCAACUGCUCGGUUUGACGAUCUUCAUUAGAUCUCAUGUGCUCAAUCCGCAUCUCGCAACUUCCCAAUGCUGCUUCUAACUCUUCAAUUCUUCGUUUCAUCUCUUCAAUUCUACUUAGGCUUACUUUUAAUUCCAUCACAGAAUUUCGAUUUCGAUGCCGAUAGAGAGAUUCUUCUAACUCGGACACUCUAUUUUCUAGUUCCCCUUUUUCUUUCUGAUUCUCUGACAGACUCUUCUUUAAAGUCUCGUUCUGGGUUUGAACUUCUUGAAACCUUGUUUCCCAUCUAUCAGCUUUGUUCUUUUCUUCUUGAACUUCCUUGCGCCAUUGUUCAGAAGUCUUUCCCAACCCGGCGGUUCUCAUUGAUGAUCGCAACUUCUUGUAAUCUGUUUUCAGACUGUUCAGAUCUUCUUCAGCCCUAGCUUUUCCUUUUCUUAAUCGCUCCAUCUCGAGCUUCUGGACAUCUACAUCCAACCUUAAGUUUGUUUUUUCUUCCUCCAUUUGCUCUAUCUGUUUUUCCAACUCUGCAUUUCUUCUUUCAAAAUCUUGCUUCAAAAUUUCUAGUUCAGAAAGGAUGACCCGUAAGUGCUCCUCUAUCGAAUGACUGCCUUCGAGGCUUGAUUUGGGGACAUUGUCAUUGAUUCUUCUGACCCUCCAUUCUUUAUAUUCGGGGGUUGUCAUUGGUCCUACAGCUAAUCGCUUCAUUUGGCGAGUCUGAUUCCACGCAUUGGAUAUCUCUCGAAUCCUCUUUUUGUAGCCAUCACCCCCAUACGAGAAUUCACACUCGGCCAGCCCCUGGGUUGCGGGUAUAAACUGUCUUGAUCUGUACUGUCUGAGCACUAAUAACGGGGCAUAGCCAAUAGCUCCCCAGAUUCCAAGCAAAGGGACCCAAUCAAAACUACCACAUCGGUACAAAAUUUCGUCUGGAAGUAACCACGGAGCUCUCCAUUCAAUGUCUUCUUCAUGCAAGUUUUGAAGAAUUGCCAUCCAUUUUUCCAUUGAAAUGUCGUCCCUUCUCGGUGUAGCUAUCGUCUCCUUUAGCGGCGAAUAGUUUUCAGAGAAGACCCGAUAUGACACCUUAUCCACUUUCCAAAAAUGACUGUGGAACCACGCAAGUAGCAACUGUGCACAUCCAAUGAACCUGCCUUCGCCCGCUCGCCGACAGGUACUCAAUGAUCUGAAUGUCUCCGCUAAAAUUGCUGGAAUCAGGGUAACUCCUUUAUCAAGGCGGUCGAACAAAUCAGUAACCGCCUCAUCAAUAUGCCCCAAAGCUCUAGGAAAGAUAACUAAGCCAUAUAUGCUUAGGGCGAAGAUAUCUACCCUAUUUUUUAUAUCCGGGUGCACCAAAGCCACAUCUUUCAAACUCCUCCAAGAAAUGCACUUGUUAUCCCCUUUUUGUUUAAUUCGGGCCGUAACCCACUGCUCACUCAUGCCUGUUAUGUUCAUUAACCUUCUCAAAAAGGGUACAUUUGCGGCUCUUGAGUAGAUUCUGUCGACUUGACUCUUUGAACACCGAAGUAAAGCCAUAUAUUCUUCUAUCGUAGGCACCAAGUCAACUUUCCCGAACGAAAAACAACUAUAGGCGGGAUUCCAAAAUUGUGCGAGAGCCCGGAAUAGGUGCUUAUCUACCUUCAUAUCUAGCAGGUACGGCAAGUCCCCGUAAUGGGAAUAAAACAACUGUCUGGCCUCCUCGUCCCAAUGGUCCCAAAUUCCUUUCAACUCUUGUAAAUCGUUCUGGGUUAUGCUAAUGCGGGUAAAGUCCCAUAGCUCUGAUAUAUAUCCUUCAGCCAAACUAUCCCCUUUCUCUUGUUGUGUCGUUUCCGACCAAAUUCGGACUGCCGCAUUAUCUUCCACCUUAUCAAGAAACCUUCUUUCCAUGAUAAGCUUUCUUUCUAGAAACCGAAUAUGAACCAACGCCUUGAAAUAAUGAAAUGCCAUGCAGUUGAAAUGUCAUGCAUCCAAAGUAAAACAACAAAUAUCAGUACCAGAUAUAAACAUAUAAUCCAAGAUAAUUCAAAAAGAAUAAAAGCACAUCAGGGUAUUUACUAGGGUUUGGUGUAGUUCUACUUAAGGUGAGUUCCUAAGGUUUACUACAUGGGGUUUGGUUCUAAAGCAAAGGUACCCGAACCAGCAGAUUCCUCGAUCUUCACCCAUUAUAGUCUCAUAUAGACCGAGUUCGGUUUAGGGGAAUACAUUUCCCUAUGGCUGCACGGAGAUGAAAAUCUCACGAAGACAUAGGUACGGAUGUAUCCCGAAAGCGAUCCACUAUCCUGCACGGAGGUGAAAACCUCACGAAGGAGUAGCUUCUCACUCCCACUUAAAAGGUGUGACCAACGGUCAUGCAAUGCAAUGCAAAGAUAUAAAAGUUUAAAAUACGAAACAUGAUGAAAACUAUAGCUCAAAACAAAUGAAAUGCAAUGAGAAGAUCGUAUAUUUAAAUCAAAUUUUCAACUUUCGACAAAAAGACAAAAAAUAAUCAACUCGUGGCUUGACUCACUUAUUUUGAAAAAGUCCCCAGUGGAGUCGCCAAGCUGUUGACACCAUUUUUUGGAUGAAAACGGGGUCGACUUGGAUUUUGGAAAAAAAAGAAUAAAAACGGGAGUCGCCACCAAUCCUUUUUUGAUGAGGUGUGAUUGGGUCACCUCAAAAGGUGGUUGUUUUUAAUAAAUGAUUUAAUUUUAUUAAAACAACGAUUUUGGUCUACGAAAUUCAGAAAAAUGAGUUCGGGAGUCGGUUACGCACGAGGAAGGAUUAGCACCCUCGAUACGCCCAAAAUUGGUACCUAGUUGAUUAAUUAGUGUCUUAGUGUCGAAAAUUUGAAAACUUGAAAGAAUUUAAAAUACGAUCCCUCUUUGUAAAGAAAAUGCUCAAAUGUUAAGGACCUUCUCGUCUCACAAUAUAAAAUGUCACAUCCAGUAAGUUAGGACACGACAUCUUGAAUUUUCGAGAACGAGCUUGCCUUUUAUAUAAAAAUUCGUGUAUUUCAAAAGGUUAUUCAGUUAGUUAAGGUGAACGAGGAAAAUCGAAACCCAGUAAGUUAGGGCACGUUUCCUCGAAUUCCCAAACACCGAAUAUUGCCUUUACUUGCAAAAAUCUUAUUUCGAGGUAACGAAAUGCCAUACCCAGUAAGUUAGGGAACAACACCUCGUAUCUCCGAGAAUAAGCAUUUUUCAAAACUCAUGUCACGAUUUAAAAGAGUAUUCCGUUAUUUAGGUUAAAGGAGAAAAAUCGAAACCCAAUAAGUUAGGGCACGAUUGUCUCGAAUUACCAAAUACGGAAUAUUACUUUUAUGAAAGAAUUAUUAUUGGGUUGGAUAUAAUGAUAAUAAGAAUAAUAUUAAAGUAAAGUAAACAAUAAUACUAUAUAUAAAUGUAUAUAUAUAUAUGUAUAUAAUAGAAAUACACACUACUAUAUAAUAAUAAUAAAUAUAGAAAUACAAAAAGCAAAUAUAAUAAAAAUAUUAAAUUAAAGUAAUAAAAAAUAAUACUAUAUAUAAAAUAUAUAUAUACAUAAAAAUAUACACUAAUAUAUAAUAGUAAUAGUGAUAGCAAAAAUAAUAAAAAUAUAAGUAAUAUUAAUAAUAUAUUAGAAUACAAAAGUAAAGUAAUAACAAUAGGGGUGAUAAUAAUAAUAAUACAAACAAUAAUACAUAUAUAUAAUAAUAGUAGUUAGAAAUAAAAAAUAAUAAAAGUAACAAUAAUGAUAGUAAUAAUAUAAAUAAAUAUGGAGAGGGCAUAUAUAAUAUAAUAAUAUAAAAAAAAUAAUAUAUACAUGAGAAAUAAUAAUAAUAAUAUAAAUAAUAGUAAAAAUAAUAAAAUAAUAAAACAAAGCUCUCAACUCUCUUUCUCCCUCUUUUCUAAAUCCGGCCGUUGGUCCGGCUUUGCUUCGGUCAUGGACCCCCACGGGCCGCCAUCGGCGCCACCGUACACGGCGGCCGGACCUCAAAAAAACCUUUUUCGAUAAUGAAAAUAUAGGUAAGCUUCUUACUUUUAUUUUUACUUUCGUAUAAAAAAACAAAAUAAAAUUGAAAGGAAAACAAUAAACAAACAAAGAACUAAAGAUAAGAAUAGACAAAAGAAACCUCUUUUGCUUUGAUCUUUGAUUAAUCUCCAAAAACUAGCCUUUCCAAGAAACAAAAAUAACCUUUUUUACAAAAAAACACCUCCAAAAAACAAAAAAAAACCUCCUCCAAAACAAAGAAUAAUCCUUCUCCAAAAAACCAAAAACCCACCCCUAAAAACAAAGUCUUGAAUGGCUUUUAUAGCCAAAUUUUACAAGUGGAGUGGUUGGGGUGGUUUAGGUGGCCAAGGGUGGUGGAGUUGGUGGCUAAGGUGGGUGGCCAACAAAGGUGGUGGAGUAGGUGGCCAAGGUUUUUAUUUAUUUAUUUAUUUAUUUUUUGUGUUUGGGUUGGGAUUAGGUUGGGCCAAAUUGGGUUUGGUUAGGGUUGGUUUAAGUUGGGCCAAAAUUGGGCCUUUACACCUGGCCCGGCCCAUUUUUUUAAUAAAUACCAUAAAUUUAUUUUAAAAAUAAUAAAAAAGUAUUUUAAAAAUAUUUUAAAAUUAAAAAAUAAAUAUAUUUAUUAUAUCGGGCCAAGCCGGGCAGGACCCGGGCCAAAAAAGUGGUGCCCGAGGCCCGGCCCGUUUUUUAAACGGGCCUCGUUUUUUUAUCCAAGCCCAUAUUUCGAGCCUAUAUUUUUACCCAAACCCUCCCAUAUUUCGGGCGGGCCGGCCCGGCCCAUGAGCACCUCUAGGAAGAUUGAAGGACUUGGGUUUUUUUCUUUGCUUUUUGUUUAAAAGUUUUUUGUUUUUUAGGUUUUUCAUUUUAGUGCUUUAAGUUUUCUCAGCCUUUUUAGGGAUACCCGAGGCACCACCCAUUAGCAGCAAUAGGCUUCUGCCAGCUAGCUAGUGGGCUGAAACAUUGCAGGGUUUAGGAUUGUGUUCCAUCCUUUAAUCUUCAAUUUUAAUGAUUUUACUUCAAGUUUUUUUUAAGUAAAUCCCUUCCCAUAUAUAUAUUAUGCAUAUAUUAAAGUUAGUUUCUAAAGGGAAAGAGUUAAUAUUCCAUUUGGUAUGUAGGGUUUUUUUUUAAAAUUUAAUAUAUGAGUUUUACUUCAAUUUGGUAUCCAUACCAAACAAAUGUGCUUAAUGAAUACUUGGCACGUAUGUUCUAGUAAAAAAAUAUAAUUACCCACAAAACGAUCUGAUAAAAUUGUCACCCUGAAUUACCUGACAACGAUGACUCAAGUAUGAAAUUACCACCCAGAUUUCCGAGCAACGAUGGUUUCCAAAUAAUAACCUGACCCUAUGUACGCCAACUAACUCGGUCCGACAAAUAAUAGGGUAACCAAAUUUCAAUUUCAAUAUACAACCUGAUUCAUGUUUAUUCAUUUUGAUUUUCAUCAUCAGUUUACCAAUUCAAUACAUAACUUAUAUAUAUAUCAACCGAAUUUCACAUAUCAAGUAAGUCAUAAAAUUUUCUAUUCUAUUCAAUUUAGUCCUUGCUUCGAUAUUCAAUUCAAAUCAUAUCAAUUUAGCUCAAAAAAUUAUCAAUAACUAACCUCCAAUUCCAUAUAAUGUAGAAUGAUAUAAAUAUGCAACAACUAAAUGGUUCCCAAAUCAUAGAAUUACAAACCAAAAAUUUUGAUCUAAUUAAUAGCUUUGGAUUUUCCUUUUCCUCUCGAUGAAUCUAGGUCGACGUUAGUUAUGGAUUAACAUAAACACAUAACACUAUCAAUAAACAACCAAUUCACAAUCAAUUGUCAAUUUAUACAAAAAUUUCAAUUUAUUCAAUUUAGUCCCUAAAACUGAGACUAACAUAACUUUCAAUUUAAAACUCCAAAUUAAAAUUUGAUUUCACUAUGGUCCAUUAGAGACCUCCUAUUUCUUAUUUAUAUAAUCAAUUUUACAUUUAAUUCAGUUUAGUCCUUAUAAUCUUGUGUUUGCGAGUAAUUUUAGGGUUGCUUUUGUCGUUGUGCCCUCUAGUUUGGUGGAUGCUCAGUUCUUUUGUCGAUUUAUGCUCACUGUUUUGGACCAUCCGGGGUUGAUUUCCUUAUUGUAUUAAGUGCUUGCAAUCACUCCUUAUGUUGUGCUUAAGUUGUGACAGAGUCGAUUGUCAACGUGCCAUAAUGUUCUAUUGAUGUUGAAGCUAAAGCUUUUGUUAUGUUGAUGGAGCUUGUACUUUAGCGCGUUCAAUGGGUGUUUGUUACUUUUUUCCCCUGAAUUGUAUGGUCUUAUUUAUUGAAUGAAUUAAUAAAUUUCUCUUUAAAAAAAGAAAUAAUUUAUAAUAAAUAAUUAAAUGUAUUAUUUAAAACUAUUUAAUAAUAGCGCAUUAAAUAUGUAUGCUAUUAAAAUGAAAAAAAAAACAAAUUAAAUUGUUUAUCAUAAUAUUGACACUUUUCAUCAAUCUUGAGUCAAUAUCGAGUUAACUUGUGACACCAACUCAGCUAAAUAUAUUAUUAAUAUAUACAAUGAUGGGGCUAAUAAAGUGUGCACAAAAAAAUUAAAAUGUAUAAAAAUAUCAAAAUAAAACUUUAGUUGAGUAGUAAAUAUAAAUUUUAUUAAUGCAAUUAGCAAGAGUUCGAAUCUCACCAUAUACAUAUUUUAUUGGCUUUUUUUAAGUUAAAAGAUUAGAAUAUCCUUGAAUAAUAUUGUUUAGUUUAAUUACAAAAUGACAUUUUCUUAACUUUUUAAUCGAGUUGGUAACCCGAUUAAAGGUGACAUUAACUCAAUCAAGAACUUAGAUAAAUAUUAAUAUAAAAUAUAAGUUUUUGCUAUAAAAUAAAAGGACAGAAAGUAAAGAACAAAGAAAAUGAGAAAGCAAAGAGAGAGCGUAUUUUAUUGAUCAAUUGAAAUAUUUACAAAGUUUCUCCAAAAUUUCUAUUUAUAGACAUAAGAAGUAUAAAUGAAGUAUAGACCUACUUCUAAUGGCUAUAAGAAUUUAAAGUACAUCAAAAAUUAUCUUGAUCUUGAUGGACAUCCACUUAAUAAGAUAUUCAUAACACCCCCUUGGAUGUCCAUUGGUAGAUAAUGUGCCUCGUUAAAACUUUACUAAGAUAAAGAUCUUGUGGGAAAAAAUCCUAGUGAAGGAAAAAAGUAAACAUAUCUAAAUGCGUAUAUUAUGCUGCACCAUUAAAAACUUUACCAGAAAAACCCAAUGGGAUAAAACCUCGGUUAAGGGAAAAAUAGUACAAUGCAUAGUUACUCCCCUUCAUAAAAACAUCAUAUACUUUCUCAUAUUCUAUUGAAUUGAAUACUAGUUUUCAAAUGACUAUAUUAAUGAAUUUGCUAAGCAUUUAUAUCACCGUUCUUUUGGAAGUCAUGAGUGGGGAAAUUUUAGGGGAAAUAUAUUUUGAUCUCUUGAAGAGUCUCAACAAUUUUCAUAACAAACUUUAAUCAUAAUUCCUCUAUAAAAACACAAAUAGGUAUUUUGGAUCAUUUUAUAAUCCUCCUUCAACUACUAUUCGCUGAGUCAAAUUUACCACAUAUGUUCCAAUUAUUUCAAUUCAUAUAAAUGAACAAUUUCCCGACAAUUUCGAUAUGCUUCUAUCAUCCUAAAUCCUUCAAGGAUUUGAAUAUAAAUUUUACUAUAUAGUGGUUCAUAAAAAGGUUGUAACAACAACCAUUAGACAUAAGUUAAAUCUUCUAUGAAUUGUCAAAAUAAUAUAUCUAAAAAUUAUUGCAUCCACCACAAAAAAAAUAUUAUUUCUUUUCAUAAUAAAUGCCAGGACUUAGCAAAAAACUUCAUAUUAUAAUUUUGCUUUUGCAAAACUACUUCAUUUGCACCCUCACUGGCUUUAUACCUUGAGAUAUUUGGACUACUGGUCCAAAAACUCCACAAAUUUAAUUGUACUUGAAUUGCAUCUUUCUAUUUUGAUUAAUUUAUUCUAUAUCUAUAUUUCUCAAUAGAUUUAUUAAAGAUCCUCCUUUUGUUUCAUUAUAUCAAUAAUAACAUUGCAUGCAAAAUUAUUGUCAACCACUUUUAUUAUUUGGUUUCACAUUUUCUCGAAUUGGCAUAACUUAUUAAGAUCUAUUAUUUUAAUCUUCAAUUUCAGGUACCUGAAUCUCUUCUGGAGUUUUACUUAUUAGUUAUGUCUUGGGUCUCUUUUGGAGCACUUGUCUCCACUAUUUGACCAUCUAGAAGAAUUUUCAUCUUUGGAAUCGAUCAAUCUAUUAUUUAUUCUAACUGAUUGUCCUGCCGGGACUUUGAUUCAAAUUAAAAUAUUAGAUGUUAUAUAAUAUUUGGUUAUUCUUAUUAAGUUUUUAAAUACAUCUGACAGUUAACUUGUAAUGAGUUUUCCUCGUUGAGCUACUAGUUCAAAUUACGUUCCCCCUAACUCAUUACAAGUUGUUAUUUCUCUCCCCCUCAUGUUGGGAAAACUAUCGAAUCAAAAUAGUAAUCACAAAUCAUGUCAUAAUUGAAUCUCCAAUACAUACAAAGAGACUUGUAAUUAAUAUAUAUUCCCAACUCUAUUUGAGGAUUGACUCAUCUUUUUGCGUUGUGUCGGAGUAAUUGGAAUAUAUACACACAUACAAAAAUUCAAAGAUGAGAAAUAUUUAGCUCUUAAUAAAAAACUUAUCAUAAUGGGAAGUAUUUAUAACUUAUUGGUUUGAUGCGUACAACACGUAAAUCAACAUAAUCUCAUGUUGAAAUAGGAAGUUUAGUUUUCAUAAGUAAUGGUUUAGGCAUUAAUCAGAGGCAUUUAAAAAAUAAUUUCUCUAAACUAUUAUGUGCAUAAAUAACAAACUUUUACAAAAGUUUUUCAAACUUCAUCAAUAAAAUACUAAGAUAUAAAUUCAUCAGUAUUAGCAAGAUGAAUUAUCUUAAUUGCAUGAUCUGGAAUUAAUUAUUUAAAUAAACAAUCUUGCAAACGAUAGGUUGCAAGUUGAUAACACAUACGUGAUUAUUUUGUAGAUGCAUCUACCAAAAUCAUAUAAUAUCAAAAUCAUUCACAUAAUGGAUGAAUGGGCCCAUAUUCAUUUCAAAAAUGUAAGACAUUAAAUCUCAACUUUAGCUAGUGAGUUUCUAACAAUCAAUUUUCAUUGAGAACAAGCAUCAAAUGAGAAUUCUUUAAAUUAAAGAAUAUUAUGGUUCUUUAAUAAUAUCAUAUGAAUUCUCAAUUAAUUUUCACAUCAUAUUUGAUCUAGGAUGGUUUAACUAGUCACGCCAAGUAGUACUUGCAUUUGUAUUAGUAAACUUUUAGUUUACUUUAACAUACGUUUCAAUUGUACUAAAUUGUAACAAAUUGAUAAUUUUACUAUCAUUCAUUUUACUUUGUAUCUACAUAUAGGUACUAUCGUGACAUUUACUACUGUAAAUGUCUAAAUCAAUGUGAAGUCUAUAAUGUCACUAAGUCAAUAAAUAUAAUUUUCAAAUAAUUAUAUGCAAUAUUUGCUUCAGUGAAUAUGCCAAAAUCUUGAAAUGAAGGGCAUUUGGUCUAGUGGUAUGAUUCUCGCUUCAAAUGCUAAAAUUCUUGAGUUUGAUUCAAAAUACUUUUAAAACCCUUUUAACAAAAUUUUUGCAUAAUCAGUUAACUACCAAAAAUAACUACCCAGGUCAUGUAUAAAAACAAGUCUAUACUAAAUAUAUCAAUAAACAUCACAUCUCAAGCAUAAAAAUAUGACAUAAUGAAAAACUAGCAAUUUUUUUCAUAAUCAUCAUCAUAAACAUGCAUGGAAUUUAAAUCAAAAUCCAACCAUUCAAGCUCAUAGAACUUUUCAUUUACAAUUGCUCAUGUUAUUUCCCUAAAUAAUUAGCAAAUGAAAUAAUAUAAAACGUAUGAACUACUACCUUUAACAAUUCUUUGAACUAAACCAAAUCUGAAUAACCAUAAAAUUCAUUGGUUUGUUAACAUAAAUUUGCAUACUAGAUAUGUUUUAAUCAAAUAUAUUAUUUAAUUAUAAAACCUACUAUAACGAUAUAAAUAAAUCAAUUAAUUUUCAUUUUCAUAAACAAAUGAGAUGCUUAAAACAAUAUGUAACACAUUUAAUCAAAACUUAAAAAGAAUUACAGUUAUUAUUGUUUGUCCCCAUCCUCGUUGUUUGGUUUCCAAGUUGUGACCCAAAGUCGAGAUUGAUUUGGUUGUUUGGUUUCUAAGUUGUGACCCAAAAUCAAGAUUGCUUUUGAAUUUUUGGUCUGUCUCCAUUGUAAAGCACAUCAAACAAAGAUACAAAUUGAUACAACUAUUCUCAAGUUCAAAUAAAGCAUUAUCUUGUUAGGUAGAGUGAAUAAAAUCACUAAGUUAUUUUUUAUGUCAAUUAAAUUUAUGGUUUUUUUCAAUUAGUUGGAUUGAUUAAAUAUUAAUAAUUUAUAAACACAUUCAUUUAAAUUAAUUUUACACUGUAAUAAAAAGUAAGAUGUUGUUUAAUAAAUCAAAAAAAAUUAAGUGAAAAAUAAAAAAAGGUGUUAUUUAAUAAUUCAUAAAUUGUACGAGAGUGAAGUGUUAGAUAUUUUUGGAUAUGUUUAAUGUGCUUGGGUUAGGAUAGAAAUUUCAAAAUCCGAGAAAAUAUAAAUAGUCAAACAUAUAAAUCAAAUCCAACUAAAAAUGCUAGAAAUUUGAUUUAUCAUACUCCUAUUAGAAAAAGAUAGAAAUGACGUGAAAUCACAAUUUCAUACAACCCUUUCUCCUCACAGUGAUUAUUGUUUGUCCCCAUCCUCAUUGUUUAAUUUCCAAGUUGUGACCCAAAAUCAAGAUUGACUUUGAAUUUUUGGCCUUCUGUCUCCAUUGUAAAGCACAUCAAACAAAGAUACAAAUUAAUACAACUAUUCUCAAGUUCAAAUAAAGUAAUAUCUUAUUAGGUAGAGUGAAUAAAACCACUAAGUUAUUUUUUAAGUCAAUUAGAUUUAUGAUUUUUUAUUCAAUUAGUUGGAUUGAUUAAUUUGAUAAAAAAUAAAUAUAAUUUUAAUUUUAAAUAAGUAUUAAAAAUAUUAAUAAUUUAUAAACACAUUCAUUUAAAUUAAUUUUACACUGUAAUAAAAAGUAAGAUGUUGUUUAAUAAAUCAAAAAAAUUAAGUGAAAAAUUAAAAAAAAUGUUUAAUAAUUAAUAAAUUGUACGAGAGUGAAGCGUUAGAUUUUUUUGGAUAUGCUAAUAAUUAAAAAUAUUGUACGAUGCUUGAAAGUUAUCUGAUACACAUUGUACCAAAUUUCAAUACCACAUAUAUGUUAUAAAAUCUUAUGAUGCUCUAAUCAACUAUUUAUAAAUUCAAUUUAAAAGAUAUUAUACAAUAAUUUCAAGCAUAUUUAAUAACAAUAAUUUAAUCAUAAAAACUUUUAAUCAUCCAAAUAUCAUACAUACUAUAAUUUAAUAAAAGAAUCUUAGUUUAAAAGAAACUAUAAAUUAAUAAUAUUUUUUUACCAAAAAUCAAUCAACAAAGGAGAAAAACAUACCACUUAAGGAUUAUAUAAUUUUUUCUGUAUAAUAAUUACCCAUAAUGUGCAGGCCCCAAUUGAAGACUGAAAUAACAGUAGCUCUAGAAGGCAAUUGGCAACAGCUUGAGUAGCAAAUUUGAGUGACCGACUAUUGCAUUGGUUGUUGCUUGAAAGGGGUAAGGCUUUGUGAAAGGGAAAAAAAAUUGUGACUUAUGGAGAAAAACAAUUAAAAGAAAACUGUGCUAAUAAGGUGUUAUAAAAUAAAAGGACAGAAAGUAAAUAACAAAUAAAAUGAGAAAGCAAAGAGAGCAUAUUUUAUUGAUCAAUCGAAAUAUUUACAAAGUUUCUUUAAAGUCUCUAUUUAUAGGCAUAAGAAGUAUAAAUAAAGUAGAGAUCCACUUCUAAUGACUAUAAGAAUUUAAAGUACAUCAAAACUUAUCUUAAUCUUAAUGGACAUCCACUUAAUAAGAUAUUCAUAACAAAUUUAUUAUUUUAUUAUUUUAUAAACAAUAAUAUAAGCUUUUUGGACAAAUUGAGUCGAGUUUAAACUUAACCUAAAUUUUUAAAAAAAAAGAGUCUAGGCCCAAUUUAGCUCAUGAAUAUCUUUAAUGGUUAAUUAAUUAUUUAUUUUAAUGAGUUUAUCUAAAUGUAUUUUAGUUUAUUAAUUUGAGUUUAGUGAUUCAAUGUAAUUUUUUUUAUAACUUUUAAUACAACUAUAAGAUGUAACUUAAAAAAAAUAUUUAUAAUUAUAAAUAUAAUUAUCAUCAAUUAGUUACUAAUAUGUUAUUUUGUUGUUCAUUAUUUACCAUUAAUUUUUUCAUAAUUUAAUAGUGUUUUCUAUUUAAAUAUUUUUAAAAAAUAUUUAUUAUAAUAUGCUUUUUGGAAAGUUAUCUUAUAGAAUAUGUUUUUUUUACCUCAACACCUAUAGAUCGAGUUUAGUGAUGUUUAUUGUACCACCAAGUUUUUGUGUCAUUGAAAUUAGAAUAAUUAUUUUGAAAUUAUUACAACACAUUAACACCCAGAAUCUUAAACCGUAAUAAUAUGAUUUAAUUUUCUAAUAGCUUUGGAUAAUAUUUAAACAAAACUCGGACAUUUAUGGAUGUUGAAUUUUUUUGUAAAAUUAAAAAAAACAUAUAUAGUAAUUCGUAACCAUUAAUUAAAUUUUUUGUAAAAUUAAAAAAAACAUAUAUAGUAAUUCGUAACCAUUAAUUAAAAAGGAGACACAAAAAUUAAUUGAUCUCGCUGCCCACGAGAAUAUUUAAAAAAAUACUAAUAAAACUCUAAUUUUUAUAGGUUUUAAAAUGAUUUUAAUUUUCAUAAAAAAUAUAUAAUUUAAUUAUGACUUUUCAAAAAACAAAUUCUUACAUCACCCUCAUUCCAACUAAAAAAAUUACCCGAAUAUAAAAAAACAAAAAAGGAUAAUCAAAGGAGGAAAGUUGUAUAAAAUGUAUGUGGUAGCGGGGAAGAUAAUGGUGGUGACGUUGAGGGAUUAUAUAUUUAUAAUUUUAAUUUAUGUUUUACUAUUUAAUUUUUUAUUUUACAUUUCGUUAAUUAAAUGAAUUAAAUAAGAUCAUUUUUUCUAUUAAUUUUCAGUUUUUUUUUAAAUUCAAAUCUAAUUAAAAAUACUAAAAAUCUGAUUUAUCAUCCUCCUAUUAAAAAUAAAUAGUGAUGAUGUGAAAUCACAAUUUCAUACCAUCUUUUUUCCUUACAGUUAUUGUUGUUUGUCCCCAUCCUCGUUGUUUGGUUUCCAAGUUGUGACCCAAAGUCAAGAUUGAUUUGGUUGUUUGGUUUUCAAGUUGUGACCCAAAGUCAAGAUUGAUUUUAAAAUUUUGGUUUGUCUCCAUUGUAAAGCACAUCAAACAAAGAUAGAAAUUGAUACAACUAUUCUCAAGUUAAAAUAAAGCAUUAUCUUGUUAGGUAGAGUGAAUAAAAUCACUAAGUUAUUCGGUUAACUGAAUUAACCGAAAAUUAUAUGUUUUUUUAUUUUUGGUUAAAAAUUAAUCGAAUUAACCGAAUUAACCGAAUUACCCAAAUUAACCAAAUUAUCCGAAUUAUCCGAAUUAUCCGAAUUAAUCGAAUUAACCGAAUUGAAUCACUACAUAAUUAAAUUAUUUUUAGACUUUUAGACUUUAGUUUUAAUUUUAGUUUUAGAAUUUUAUUUUUAUUUAUUAAAUUAUUUGUAAUUUUUAUGAUUGGGUUGGGUUGGGUAAUUGUGUUGGGUUGAAUACUUGGGUUUGGAUUGGGUUUAGGUGAAUAGUGGGCCUAUUUAUAUAUUAUAAUUUUAUUUAUUAAUUUUUUCGGUUAAACCGAAAAAAUUUGGUUAACCGACUAGUUUUGAACCAAAUUAACCGUUAACCGAAAAAUCAAAAAAUAAUUAAUCGACCCCUGACCAAAAAAAUUCGGUUAACCGAUCGAUUAACCGAAUUCGAUCAGUUAACCGAAUUUUUUUGGUUUUAUCCAAAUUUUGCACACCCUUAGGUUAAUGUACUUGUGUUGUUGUUUCGACACCAUAAUCAAUUCAGUUUUGCUUCAUCCAUAAUAAUUGUGCACAACUCUCAAGUACAAAACUUAAACCGUGGAUUAUGAGAUAGAAUUUUAUCUUUGUUUUUUGUGGGCAAAUAACCAAUAAAAGCCCCUUUAUUUUUAAAUUUAUCGAAAUGGGCUAGGUUCUGAAUUAAUUACCGAAAUGGACCAUUUCUCCCAAAAACGCGUCCAUGUCAGCGCGUUGUCAGGGGAUCAAGCAAGAAAACGCUUCCUCAAGGAAAAAAAUUAGAUUUAGGGUUUUUGCAAUUAGAUUUAGGGUUUUACGGUUUUUGAGUUUUUAGAUUUUAGGGUUUUAAGGAAAAAAUUAAAUAAAUAAGGGUUUAGGGUUUCUUAAUUAAAUUAAUUAUAAAUUUAAAAAAAAUUAGAUUAGGGUUUAGUGUUUAUGGUUUUUAAGGAAAAAUUAAAUAAAUUAGGGUUUAGGGUUACUUGAGUAAAUUAAUUAUAAAUUUUAAAAAAAUUAGAUUAUGGUUUAGUGUUUAGGGUUUUUAAGGAAAAAAUCAAAUAAAUUAGGGUUUAGGAUUACUUGAGUAAAUUAAUUAUAAAUUUAAAAAAUUAGAUUGGGGUUUAGUAUUUAGGGUUUUUAAGGAAAAAUCAAAUAAAACUAGUUGUUAUUCGUUAUAUAUUUUAAACUCUGGCCCAUUUCGGAACCUGACCCAUUUCGGUAAUUUUAAAAAUAAAGGGGCUUUUAUUGGUUAUUUGCCCAAAAAAUAAACUAAUAAAAUUAAAUGUUUUUAGUAAAAAUUAAAUUUAUUAAAAGAAUUUUUUAAUAAUAAAUUAAAAAUAAAAUAUAUAAUGAAUUUUUGUAUUUUCAAAUUUUAAAAUAAAAAAGAGUUUUUUUUAUAAAAACAUAAAAAGAGUUAAAAGUUUAUAUAUAUAUUAAAUUUAUCUUUUGCUGUAAUUUUAAAUUUAUAAUAAAUUAAAAAUAUUAAUAUAAUAUAAUAUGCAAAAAAAUACUUGAAAUUUAAUAUAAUACAAUCAUAUUAAUAAUAGAAUAUUUUAGGGAUAAUAAUUCCUUAAUUAAGGUCUUAAGAUCAUGGGUAAAUAUUUUAUUGAUUGUUAGUGAAUGAUUUACAAAAAAGUAUUAUUAAUUUUAUUUAAUGGAAUUUAACAUAAAUUUUAAUAUUUUAAUAUUUAAUAUAUAUAUUAAAUUGUAGAAGUUUAAAUUUAAAAUUCGAGAAAAAAUAUAAUAAUUGUAAUUAAUAUUUAACUAUAUUUAAACAAAGUUAGACUUAAUAAAUAAUUUUUAAAUAAUUUUUAAUUUUUUUAAAAUUUAUAAUUAAUUUAAUUAAGAAACCCUAAACCUUAAAAUCUUAUUUAUUUAGUUUUUUUCCUUAAAACCCUAAAAUCUAAAAACUCAAAAAUCCCAAAACCCUAACUCUAAUUGCAAAAAACCCUAAAUCCUAAAAAACAAGGAAAGCGCUUCCUUGAGGAAGCGUUUUUUGUCCACGUGGACAAAGCGCUUCCUUGAGGAAGUGUUUUCCUGCUUUAUCCUCUGACAACGCGCUGACGUGGACGAGUUUUUGGGGAAAAUGGUCCAUUUUGGUAAUUAAUUCAGAACCUGGCCCAUUUCGGUAAUUUUAAAAAUAAAGGGGCUUUUAUUGGUUAUUUGCCCAUUUUUUGUAGUGCUAUGAAAUUUAGCUUAAUAGAUAAUAGCAAAUUUGUGGAAAUACAAAAACUUAGCUUAACAUAUUUAAUAACUAGUGAUUGGGUUAGGAUAGAAAUUUCAAAAUUUGAGAAAAUAUAAAUAAUCAAACAUAUAAAUCAAAUCAUGCAUUCUAAGGCAUAAAUAAUAAACAAGUUCUCGAUGAUGUGGUAUUUAAUAUCUAUCAAUUUUGUACGAGAGUAAAGCAAGUAUAAAGACUUAAAAAUGAUUAAAUUAAAGUAAAAAAAUAAUUCUACAACUUGUACCAACGGAAGAUUUUUUGAUUAGGUGAGGGAUACAGUUGGAUCCGUUAUCUAGUGGCUGUCCAUGGUGUGAUAGAGUUAUAGAAAAUGUUAAUCAUUUGUAUUUUCUAUGUCCUUUUAUUAAUAUAUAGUUUUUGGUCUCGCAUUUCUAAUUGGUAGAGUUUUGAUUGGAAGAAUGUGGUGAAUUUUGAAGAAUUCUUUACUUUGUACUGGAACAUGCCCCUGAUAGGUCUGCAAAAAAGCUUUCGAUUAGUGGCGAUUGCGGGAUCUUGUUGGAUAGAAGAUAUCAGAUCUUGUCUUCCUGUAUUGGCAGUGAAGUAGAUCGAAGAUAGCAGAUCUUGUCUUCCUGUAUUGGUAGCAAAGUAGAUCGAAUAUAGCAAAUCUUGUCUUCCUGUAUUGGCAGGGAAGUAGAUCGAAGAUAGCAGAUCUUGUCUUCCUAUAUUGGCAGGGAAGUAGAUCGAAGAUAGCAGAUCUUGUCUUCCUGUAUUGGUAGGGAAGUAGACCGAAGAUAGCAGAUCUUGUCUUCCUGUAUUAGCAGCGAAGUAGAUUGAAGAUAGCAGAUCUUGUCUUCCUGUAUUGGCAGCAAAGUAGAUUGAAGAUUAUAGAUCUUGUCUCCCUAAGCAGUAGUGGAGCAGAUCGAAGAUGAUAAAUAUUAUCUUCCCAAGGUAGUAGGGAACCAGAUUUAAGCCACCAGUCCUAUCUCCUUGAGUAGCGGUGGAGUAGGUUGAAGAUCGUAGAUCCUGUCUCCCUAAGCAGUAGUGGAGCAGAUCGAAGGCAGCAAAUCCUAUCUUCCCAAGGUAGUAGGGAAGCAGAUUUAAGUCACCAAUCCCUUCUCUCUGAGUAGCAGUGGAGUAGGUCGAAGAUUGUAGAUCAUGUAUCCUUAAGCAAUAGUAGAGCAGAUCGAAGGCAGCGAAUCUUAUCUCCUUGGCGUUACAGUAGAACAGAUUAAAGCUCAAGGUAGCGAAUCUUGUUUCCAUAGCAUUGCAGCGGAGCAGAUCAAGACUGAAGAUAACCAACCUUAUCUCCCUGAAGUUACAGUGGAGCCGGUUGAAGAUAUCAAUCUUAUCUCCCUGAAGUUGCAGUGGAGUAGGUUAAACGAAGUGAGCCUUAUCUCCCCGAAGCUACAGUGGGUCAGGAAGAGGCUACUUGAAGAAGAAGCAUACCAAUGUCCAACACAACCGGACAAAAUUGGCCUUCUAAUUUAGUCUUUGCUUCAUUUUCAUUACACGACAAUGAGCAAAGAGGGGCAGCUGUAAUAGGCCAAUUUAGCCCGGGCUCACAAAAAAAAUAAUAAACUCAAAAUAAUAAAACAAAGUCCAAGUCCAGUCCAAAAUUGUAUCAUUUGGCCCGAUCGGAAUGACCCAUUACUUGAAAAAGGAUAUGCAAUCUUAGAUAUAAUAUGCAAUCUUAGAAGAUAAGAUUUUGUAAUCUUAGAUAUUUAAUUUGUAGAUACCAUUUAAAUCUUAGCCGUUGAUGUAAUUGAUCUAUACCGUUGGAUUUAGGGAGGCUCAACUAUAAAUAGAGACCUCUCCCUUCAUUGUAAAACACUGGAGUUGGGAGCAAUAAUAAUUCUUAAGAGCAUUCACUCAAAUUUCUCCUUCUCUUGUGUUCUUAUUUUCUGUGGCCUGUUCUUAUUUUGUUUUUUGUUCAUCUUUGUUUCAUUUUAAGUUGCUUUCAUUUGAGUUGGAUUUUGGUGGAAGAAUUUCGUUGAAUCUUCAUAUUGUGGGAGUAAGGCUGACUUAAGUGUUUUUUUUAACCUUUUUUAUUUAUCCAUUUAAUUGUUUAAUUAUUAAUUAUUCUUUUACUUUUAUUCGUUUAUUUAUCCAUCAACUUUCUUAUUUACAUAUCGUUCAUUCAUUUAACCAUUCUUAUCAUUCUUUUAUUUUUUCCAUUAAUUAUAUACUUUAUUUGUUUUUAAUAUUAUGUCACACAUGUUAUUUAUUUUUUAAAAACUCGUGUUAUAAAUCAUCUAUUUUAAAUUAUUUGAUUAUUUGCUUUAAAUUUUUUUCCAUAUAUUAUCAAUUGCAAUUUAUUUUUUAUACUAUCUAUUUUUUCCAUAUUUUGGCCCUCAGUUUUGUUUUAUUCUCAUUUUUUCCUUUUAAUUCUGUUUUAAAAUCAAUUUAAUCCUCACUAGUUUGAUUUAAUUUGCUUGUGUUUUAUUUAUUUAAGUAUUGAUUAUUAUGAUUUUUAAAAUUUUAAAUAUGAUAUUAUUUGAAUGUUUAUACUUAUUAUUAUUAAAUUAAUCAUUAAUAUUAUCUAAGUGUAUUGUAUAUUAUUAUUUUAGAUUUAUCAUGUUUUGUUAUUUGUAAUUUAUCAAUAUUAUUAUUUUAAAUUCAUUGAUAACAUUACUUUAAAUUUAUCAUGUAUAUCUAUUUCAAAUUUAUCAUUAAUAUUUUUAAAUUUAUUAUAUACUAUUAUUUUGGAUUUAUCACGUAUGAUUAUCCUAGAAUUAUCAUCAAAAUUUUUAAAUUUUACAUGUAUUAUUAUUUCAAAUUUAUUAUAUAUUAUUUAUUGUAAAUUAUCCAAUUCAUUUCAAAUUGUAGAUAUUGUUUGUUUUAAUUCAUGUAUUGUUUUAAACUUCAUCCAUAUACAUACUAUUUAUUUUGGAUUAUACAUAUUACUUAUUUUCUAAAUUAUUUUUAUUAUUUUUCUAUAUAAUGUAUAUUCUAAUUUUUCUUCAUAUUUCAUUUGCUUAAAUAUUUUUGUAUAUUGUGUUUUAUUAGUUGUUUUAAACAAUUUAUUAAAUGAUUUAUUUCAAUUCAUUUCAUGUAUUCAUUUUAUCUUAAUUAAUUGAUUUACAUAAUAGAUUUUUUAGCAUAUUACUUACUUCAUGUUGUUUCAUUUAUGUACCAUUUCUUUGGAAUUAAGUUUGUUUUAUAUAUUAUUUCGAGUUCGAUAAUUAUUAUGUGUGUUUGGGGUUUAUACGCGCAUAUUAUUUAGUAUUCUGCCCAUGUAUAUUAUUCCAUGUUCAUACAUUUACUUUUCAGUUCCGAACAUUACAUCAUGGUUAAUUUGAUUAUUUCAUUUCUUUUCAUUUCGAAUAAAUCAAAUUUAUAUCAUUGUUAAUAUUGCAUUAAACCUUCGCUUUAAUCCAAUUUCGUAAAAAAAGGGAAAAAGAAGUUUGCAAUAUGUCGUCUUUGGAACGAUGAGAAAUCGUGCUCUAACUUACAGGGUUUCGAUCUUUCUCAUCGAACUAAAAUGGCUAAAUAUCUUAGUUGUCAAAUAUACAAAGUUUCAAUAAAGAUUUUUUAGCUUACGCUCGGGAAUUGAAAUGUUGCAUCCUAACUUACGGGAUACGAUAUUUUGUCGUCUCGGGAUGAGAAGGCUUUUUUACAUUCGUUUAAAUUUAUCCAAGUACUAUUUUAAGAUAUGUUAUUAAUAAAGGGGGAUUGUUUUUAAUCUUUUCAACUUUACGACAUUCGACUAUAAGACAUUAAUAAUCAAUUAGGUAGCAAUUUUGGGCGUUACGAGGGUGCUAACCCUUUCACGUGCGUAACCGACUCCCGAACCUAUUUUCUCAAAAUUCGUAGGCCUAAAAUCGUUUUCAAGGUGAUCCAAUCACACCUCAAUAAAAGAUCGGUGGCGACUCCAUUUUUUCGUUUUAAAAGUCGACCCCAUUUUUUCAAAAUAAAAAAUGGUUUCGACAAGUAGUAUUUUGAUUAUGUUUUUAUAGAUGUAAUUUAGUAUUACUUUAUUCUUUAGCCAAAAAAGAUUUUUUUUAUAAUUUAAUUAAAAUUUACUAUUAUGAUUCAAUUUGAUGUAGCUUCUAGAGAUGACAAUAAAGUCGGGUGAGAGCAGAUAUUGCUAAACCUAUUACCACUCCAUCAUUUGCAUGUUGUAUACAUCCAUCUAAUCCCAUCCCAUCCCAUCCCACCCUGCAUUAUCAUAACUGCUUCGUACCUAUUACCCAAAAGAAAAAAUCCACCCCGUUCAGCCCUGCAUCCACUUUUCAAAAAAAAAAUCUAUUUCAAGCGAAGCAAUUCAAAAUGUAUUGGACAAUUUGAGUUGUCAUACCUAAUAACUUUAAUCUGAGUUCAUAAUUGAAUACUGAGUUUAGAUGGUAAUUUGUUUUCCAAACUUUUUGAUGUCGUGUUCUUCGACAUGCCUAUGAACCGUUUCAUCAUUUGCCUCUUAGAAAAUUAAAAAUAAGUUGUUUAUACUAUGUGAUGUAGUUUUAAAACCGUUUCUUUUUUUUUUAUUUAUCCGUUAUUUAUUUGGUGUAGGCGAAAAAUAUUUUAUGGGUUUGUGUUUUUAAAAAAAGAGUCAAAUUUUAUUUUUUAAUCACCAUUAUCAAAUGUGUUUAUUAAUUUAGCGUAAAUAUUUUUCAUAUUUAUCAUUAAAUAUUAUUAUAAUUGUUUCAUGUUACUUUACUUAUUUUUCAUAUUUUUCAACUUAAUAUUAUAAUUUACUAUAGGUAACAAUAAUUAAAAAUACAUUAUUUAAAAUUAAUUAAAAAUUAAAUACGUAAAAUCAUAGGCAUGUGACAUUAGAAAUUACUUUAAAAAUAUAUAUCAAACAAAUUUUAUAAUUUAAAUUAAAUAUUUAAUUUUUUUAACACUUACUCUCUUUUUUUUUUAAUUUAUCAACCAAUUUUUAAGUCUAACCUAAUUCAAACCAAGGAAACUUACUUGGAUUUUAUGUUGGGAAUUAAAUAAAAAAGAGAAAUAUUUUUCACUUCAAACUUAUUCAGUUUAAUUACCAAAACUCCAAAAUAUUUUUUUGAAGACACCCAAAAAAACCCCUCUAUAAAAAAUAAGGAUAAUUUGUGAUAUUUUUCCUCUUAAAUGAUGUUAUUUAUAUUUUUAAUUAUAUUAUUUAUAUUUUAUUUUAUUUAUUAUUGAUUUAGAGAAUAAUUAGAGAUAAAAAAAAGCUUAAAGUUUAUUUUUGACAAGUUUUGCGGGUUGGACUUUCAACAUUUACAAUAUAGUUUCAGUAUUUUGGCAAUAACUUAAGCUACAAAUUUUAGUUUUGGGCUCAUAAUAUAUAGAUUUGAAGAAAAUUGACAUAACUAACUAAAGUUGUCUUGUAGAUGAAGCCCAAAAACAUCAAGAAGACAUCAAAAAAUGUCCUAGAAGUUUGACGGAAAAAUUGCCAAAAUAUCUUGAAAACUUUUGCUUUAUAUAAUUAAUGGCACUUUUGUACUUUCUCUAUUAUAUUAUUUUUCCCCUAUAGAUAGACAUUAUUAGGUUAAUACGAGGGGAGACCUAAACCUAGCCAUUCUUAGUUUUAUUUUGUUUUCUUUAUUUUGUGGCUUUUUAAACUCUCCAUCUAGUCAAAGGUUUUAUCAAAAUUUGAUUUAAUAAAUUUGCGAGACUUAAUUUUUGCUUUAAUUUUUCUUUGUUCUUUAGUAUUCAUGCAUUUUUUGUUUUAAUUACAACUUUUCAGGUUUAUUGAAUGUUCAGUCGGUAUUUGAUAGCCUAGAAUGAUUGUUUUGUCAAUUAGAAUUGUUAAACCCAUAAUUGUAUAAUUCAUUCUAAUACUAGUGACAAACUGCAUAAUUCGUUUAAGUGUAGUUCAUGUUUAUGUGGUGUGAAUGUGUGAUAUAGCUAAAAUGAAUCUCACUAGGAUGAGUUUGUUGGUUAGAAUUUGGACUCUCUCGUUCUUAAUACUGGCGGUAAGUUAAAUCUGGGGCGUUGAGUUACAGGGUUAUUUAUCGAUUAGGAAAUAAUUUCAAAUGAGUUUUCUCUUGGCUAUCGAACAAUGAGAGAUUGGUUGUCCGACACUGAGUCAAUAACUAGAACUAAUUUAUUAAAGGUAUUGAAGUUAUUUUUGCAUUGAUGAUCAAAUCUUUGAAUCAAACGAAGAUUUUAGUACUUCUAGAGUUUCUCCUCAUUAAUUUUCUUUUCUUUUGUUUUAUAAUUUAUUUUUACUUUGUUUUAAUUUUAAUUUUUAAUUUUAAACUCUUUUUAUAUUUUUCAUGUAAAUUUUUGUUUUUAUAAAUCGCUGCAUCCUUGCAUUACUUCAAUACAACACCAGAAGAACAAAAUGUCAAACACUGACGCUUAUAGAUAAAAAUCUUGCAAAAGAGGCCGUUUUAUUUUAUCAUAAAAUUAUUCAUGAAAUAGCCAUACAUGGCAAUUACAUAAGCUUGAAGGCCUUAAAACACAGAGACAUACGAUAGAAAUACGCAAACACACACACAAACGAUAGUAAUAAGCAAACACACACAGACGCAGUAAUGAAGGCUAACUUCAACUUCGUAGUAGUGCACACCGAUGGAGCACAUUAUUAUUUAGUUUACAGUUUCGACCUCUAGUGAUCGAAAACCCUGGCUCAAAGCCGGCAGCUUACGCACCCGUAGUGGUGUUGGGUUGGUUGCCAAGAAAAGCUGCAUCAGCAUUCUCAUCAGUGCAAUAAAGGCAAGGGUGCUGCUGUCCACAUCCUAGCUUUAUUAUUUCAUUCCUGACCUUCACCACAAGUUGUCUAUUGCUUAAUGCCCCAUUGCUCUCCCUGAUGACCUUCAGAACUGUAUAGGUAAAGGCCCCAAACCCCAUUCCUCCGGUUUUGUCACUCGCUCCCAUAUCACUCGAUUCCUCAUUGGCUUGGCACCCACUUAACAGAAUUCCCUCAUCCUCCGUCAGUGACCUCAAAUUCACAAUAUCACGUUCAUCAUGGGGUAGGAAUUUGAGACUCACAUUGUUCCCAAAGAUUGUGGUCAAAAUAGAGCCAAUACCCUCCAUAUUAUCUGUUCCAGUGUUGAUGGCAUUCCCAAGUGCUCUUGUGGGAAAUAAGCCUUGUGUCGCGAUUAUGACGUUGGCUACUGUUUGUAGGCACUGGUAUAAGGUUCCUAAGGAAAUGCCCCUAGUCUUGUAAUCAACAGGUAGUGCUAUACCCCUUAGAGUACUAUGGGGUCCAAUUUGUUCUUUACUUUUAUCAAUCAGACCACCACUGUGGCAGGAAUCCGAAACCAUUGUGAAGCUUGAUCCACUUGGUAGUUGCUUAAUCAAUUGCCCCAAGUCCACGUCUGCACAACCAUCGCAACCACAAUAUGAUAUAAAUUACAGUUUGCUUAGAUUGAGAGAAUUUUAAUAAUUUAAUUUACCGAGUUGAUUACGUACCAAAAAUGGGAUUGAAAUCACAAGGCACAAUUGCUUCACCCUUGUUGGAAGGCUGGUGGGGGUCAAUGCGGUCCACAAUUCCAUGUCCACUAAAGUGGAAAAGCAGGACAUCUCCUUCUUUAGCCGCGUCCACCAUCUUCUUGAGUGCAGCCAUAAUGUUUGCCCGUGUAGGCUUAUACUUGGACUCUGGUUCAUCAGUUAGGAGCUCAACAUUUUCGGAAUCAAAGCCAAACCUGCUCAAGAUCAUAUCUCUCAUGGCUUUCGCAUCGUUUACGCAUCCACUCAACUCUUUGAAGGUGUUGGGGUAGUUGCAUCCGACCAGAACGGCUCUCUUCUUACAUUCGGUGGGCAUCUUGCUUCUAUUUUGGGUCGCUU
rnacentral:lncRNA from 1 species